CGAAAUCUAGUUGAAGAUUAUAAGAUUUUGAUCAAAUUUAUGAUUACAUACCAAAUUUGAGAAAAAUUUACCGAACAACAGAGAGAGAGAGAGAGAGAGGGACAUGAAAGGUGGGAUGGUUGGAUCAGUAGCGGCAGAUCUUGGCGGUAGGCAUUGUGACGCAGACCUGAGCGUAUUUCUUCUUAGCCGCCUCUGUCCCUCGCUUGGGCUCCUCCUCGUCCGCCAUGGCUGCUUUAGCCAAGGAACAAACGGCCGCAGCUGCAGCAGUGAACAUGAGAUCCCUCCUCAUUGUGGUGCUGCUCUGUUCCUCCUUGGUCUUGACUUCUAAGCUGGUUGUGUUCUCGCUCUUCGAGGCUCUGACCACGGACAUCCUUCGUCCGCUGGUGGCUGACGGAAGCUUAGCGACGGCUGGGAGGAAUGUUGCUGUCAUGGUUAUCGAUGCCAUUGCUUGAUAGUUUACUGAAUUCGACGUCUGAUUCUACCCUCUCUCGCUCGUUAGCUAUCGGUCAAUGUGUUUUAAGAAGUUUGGGGGUGAUUUGAGUUUGUGGAAAGCGUUGAGUUUGAUGAGAAAUUAUCUAUUUCCCUAUCCAAAUAUGAUUUUGUGCGAAUUGGUUGUUGCCACGUGUCAUGUUCUAUCUUUGUUGAGAAUAACCAUGAGAGGCUCUCUCGCAAAAGGGGACUAGAUACUUUUGUCGUGCAGCCCACAUGUGGGUCCAUGUUCUAGUCUAUAGUCUCUAAAUGAAAUAAUCAAUACAACAUUUUUUUUUUUUUUGGGUCAUCAACACAUUCAAAUCGUAACACUAAGUUAACAAAUUAGACCUCUAAUUUCUUUGUGAAGGCCUUUUAGUCUAUAGUGAUUAAUCAAAAAUUUCACUGGAGCUGCAGAAAAAGCCAUGGAGUUUGCAAGCAGAGAAGGCAAAGCCACCACCAUCAACAUAGUUAUUGCUCAUAACAGCUACAUACUACCCACUUUAUUGCAAGCAGAGAAGGCAAAGCCACCACCAUCAACAUAGUUAUUGCUCAUAACAGCUACAUACUACAUUUUCUUUACACCCAACAGUGGAUACAACUAGAUUCUCUCGCGGAACCCAUCACUCUCCUUUAUUUACAUGCAUGCAGAUGGACAGAUAGAUGUCAGGACUAUAUGUAUAUGGUUUUAGAGUAAAAGAUAAGUUUGUUCAAUCAAGUGUCACGAGGGCCGUCAGAGGAUUGAGUCUUUCGUAGGUUCCAAUGAAGACCAUCAUGGAUACUGCGUAGGAAGUCAUGAGUAGAUUCAACCUGGCAAGCCGUCGAUACAGGCCAAGGUGCAAUGCUACACACUAGUGCAUCCCCUGCUUCAAGCUGUUUCCUACCUUUCCCAUCAAACGACACCCACGCAGAGCUUCUGCUGUUGAACGGCACUUGCACUCUCACCGUCACGUGGUCCGGUAAUAUCAGUGGCCGGAAAGACAAAGAAUGAGGACAGAUAGGUGUGAACAAGAUCCCAGGAACCUACACAAAAACAUCAAAAGUUCAGAAUCUUAAAAAUGCCAUCAUGAGGGAGAGCAUAUAUAUUACCUGUGGAUGGACCAUUGAUCCUCCAGCUGCAAGCGAGUAGGCGGUGCUACCAGAUGUUGUAGAGAGUAUAAGUCCAUCGCCUUGCACACAUGUGACAAAGGAGUUGUCGCAAUAGCAUUCAAGGUUUGUGAGGUAAGAUGAUAUGCCACGGUCGAUGGUGACUUCGUUGAGAACAAGCGUGUUCUCCUCUGUCUCGUAGUCAUGCCUUGCUUUAUCUCUGAUGAUGUGACACUGCAACCUGUGUCGUAGUGUAAUGCUUAUUGGACCCUUUAAAACCGCUUCCAGACAGUCUCGGUAUUGUUCGCUGUCUGUGGUAUCAUAUAAGAGUUAAAGAAUAAAAGUUCUAGUAAUAGAUAAUGCUUAUAAAGAAAAGCUGAUGAAAGAAAAAGAUUUUAAAGGAUACGGAAAGGAGUCAUGAAUCCAAGAGAUCCCAUGGAAAAUGGAACAAUUGGAGGCACUGGUCCUUUGAACAUGGAUGCUGCCUGUAACCGUGGAGAUGUUCCAUGUUAGAUCGUGUUAUAAAAAGGUGACAGAGAUGUGAAGUGAGGUUUGACAUUACCCAUAGAACAGUACCGUCCCCACCAAGAGUAAUAACAAGGUCAACCUUUGGGUGUAGAAGUGAAAUUUCUUUGUCUGCAUUUAACAAAAAGUUUAGCUGGAGCUAUCCAGGCAAUGGAUGUAAGAAUAUCUUUUACCAUCUUCCCAAGUUUGUACAAAGUCGAAGGAACUUGAUUCUGAUAAAAGUUCUGCCUUCACUCGUGGCUCCACGUAAACGUUCAAUCCUUUGUGCUCUCUCAACCAUCUGAAGUGGAAACAAAAUAUGUUUACUUCAUCUUAAAACAACAACACUUUUGCCUUCCAACAUAAGUUCAGAGAGAGCUACUGAAACUAAUCCUAUGGUUUGUGUAAAGCUAAUCUCAACGAUCUCUUUCCGAAACUAGUGCAAAAAGUGUAUAUACAGACCUGACCAUUUCAACAGAAAGAACUCGCACAGAAGUUGAGUUAGGUUUAGUGAAAAUAAUCACAGUUUGUGGAUUGGUUUCCCAUGUCAGUGAUAUCUGAAACACACAAGUUGUUUAAAUUGCAGCAUAUAUUUUUUUGCCGUUAGUUGUAAAUUCAGAGAGUGAAAACAGUCAGAAUAUAAAACUAUACCUGUUUACUGCUGCGGUCAGCUGUAGUGAUAUUUCCACUCUCAAACGAGACUAUUUCUUUCUUGUGUUGAUCAUUAGCCUGCCCCUUGCACCCCCAUGAAAGCUUAAAUGAUGCCUGCAUCAACGUUAAAACAGAUACUUAACGAUGCCAUAAAGAACAAAUGUUUUUGUAUACUAGCCGAGUGCUGAUAUGCUUAUAUGUUGCCUACUUAUGUUUAUUAACUUGCAUACAGACAAUAUAAGCAAUAACUGGACACAAGAGAUAAUUUUAUAUAUAUUACCUUUCUCUUCAGUUUGUUGUUACACCCAUUAGGACUGUUAGAUUCACCACCAUCUUGCAGAACAUCAUGGGAGCAAAUACGCUCCAAGGAAUACCUUUCUGACUUCCCAUUCUCCUGACCAUGACGCCGCGGAGACUUGGCUAAAUGAUCCAUCCCCUUGCUACCAGAUUCAUCGGCACACACUCCAUUCAACGGUGCUGUGAUACAUACAUAUUAUUCAAACCAAAGCUCUACUGGAACUAAUUAUUGAAAGUAACUUAGAAUGGAUUAUAGUAAAUCAUUCAAAGCUAAAACCUUUACUCAGCAACUCUUGGUUCUUAGACCUCUCCAACUCAUAUCUUCGCUUCCACUCAGCAGCCUCAGCUUGAGCCAAUGCCUUUCCUUCAGCAGAUCCUCUUAAAGCCUUUGCAACAGCUACACAAAACCUUAAAAGUGAGUUCUAACGACAAAGAAAACAACAAGUAAUCCAAAGCUUUACUUACUUCUCAAAGCCUCAGAAAACUCAAUGAGGUGAUCAUCUGUUGCUAGCAUAGGAGUCUGCUGAGUAAGAAGCUCCUCAACAGCUUUCUCUGAUUGAGCAAGUGAAGAACCAUUUUCUGGGUUUGAUCCCAAACUGUUUACAUCUCCAUUUCCAAAAGAGUCCUGCCAAGCAAAUUGAAUAAAGUUGAUAAUGUUCUGAUUCAAAGACAUAAGCUUUGAAGAUAAAACAUAACCAGAAACAGUUUCAUCACUAAUGAGCUGAAGAGAAGCUAAGAAAAAACUCUCUCACAUUCUCAAUUUCCAAAUCAAUUCUCAAUAAAAUGAUAUCAUAAAAAUCCCCAGAGAGAGAGAUUUUACAUAAAAAUCAAAACUUUAAAACGAAAAAAAUAAACAGUAGAGAGAAAUCAAAGGGACAAAACACGCAAAGCAGAAGAAAGAGUUAAACAAAGAAGGAGAGAUGUAAUGGAAGUACAGUGUAAUUGAGCUUGUAGCUCGACAUUGAAUUCUCUCUAUGAUCCAAGAAGAAGCUUAUGGAUAUUUCAUUGUCAAGACGGCAGGCAGAUUUAUAUACAGAGAAUAUGUGCAAGAAGGAAGGAAGGAAGAGUCGUAAGCAAAGCAUACAGCUUUUUUAUUUUAUUUUAUUUUAUUUUUGUGGAACAGUAAUUGCUUUGAAGUUAACGACCGGAUCUCACAUAUUUUUGACCCCCAAAUAAAGUCUUCUCUUAUAUUUAAAUAACAAAACAAAAAGGAAAUAUAAUACUUGCUAGAAAAGAUUUCAGAUAUUUUUCUUAAAGUUCUGUAUUUUAUACAGAUAAUAUUUUAAGAGAUCUGGAACUAUAGCUUUUUGAUAUUCAGAUUAGGAGAGUAAAUAUUGGGUCUGAUUGGUAAUUACUGUACCUUUAAAAAUUUUGCUGUAGAAAAAAAUCUGUAGACUUUUUGUUUUGGUUUUAGAUUUUAUUGUUGUAGAAUUUUCUGAAAAGUACUAAAAAAUUAUUUUAGAUAUUUGGCUCUGCAGACCACUUGUACAGCUGUAGGUUAUUUUAAGAGCUGUAGUUUCAAAAAAAAAAUUAAAGCUUGAUUGCUCUGAAUUUGGCGAUGUAUAAAUAAAUAGGGCUGUUGACAGCAUCUACAGCAACUACCAAUCACCUCCAAUUAUAUAGAGAAGAUGGUUUGAAUACGGGGCACGAAUAGAUUUUCUUUUUGGUUUUCGUACAUUUUUCAUGCAACACUAAAAUUUCAUACUCCUUCUAUUUUAUAAAAAUGCUAUUUUAAUGUUUUAUUACAAUGAUUGUUAUUUUAGAAUCUAAUACAAUUUAUACAUAUUUUUAUUUGAAUAUUUAUUACAAAAUGCAUUGAUAUUAUAAAAAAGUUUUUUUCAAUAACUAGGAAUAUAAUUAUUAAAGACAUAAAUGAACUCUUAUUUUUUGAAACACUUUUUUAAACACGAAUGAACUUUAAAUAUUUCCUUAAUUUUUAUGAAAUGUCAAAAUAAUGUAAUCCUCCACGAGAAUCAUUAAUUAACUUUCAUGUCUUUUCUAGUUCAUAAAUCAUUUAACGUGUGGUUUGUUAGUUAGACUGGUUGUGGCCUUGUGCCGUACGAAGAGUUUUAGGAACCUAAGGCAAAUUUUAAAAAUAAAUUAAUUUAUAAUUAUAUUGAAAACAAUUUUGCAAUAUAAUAUAUCGUUUUCAACAAAUACACAAAUCUAACGCUGUAAGAAUAAGUUUAUGCUAUAUUAGUCUAGAAAAAAUUAUAAAAAAUAAGUCUAAACCAUUAGAUUAUAAAUUUAUUUUAAAUUUUAGGACCCUAAAAAAAUUCAUAUUAAUCGGGAACCUAAGGCGAAUGCUUUUUUCAAUACACUACAGGCACGCCUCUGCCUUGUGGGCAUAAUGAAAUGAAAUGUCGACUUUAGGCUCCUAAUUCUAAAAAUAAUAUAUAGAUGUAGGGUGCGAAAUUGUUAUAGAAAAGUUAUUAAUAUUUUUACUAAAAUAUCUUUAGCCUCUAAGAUCUCAAGGAAACUAAGUUGCUAGAGGAGAAGAUAAUGCAUGCUUCAUGUAAAUGGUCCUAACUUUCGGAGAGGUGACGUCAAGAAUUUCUUUGAAAAACUUUUAUAUCUUAUUGCUACAUACAAGUUUCCAUGGUUUUUCAGAUUAAUUAUAAGAGUUUGGUUGAUUGGGAAAUUCAGUCCACAUAUAUAGUUUAUAUUUGAAUUUUGUAUGAUUAUCUUUCGGAAUACUUUAUCUACUGAUCGUUACGUGAUCGAAUUUUAUAUACUGGCCGAAUUUCGAUAAUGUUUUUAAACAGCCUAACAUAAUCUCCAGCAUUAUAUGUUCACAUGUGAACCACCUCUAUUAGAUAAAAAAAUCAUUUAACAACUUAACCAGCCAUUAUAUACCAAUGCCAUUAGAUCACACAAACCUGAAGUUUCAAAAGUCUUUCUUAAGUGUUCAAGCUUCUUCUUUCUAUAUAACCAAGUGUGAGAAAAUCAUUCGCUUGUAUCUCAUGCUUGAUUUCAUUGGACUCAAGGCUAUUUAAGUCCAAAAUACUAUAGGAAAUGCAUCUGCCAAAAAGUAUAAGACUGCAUACCAUGGAAAAUAAUGAUGAAGUUUUAACAUCCGCAGCUAUGAGAAUGGUAAGCAAUCCUAUCAACACUAGGGGAAUUAGGAGAUGAAUCCUAUCAACACUAGGGGAAUUAGGAGAUGAUGAUUUAGUAAAAAAAUAUUACAUAAUACGAUUGAAAAUGAGAAAAUGAAAAAAAAAAACAUUACUAUUUGCAGAUGCUAUGUAGAUAUAUUGAAUUUAAAGUUGGAUUUUGAAAUUAGAGUUCUUUUAUAUUAACCUAUUAAAUUAAUACUUUAUCCAAUGUUAAUUUAAGAAGUCAUAGUGUAUACGGAAGAUAUCAUUUUUGUUUUUAUUCAAAAUAGAUAGCAUAGUACCAACUUUACAAAAUUAGUUACUUUGGCAAUUAAAGAUUUUCUAUAGUAUGAGUGGUCCCUAACAACGCGUGGCUGAAUUUUCACUUUUUUCUGGUCCUCGAUCUCAACGUGGUUGCAGUCCGCUCGUGGGAUUUUGGUUCCACUACGUCUAAGUGCACACUAGACUUCUCGUGCAUCAUGAUUUCUACACGUAGUUAUCUGUAAGCCACAAAUCCAGUAGACGCUUUAGAUUUGAUAUGCGGAGUGGAGCUUCGAGAUUAGUAAAAUGCAGUGUUUUUUUGGACUUGGACGGCAAUUUCUGUUUCAUGGAAAUAUUCAACCAAGUUGACUUUGUAUUCCGAGAAUCCUCUGUUUUGUCGUAUAUUCCCAUGUUGCAAUAUGUUAUUUUCGCUAGAGAACGACUAAAGUCUUAUAUGUAUUUGAAUUUUAGAAAGGCCUUACUAAUAUUGCGACACUAAAAAUGUCAAUGAGGAAGUGUAAAUUUUCGCAAAUUUAUAGAAUAAGAUUUAACAUAAUAUUUUUCUUGAAGGAUAAUACUUUUUAGUUGCAUGUGAAUUCCCUUUACGUACUUUUGUUGACAUACUACCAAUUCAAAUGCUACUUACUAUCUGACUUUAAUUUGGUCACAACAAAUUUUUAUAGAGUUCACAUACUCAGAAAGUAAAGGGGUAGAAGUCAGCAAUACUUUGUAAUGAAUAUUUUGCCAUUUUUGUAUUGUCUGAAAAUAAAAGGUCAGUAGACUUUUGAGUUUUGAGGAUUUUGAUCUUGAAUUCUUGACCCAAAGUAUAUUUGGUACAUGUGCCAUCUUUCUCAAAUUGUCUUUUAUAUACCAAACAUAAGGUGUAAUCAACAUUGGCUUUCACAUUGUGUUUCCUUAAUAAAGAAUUGUUCCACAAUGUGUUUCCUUCUCGUAUACGAAUUUACAAACUAGAUAAUAAUGGCAUGUAUAUCCAUAACUUUAGAAGUACGUUAACAUUUGAUAAUCUUAAGUCUUAACACAUGUAUGCUUCACAAUGCUUUUACAAAAAAAAAUGUAUGCUUCAUAAACGUAAUAUCAUUUACAAAAAAAGAAAGAUGGAUAUGUUUGGUGGAGUGAGUCUCGGCCGUUUAAUCUCUGCACGUUCUCGUGAUCUUUCUGCGUUCCAUCCAAUCCAAGCCGAACAAUAUAAUGCUGGAGUAUUUUUCGAGUAUUUGGAUAUGUUUGAUAGUCUUUCCUUCACUUUCCAAGAAGAUUGCUCUCAGAUUUUAAUGCAUUUUAUAAGAAUGAUCCAACCCAUUUUAUAUGAAAAUGUUUGAUAACAGCUCUAAGAACAUGUGGGUCAAGUGGAGAACUGAUUCAAAGUCUUCCAUAGAGAUAGCUAACAUUGACGUUGACAAUGUUAUUAUAAAUUACUAACUAGUUUUCUUCUUAUUCUAUACAGUAUUUAGUAUUUCUUCGAAUGUUGUUUUCAUAGUCAUUCUUGUCUAUUUUCAUCUGCCCAUUUAAAAUAUAUCUAACAUUUCUUCUAGGCUCUUCUUACCCAAUCAAUUGGUUUUAUUCUUUGUUAAAAUUAAUCUAUUCAAACUUAAGCCUCUUUGGCUCAUAAUAAAUUAGGAAAAACGUUACAACAAUAUGACAUUCAAAUGCAACAAGAAACAUAACUAUGCUCUCUGCCUCCUUGGUUUCAGACUUUCAGGUUAUAUCAAAGAUUAAAGUUGACGGCGAAGAGAUGAAAGUGCUUGGCUUGUGUUUCUUGAGAUUCGGUCAUGUAUUGGUUCCUGCUGAUAAAGCUACGCAUCAAUACGCUUCUAAUCUCAAAUGUAAUUCUUGAGAUUCGGUCAUGUAUUGGUUGCUGCUGAUAAAGCUACGCAUCAAUACGCUUCUAAUCUCAAAUGUAACAAAAAUCACAAACACAGGUGAGAAGUGAAGACUUUGGGAUGAAUCAUACCUGUGUAGGAAGAAUGUCAAUUCUUGAUCCAGUGAUUGUCUCAUACAAGAAAAUGUACCUGCCAUAGUCACAGGUUAAUCUUCCAUGAGUUUUUUUUUUGGGUCAAGAACCAUGAGUUCUUUAAAACUAAUACUACUAGGCUACUAGUUAAAGCUACCAUUGUCCAGCAAAUGUUUAAUCUCACAGUCUCUAAAGAGUAUACACGUUCAAUGUUUCUUCCCAUAUAACAAAAUACAUAGUCAAGAAAGUUUAUAUCCGAGUUUACAGAUAAAGAAACAUACCGCCAAGCUAAUUCAGUAACGAGUUCUGCUGGAGCAGCAGGGAGGACCUGAAAAGAUCAGAGAUACAACCGAAACUAAACAGAGUUUCUCAUACAGUGCUGGAGUUUACAUUCUGAAGAUGUAAGCUUACCUCGUCCUCAUAUGGAUUGCAGUUCUCUUUAAACCACAGCCUUAUGAACUCCUGUUUAGAUUGAAAAAAGAGGAUAAACAUGUGAUUAACAAUGCACUCUGUACCAAUAAAACCUGACUUGAACUGUAUGGCCAAGGAGAAAAAACAAGAAAUAUCACUGACCUUAUCAACAUUUUCAGGCUCAAGACCUUUCUGGAAGCGCUCUUCAUAGGAACCAGCAAGCCAGUAUCUGCUUGAAUCCGGCGUAUGAAUCUAUAUACAAUGGGUAAAAUUCGAAUAAACUGUGCAUUCAAAAGAGAGAUGAUACGGAAAGAAAGAGAAAGUAUUAAAACUAACCUCAUCAAUCAAUAAGAUGGAUCCAUCGCUACUUCUUCCAAACUCAUACUUUGUAUCCACCAGUAUCAGUCCAUGCUCCUUGGCCACGCGCUGAAAUAAAUCAUAAUGUACUUAGAAUCUAAGAAGACCUUCCAACAACGCACAAAAUAUAAUUCUUGUUGUCUGCAUUCAUAAGAUUCUUAUAACCAUUAGAGUCUAUGGCUUUAGACGGUGGAGUUGUAGCUAACCUGCCCAAACUCAAACAAGCUCAAAGCUUUCAUACUUGCUUCGUCAAAUUCAGCUUGAGUCAUGAAUCCACCUUCAACUAUCUGCAAGCAAAAAAGAGUCAUUCGCCGCAUAAGAAGCAGCAAAAAAAGUAAACAACUUUGUAAACAGAUUAAUUAGACCUCAUUUGGAGUGAUGGGCACAUCAUGAUCCUCAGCCUUGGUUGUUGGCGUGAGUAUAUUAGCUGGAAGCUUCUGGUUUUUCACUAAACCUGCAAAUUUAGGAAUCAGUUUAUUAAUGUAUCUUCUGACAUAUGCACAUACUUGAAGAAGAAGAAGGAAACAAAGGAGAAAGAGUACCAUCAGAGAGGACAUUCCCACAAUAGUUCCUAACACCUUUCUUGUAUACCGUCCAUAAAGAUGUGUCAGUACUUCCAGUCACAUAUCCUCUAACUAUCAAACAACAAAACAUUAUAUUAAAAAAAAAAACAGUUUAGAACUAAAGCAAACAGAGGCUGUAUAGAGAAGCAUAAACAUACUAACCCACAAACUCUAUUGGGAAGACGGAGCAUUUCUUUGCAAUAACAACAUUUCUAUCAGGAGAUGAAACGACUGCGUUUGGAGUUAUGUGCUGUGUGUUAUUGAACCACCACAAGCUGGUCUCGUUAAGAACCUGAAAGUGUUAGGCAGCACAAACUUAAUAUCUCUCUGCAAUCCAACUUGAAUUUACAGCGGCAAACAUGGGAAAAACAAAAAAAAACCUGGCCUUUGAAGGGAAUUGAAGCAAGGUUUCUGUCGAAUGCACUCAAGCGAUCAGUUGUAACAAGAACUAGAUAAUCACCAGCAUCAUAUAUAUCUCUGACCUGCAAAAGCAGCAAGUCCUCCUCAACUAUCACUUGCUUGGCUUUAUAGAGAAUAACAAUGGAAGAAGACAAAGGAAACAACAACAAACCUUGCCUUUGAUUCUAGAUUUGAGACCAGGAACAGUCUCUAGAAGAUUGGUCUCUGAAAGACAGUUGGAGAGCGAGUCUUUGAUUGUGCCGAGAACCUCUCCUUUACGGUUACUCGUGACUAGAUCGUCAAGAGACAAUUGUGGCGGUGGUAUCUGCUCUUGCUGGCUUUGGGCCUUUCCCUGGCAAGACAUAACUGGGUACUUCUUGAACUCGGGCAAUGUUCUAAGAAACGAGACUGAUGCAAAAGCUCGGGUUUUUGCAGACACUGUCCUAAUAAAGCUCUGUGGCGUUCUCGAUGGAUUUAGAGUUGACGACCUCACACACUGAGCCAUUCCAGAAAAAAACCCCAAAAGCAACAAACUGCACCAAAACCUGAAACUGUUUUAAAACAGAACCUAUUGUUCUAAAAAGGUCAGGGCUUUAGACCAAACUGAACUCUAACAAGGGAGAUGUACCCGAAAAGGAGUAACCACAACUAACACACAAAUUAUAAACCCAAAACUAAUAAACCAAACCAAAACCAAAACCAAACCAAACUAAACCAAACGUUAUUGAAUUACGGAAAGUAAAUAUAAAAACAGAGGAAAAUAAAACUCGCUUUUGCCCACCGCGUCCUCUCUCGGAGAUCACAAGAUCCGUCACCUCUUCUGCAUCCUCCAACUCCAUUGUGUUUCGUCUGAAUCCAAAAGGUUUAACCUUUGCUCAAAGUUCCUGAAACCCUUCACGGAGAUGCCAAUUUAGAGAAUUUCUAUGGUGAAGCCAGCCGGAAAGCAGAGUUGUGGUCGCCUUGUCUUCGCUUCAUUCCUCGCUCUUUUAUCCCUCGGCCUCGUCGCCGACUUCCUCUGGGCUUCCUCUCAUCGCUUCUCCUCCGCCAUAAUCUCUCUUCCCUCCUCCGUCAUCGAAAAGCUCCCUCCUAGUCCCAAUGUAAGUGUUCAAUCUGCUCUGUUUUUUUCUUUUAUAUCUCUCGAACAAUCAGAUGAAUCAGCUUAUGUGGAUACCUUUCAGGAGAAAGAUACUAAGAAGAAGAAGAACGAUAAUGCUCUUCGAGAAAGGAAGCUCUCUGCAACGUUCCAAGAUCUGCCUGCUCCUCUUCUACAUUGGGAGAAGAUGUCAGCUGCACCUGUGCCUCGUCUAGACGGAGCUGCGAUUCAGAUUAGAAACUUUCUAUACGUCUUUGCUGGUUACGGCAACAUUAAUCUCGUAAGCGUUGUAUAGAGAGAGAUCUUUGAUCAGUAGCAUUAGAUGAAUUGAUGUUUCUGUCUUUCAAUAUAUCAGGUGCAUUCGCAUGUUGAUAUAUACAACUUCGUGGACAACACAUGGGGAGGAAGAUUCGAUAUGCCUAAAGAGAUGGCUCAUUCUCAUUUAGGGAUGGUUACGGAUGGGAGAUUCAUCUACAUCGUCACUGGUCAGUAUGGUCCUCAAUGUAGAGGACCUACUGCUAAGACAUUUGUGCUUGAUACUGAUACAAAUACGUGGAGUGACUUCAUUCCCUUACCAGUUCCUAGGUGAUUGCUAUUCUCUGUUUAUCAUCAAGUUAGAUAGAAACUGAGUGAUGAGGUUUUAUGUACAUGUCAGGUAUGCUCCAGCUACUCAGCUAUGGAGAGGUAGACUCCACGUGAUGGGUGGAAGCAAAGAGAAUCGACAUACACCGGGACUUGAACACUGGAGUAUCGCUGUUAAAGAUGGCAAAGCGUUGGAGAAAGAGUGGAGAAGUGAGAUUCCAAUCCCUCGUGGAGGACCUCACAGGUUUGUUUAAUAGCUUCACGCUUCAUCAUCCAUUUUUAUCUGAGGUUUGAACUGUUUUUUUUUGGUGAGUGUAGAGCAUGUGUAGUAGUGGACGACAGGCUUUUUGUAAUUGGUGGUCAAGAAGGUGAUUUCAUGGCUAAACCAGGAUCUCCCAUCUUCAAAUGCUCACGCCGUUUGGAGGUAUUGUUGCUAUUUUAUGAAUGUUUUGUAUGUGUGUGUGUGUCCUUACCUUCUUCACCUUGGUGGUUCUCAAGGUGGUGUUCAGUGAUGUUUACAUGCUGGAUGAGGAAAUGAAGUGGAAAGUGAUGCCAUCUAUGCCAAAACCGGAUUCGCAUAUUGAGUUUGCAUGGAAGGUGGUUAACAACUCCAUUGUGAUCGUUGGAGGGACGACAGAGAAGCAUCCUGAAACCAAGAAGAUGGUUCUCGUUGGCGAAAUCUUCCAGUUUAACCUGAAUACAAUGGUAAAAAAAACACAUGUCUCUGCAUGCUUAAGACCUUCUUUAGCCUGUUAAUAAGUGUAAGCUGAGUUUUGUUUUAUGUUUUAUUGUCUGCAGAAAUGGUAUGUGAUUGGGAAGUUGCCAUACCGUGUGAAGACGACGCUGGUUGGGUAUUGGGAAGGGAAUUUAUACUUCACCUCGGGGCAACGAGACAAAGGUCCUGAUGAUCCUGCACCACGCAAGGUAAUUGCAGAGAUGUGGAGAACCAAACUUAUACUGACUCCAUGAUCAUGAGAGUGAGAGAAAAGAAAUCUAUCUCCCUUUAGUAAUGCAAAGUCGCAACACUUUUUGAAGUUUAUAUUCUUUGAGCCUAACUCAUUCCACUCCACAUAACAAUUGUUAUAUCUAUCUUCUAUGUUGAUGGGGAAGUUGUAUAUUGUAUACUAAAAUCACAAACUUAUAGAAAAUUCCAAUUUUUCCAACACAUCUUUGUGUGCUGCUUUCUUCAUCUCACAGUUGUCUUCUGUUUCCUUUUACUCACCAAACGUUUUUUUCAAAAGACCAGUUAUGUACUUCCGUAACCAAGACCUCAUGUAGCAAGAACUUAUACAUAUGUUAAAUUAUGUACUUGAUUUUUUUUUUCAAGUGUAGAGAAAAACUGGUAACAAUGUCUGCAUUGCUAAAAACCAUAUAGAUCAGACAUUUUCAGCACAACAAUACGUCAAUACCCAAUACUAAUGUUAUUGUAGGUUUCUUAACUCAAAACCCUUUAAUUCAAAGAAACAAAAAUAGUCCUUCCAUGUCCCCCCUACAAGCCAAGAAUAAGCUCAACCAUAAAGAGCUCAUUCUCAAAUCUAAGACUUGAUGUCACAGCAAGAUUCAGACCAUCAACCAUUCCACCAAACACAUACACAUACCGUCCCGAACCAUCAGCGCACGCCCGAUGAAACGACCGCCCUUUGGGUCUAUAAGACACCCCAUCAAGCCUCUUCCACGCCUUUGAACCAUUUAAACAAACCGCUCCUCCAUCUACCUGCAGACCUUUAGAUGGAAUGGUCUUGACAUCCAACGCCCAAAAAUCAUCCUUCUUGUGCCUAAAGGUAUCUUCUCCUCCGUAAAUAAGAAUCCGACCUCCCAAUAUGAGUGUUGCCGAGUGACCAACCCUCGGCAACGAAGCGCUCUCCUCCAAGUCUCGAAAGUCGUAGAAGAUCUGUAUCCAACGUUCGCACUGUUCCUGAGUAUCCAACAGCCAAACAUCGUUAAGCACGUCGUAACCCAACCCUUGUAUCCAACGUUCGCACUGUUCUUGAGUAUCCAACAGCCAAACAUCGUUAAGCACGUCGUAACCCAACCCUCUUCCUCCGAACAGAACCACUUGGUUCUCUCUUAUGUAAGUCAGAGUAUGCCCCGACCGCGGCGGCAGCAAGGCGUUGGACACAACCUCGUGCCAUGUUCCCGAGUUAAGAUCCUCGGAGAGUUCGAGAAUCCACGUGUCCCCCAGUCUCACUCCGCUUAAACCGAUCCCUCCUUGCACGACCAUCGUCUUCUCUGAGAUACAAGAAGCAGCAUGAGCACCUCGAGGAGGCGGCUUUAGGCUUCCCAGGACAGCUAGUAGCUUCCAGGUUAGUUGCUUCCCGUGGCAGCCCACUCGACCUAUCCACGUGUCGUUCAGCCGCUCUCCACGGUCGUUUAUUCCUCCGAAUAAGACUAGAGAGUCUCCAAUGACGACGCAGGUGUGUCCGAAUCUCCCACCGGGUGUAACUGACUCAGCUUUCUUCCACUUCAACGUCUUCUGAUUGCUCUCUCCGACGUAAGCCGUCCACGUGUCAUCAAGAUGACGUCCUGUAAAAACAAAGAAACAUGAACACAAGCACUAGAGAGUUCACUGGUUCAACAAAAGGAAAGAGCUUUGACACCUCCUUCACGGCCACCACCGAAGAGGACAAGAUAAUCAGUAACGAAGUUGAGAGAGUGAGAAGCUCUAGGGAGCGGUAGUAACGAAGACUCAUCAUCAUCGUCUAGGUUCGAGAUUUUGUGGCAAGAGACGGAAUCAAGCUUGCAGACUCUCUUAAACAGAACCAUCCACGGUAAUAACAACCCCGAUGACUUGACUGACUCAGCCGACGAUGGGCCCCACUCUCUCCGCCACAAGGACUCCCAGAGGCUGUCGGAGCAGGCGAGGUCACGGAACCUCUUGCAGGUGGCUGAGAAAGAGAGGAUUGAAUCCACGGGGAGGAGGAGGAGGACGGUGAAGAGAUGGUCGUCGGCUAAGUUCAUUAUCGGCGCCGGCGGAGAUUGGUGGCCUCUGCCGGAGGAGGUGGAAGCGAUCUCAGCCAUCGGUGGGGGUGAUGAUGUCUUGAAGAGGAGGAGGUUUACUGAAUCAACAGAUGAAGAAGGACAGAAGAGAGGAAGACGAAGAAGGCGAAGAUUAGAGAUCUCUUCUUCUCUCGUCACGGAGCCGACAAGAGGGACUGUAAAAAAAACACUAGAAACCAAUCUUUUCCUCUUUUGACAAAAGUCAUGUAAAGUGCAGUAAUAACAAUAAAUAAUAAUUAAGGCUUUGUACGUUUGGGUAUGUAUGUGCUCGAAUUUGAAUUUGAGUAUUUUGGAAUUUUUUCUUUUUGAGCAAUUUUUUUUUGGAUUUUAGAUUUUUUUUUUAAAUUUAGCCUCUUCAAUUCUAAUCGGGGUUUAUAUACAUGUUAAGAUCAUUUUUUUAUCGUAGUACUUUGAAUUCAUAAAAUUUACUUCAUCCAUUUCGUUAAACUAGAUGUUUUAGAAAAAAAAUUUGUUUCACAUAGAUAAACUUUUUGUAUUUUCUAUAAAAAAAUUUGUGAUGUUCAAGAAAGUUAAUUGAUUUUUUUGAAUUACUAUUGGUUAAAAGUUAUUGAAAUUUCAAAAUUACAGAAAAUAAUAUAUUUAUUAUAAUGAUUUAACGUACUUUUUUAAUGUGUGUAAAUAAUAAUAAAUUAUAUUUAUGAAACAGAAAGAGAGUAAUAAAUUUGAAAUAAAAGAUAAAAAUCUUUUAACUUUUAAACUUCAAUCAUUUAAAUCAACAAUUUUUGUGCUGGCAACUUAACACAUUACAUUGUGUUUGAUUUUCAUUUUAAAUCUUUAAAUUUUUGUUGAUUAAGUCAAAUUAGACAUCUGUUAAAUAAAUUAACAUAAUAUAGAACAGAGUUAAAAAAAAAAUUGAAACACCAUAGUUAAACUAAACGAUGUUGUUUUGUUCGCUUUGGUUUGAAAAAGUGAAAAUAGUCAUACAAAAUCCAGUAUUUUAAUACCAUUCUAUUCUAUUAAAAUACAUUCUAGUAGUAUUUUUAUAACUCGGAUCUGUUUUGGCUUUUGGGUUUUAAGUUCAGGUUUGAUUAGGAUCUUGGAGUUUUCCUCCGGCCUAACGAAUUUUGGUAAUUUCGAACUUAUAGAAAUAUCAAAAGUAAACCCCAAAUAUUUUAUUAAACUCAGAUUUCAACCCCGUAGUUCCAGAUUAACAUCCAUUUUGGGUAAAAACAUAGAUAAAAAAGCAGUUUGGUCAUUUCUGCAAACUCAAGGUUCUUGGUCAUUUCGGCAAAUAGUUAAGUUUGACCUUCUCUAUCACUUUCCAUAGUGCAGCUUUAGCUUCUUCCAGCGUUUCAACACCAUGACCUUCCUCAAAUGGUAGCCUUUGUAUGUUGAACUGACAAAACCAAACACACAGAGAAGACAAAAGGUGAGAGGCGCUGUGCAUGAUCAUGUAUCAACACGACAAUUGUUAUAUACAAUGUUUUUUUUUUACCUGAGCACCUUGACGAACCCGUACAUCUAUCCCUUUGCUAUCUAUAGAAAUGAGGGCAGCGUCGUCUACCUCUGUUUCAGAUGACAGUAACUCUCUAAGCGGCUUUGAGAAGAUGGCAUUUAGUUCCUACCAGAGGUUAAGAGGUAAAAGUAAGAGUCUGUUUCAAUUUACUAUAGGACAAGAAGUGGUUUAUUUGGAGUUUUGUAAGGGGACCAAGGAAGGAUUUGAAAAUGAAGCACCUUGAGGUUUUGCUCACCACCAUCAACAGCGAUCUUGUCUGGCUGUAAGGCCUCAUACUCUUUGACAUCAACCCAUGCGACCGUUCCAAAGCCUCCAAUGAAAUAUAUAUCACUGCCAAUAGUCACAUUUGAGUAUGCAUAAGUAGAAUAGGAGACAAACAAUCAUAACAUAAGUUGGUAAUUUAGGAGGCAUAAGUUUUGGAAACAAAACCUUAUGUUGUGCAUUCUAAAAUAGCGAAAGUUUCCACACUGCUCGGAAGUUCCGUGCUGGUGCUUUGCAAUGUAUUGCUUAUGAGCCAAAUCCUACCAAGCCACAACCAUUCCACACUGCUCGGAAGUUCCGUGCUGGUGCUUUGCAAUGUAUUGCUUAUGAGCCCACUCCUCCCAAGCCACAACCAGAGGCAUUUGAACUGGUUUAACAGAUAAGAUUACUGAACCCAAAGAUUAGCAACUAGUUAGUUAGAUAUUAACCUGUUCAUCAUCGGACAGUGGGUACACAUCACCGAAUAAUGUCACUCUUGCAUUAGACAAGCAACUCCAUCCAGGCAUCUGACAGCCAAAACCCCGUUACAGACCAAACAAAGAGAGAGAAUCUUUUGAUCUUUGUAGUCUAAACACAAUAGCCAAUGUUUACCUGAACAACGAGACUACAUCUAGGUUCAGCCAAGAGGUUUCGUGUGUGGAUGGCCAACGGUGAAAGUAAGAAUAUUGGAUCUGGAAACAAAAGGUACUUUAUAAGCCAACGUGCAUCUAUAAUCUCAGCAUACAAAGAUAGAAUAAGCAGUGAAGAAAGAGAGAAAGGUUUGGUGACUUACGCCCCAACCGAUCAGGUGCAAAAUCAACCAAAGAGCCAAAGGGGUACCCUUCUCUACGGUGGUGCAUUUUAGACAUCAUUGUGCAUAGAUGAGCAAACCUCGCCUUGAAUCAUACAAAAGACAAGACAGUUAAACAACUUAUCAUCAUAUUCCUCGUUCAAGUUUAAUUACAAAUCUUUUUUACCUGCUCCAGCAAGUUCCGAACAGCUAAAGCAGGACGAGGUAACGCAUGAGCUGAUGUUGCAUUUUGAACUCCGCCAGAUAUAGGAGUUCUAAAAAGGCCAGCUCGGUUUCCCCCAGCACCCUGAGGAUGUGCAAGAGAUGUCUCCACAUCGAUUACACUCUCAAGCUUUUCCUAACACACAAACAUUAUAAGUUAUUAGCUAUUAGCAGCCCAAAGCAAACCAUCCAAAUAGAACUAUCUACUUCAAGAUUCAUUAUUAACAACAAUCCAAGAUUCAAUUCAAAGCAUUAUAUCUUGUCCAGAACUAGCGUAAGGGUACCAUAGACAAAGAAUAUUACCUGUGACAAAGAGAAGAUAUCCCCAGGAAAGAAGUUAAAUCCACUACUCUUGCCAAGAUUAUCUCCACCUUCACUUGGUGUCUCGUUGUGUAAGAGAGCUUGUAUCCGGAGCCCGUGGCUUGACCCAUCCCUGGUUCUCAGCUUGGGGAUUCGCUUGGCUGGCGAACUACACGACCAACACGAAGACUGAGAUGAAGCUAGCGAAGAUUUGAAGACAGGCUUGGUCACGGGCAAAUUGGAGAUGUAUGCUGAAGUAGAGAGAGCUUCCAUGGUAAGAUUCUUUUGAGUAUGGCAGAUUCGUCAACACGCCUUUACUGAAAAAAGUUAAGCUUAUAGGAGUUUUCCAGAGUAGGGUUUAAAACAAGUAACAGUGGUUUCACGGAAAGCUCUGGGAUAGUGGUGUUCUGUUUUUCACCUUUCGGCUUUAAUACAAAAACAAAAAUACUAUUAUUAGUUUCCUUUUCUUAGGAAAAAUAGGAAAAGAUGAUAUUCCUUUUUCAACGCAAAUCAUCAUUAUCUCAAGAACAAGAUCAUGAUUAUCGUCAUGAGUUUAUGACUACAUUGCAAUAAAUGAUUACUGAUAACAAUAGCAGUUAUAAAUAGUUUUUUUUUUAAUAUAGGGGGAAGAGAUUAGCUAAACUAUACUAGAAUUCUUACAAAUAUUUACGUUUUUUUUAAAUUAUGUAUAUUAUUUUUACAUAAACUGCCUAAAAUAGUAUAUUUAUCAACUAUUAACAGAUGUAGAGUAAAUUUUGAUUACUCAAUACUCGUAUUUAAAACAAGAAUAAUUUGUUGACAAAAAAUAAAAACAAGAAUAAUUUUGAUUUUCCAAUAUUAUAAGUUUUUUGUUUCUUUAUCUAGGUUGAAUAUUAUAAUAACCAGUACUUUAGACUUCUCUCUCCACUACAAAAUAAUUUUUCCAUCUCACGCGAUGGUUCAAAACCAUUUAAAACGUUUGGAAAUAAAAAUCAACACGUCGAUCGAUGAUACAUGCAACUUGUAUCACUAUCACUAAAGCCUAGCUGCAACGCAGGAACCCCCACGUCUCAAACGUUGUCGUUUUCGGCCCAUCCUUCCUCUGAAUCCAUACGACACCGUCUGAGCUGUAGCGUCACUGCACGCGCCAGCUUGCUUUCGCCGGCUCGAAUCAUUCCUGCGGCAACACCGGUUACAUCUUCCACCUUCUUUAGCCUCGGACACGUCAUCGUCUUCCGCGCGUUCCUAACACCGAACCAAAACGCAGCUGCUAAAAUCACCUUCGUCCCUCUUGUUUUCCCCACGGCCAAAGCGAGUGACGCCAACGAAACGACUUCGUUUCUUGAAUCUCCGUUUAGUCCUAACUCAUCACACCAAUUUACAAAAAUGCCAUCCCCCACGGCAUUGACUCCCUUUUCCCUCCUUCGCGGCCCUCUGUUCACGGUGGUCUUCCUCGUCGUCGACGACGAUAGCUCGGAGGUGGAGAUAAGGUCCAGAGACGAGCAGCAAGACGAAGCUGAAGACGAAGACGUUCCACAACCACAGCAGGAGCAGGUUAUUUUAGCAGGCCAAGGGGAAAGAGAACCAGAGACGAUAUCUCCGGUGAGGGAACUGCAACCAGGGCAGAUGAUGCGGCGGACAUGGCGGGAAAAAAGGAAGUUAGAGGCGUGGAACUUAACGUCGCAGGAGCGGCAGAGGUAAGCGGAGUCUGCGUCGCAGUGGAGGUGUGCUUCUGCACCACACAGCUCACAGAGUUUCACCAUCUUCGUUUUAGUGUAUUAGUUAAUGUAUUCUUCUAUGAUGAUGGGAAGAGAGAUUUAAAGGAGGAGAUGAUGUUUUAUUAAUGAUUGAAGGAGAAUAACACGGUGGAGCUUUAUGGUUCAUAGUUGACGAUAGAAUAUAGUGGCUAUUAUUUAUUUAUAUCUUUCUUCUAAUAGAAACUUACAUCAGCCAGAUUUUUAUUUUAAUAAUUUUAUUAGUUUAAUAAAUAUUGCAAAUUGGGAAAUGAAUGAGUGGUGUUUGGAGAGUUGGUUGAAUGUGACGUGUCGAGAGGUCUUGAGGUCAGUGAGAUCUGUGGCUAUUUUUAAACCAUUGCACUAGCCGCCGUGUCUUUUCGUGUGACGUGGAGACUUUGUCAACACUAAAGUCUUUGCUCACUGCAAUUUGCCUUUUGUUUUUGUUUUGUUGCUUCCAUUACAUUUCUUCUGCAUUGUUUCUGUCUUUUUGUAGUAUUAUACGUACAAUACUCGACCUUUAGAUUCUUUGUUUCCGGUCACAUGUGCUUUGUUUUGUUAUUAAGUUUCCUAAUACGGUUGGAGUAAAAGUCAGGAAAUAGUGAGAGAUUUAAAUUGAAAAAUCUUUCAUUUAAACUUUGAUAAGGACUUAAUACUCCUCUAAUCUUAUUUUCCAAGGGUACAAACAGACAAGGUAUAAGGUAAGGCAAACCUGUUUGGUUAUUUUGUCAAACUAUUCCAACAAGUGCCUAUCUUGAAAUCAAUUUUUUUUAAUGGUUCCUUGAAUACAUAAAGCAAAGACCAUAAUUAAAAGGUAUUAAUUUAUGUAUAAGCCAAGCCACGGUACUUGGUUAAGAAACUUCCACAGCGAGCGUGCUUACUUAUGUUCCAUCCGACCAAAGCGCCUCUUGCGUAAUGAAACUCUUGGUUUGCGUUGCUGCACGCUGUUAGAUUGUCCGGGAUUCACCUGAUCCUUCCAGGGCACUAUCUUAAGUGGAUGAGCUUCUGUGUUGAACACCCACUCGUCCAGGGGAAUAACCGUUGCGGGCGAGAAGAGGAGAUAGAGAUACUUAAGCGUCUCAGCAAGGAAGAAACUUUGCAUCUUGUUGUCCUUAACUCCUGUAUUAACCUGAAAAUGGUCGAGAAUCUACCAUCAGAUUAAACUUAAUAAUGCUGGUUCUAUUUAGGAGCCUAAGGAGAACGAACUUACAUCUUUCAAACCAACAUAUCCAGUUUCUAUGCGUGAGUUCUUCUCAAACGCUUCAAAUAUAUUCCAUCCCCAGUCUUGAUAUGUCUUGUUACCAGUUAACCUCCAGAGGUAAAACAGUGAUUCAACAUUCUCUGGCCUCAAGAUGUUCGACGACGCCCCAACACUCAUGUCCUGAACCAUCACAAUGUUUAUGAAUUGUAUGCUAAACAGUGUAUAUGGAAAAGACAAGCAAAGGACAUACACUCCCAGAGUUGAAGACAUAAUUCUCUCCAGCUAGUUUUGUUGGUGUUGAUUCGUAGAAAUUAUAACAUGUCCAUGCAAGCUGCAAAUAAGUGGGAAACACACAAAAAUAAAGUCUAAAGCUCCAACAGCUACUGAUGAAGCUAUGACCAAAGUCCAUUCAAGACAUAGCUUUACCUCUUCAGCAAGGGUGAGAAACUUCUUUGCUUGAGUAGGAUCAUCAUACCCAGAUGAUCCUAAAGCCAGCAUUCCAGGAGCAAAGCAAGCCAAUUCAUCCAUCUGAAAAUUGAUGAGAAAGAAACAUGAGAACUGUCAAUCUAUUACAACAGCACCAAUGAUUAUAUUGGUUAUACCUUAUGGGUCAGAGAACUUCCACUCUUCUCACAGAUAUAUGUAAAGGAGGAAGGUGUUGAUUUCUUAACCAAGCUUAGCAGACCAUUCAUUGAUUUCUCCCACAUAUCUCUGAUGCCAAGAUUCCAACACAUAACAAUAUACUACCAAAUAUCAAAACUACAAGACCAGCAAAGAAAAGAAGAAAAUAUAUGUUCUUCCUGUCUUUGACUACAUAUAUAUAUAUGAUCAGUAGAAAAAAAGUUAAAACUUACCUAUAGUGUUUCACUGUUAAAGUUUUGUUCCCAAACACCCAAACUUUAAGUAAAUAUUCAUAAAAGCUGCAAGCAAAAUAUUAGCAGUCACAUAUCAACAAACCAGAGCAAAACCAGAAGGGAUCAAUUGAAAAAAGAAACCUGUCUCCCCCGCCACCAAAUGUUAUGGUCGAGUAUGAUGGUUCAGCUGUAUCGGGAUUUAUAUAGACUGGAAGUAAACCGUCAGCAGGGUAGUUCUUAUUUAGUACUGUAAUGACCUUUUCUACCUGAUACACAGAGUUACAGACAGGUCAAACAUACCAAUCAGUAUGUAAUAUGUGGUAAGUUAAUCAUGCUACAAGUUGAUGGAGAAACACACCUUUUGCUGAUAUUUAGGGUCCCCAGUCCUCUGAGAAAGGGCAAUAAACUCGAGCUGUUCAGUACCAGAUUCUGCAAGAUUACUGUCUCCCUAGUACAAGAAACAUGUUAAAACACAAUCAACUACACUUAUAUGCCACAUGUAGAAGUUGAUAAUAUACAGUUAAGGCAUUAAGUAAUGUAGGAGUUACCCCUCCCCAUGUAGGGUUGUGAGCGUUUCCAUGUCUCAAGUUGAUAAUGUUAUAUGGAAUGCCAGAUGGAGUGUCCCAUGCAGGCAAUAAUCUAUCUGCUAUAUCCUUAGCCUUUUCAAGGAAAAGUUUAUCCCCAGAAAGAUCAUACGAGCUGAGAAGCCCUCCCACCACUCUAAAAGCCAACAAAGAGAAAAAACAUAAGCACAAGUUGACUCUUCUUAGUACAGGUAAGAAAACAACAUGGUAAACCAAGUUAUAUGCAACCUUAUGGUUGUCUCGAACAUACUGGCGUCAUAGUCCUUGUCGAAAUCUAAUGACGUUGCAACCCACCUGCAAAUGAAAGACUUUAAGCAUUUAUAUCAUGCCUAGAAAAUGGCGAGGAUGGAAGAGAAUCUACUCACUCUCUAGCUUUCUGAAACUGCUUGUGUAGACCCAUUAUAUAGAGUGUAUCUAAUGCAUCUAUUAUAGUCGCUCCCAGGCCACCAAAGCUGUCAACGCCAUCUUUCGUCUGGGGCUGAUAAUGCAAAAAAGAAAAGAAAAGAAAAGCUUCACACACAUAUAUGUUUUGGUAUUGCAGCUUAAGCAUACAGUUUCAGAAGAAGCUGUACCUGAAGCUCGUCUUUUCCCCAAGCAUACUUUUCAUAUGAACUCCAAGCAUGAAUCAUUGCUUCUUUUACUCUCUGCCUUCGCCCGGCAUCAACCGGAUCUUCCUUGACACUCUUCAGUGUCCUCAUAGUUGCAUCCUCCUUGACGCUUUUUACAUCUCCCAGCUAGCAGAAAUAUAUAAAAAAAUUCGAGAGUUAUAUAAAGAUCCUAAGUUUCUCAAAAUCAAAUGAGCUCUUAAGUGUUUUUGGGUCUUCUUACCAUCCGCUGCAACCGCAAGGCUUGUUUAUUUAACUUCGAAACUUCAAGCUGGCAAUGAUAAGAUCAUAACAAAGGUCAUGACAGGGUGUGUUCUCCACUUGUUUACCAUGUUCCAUAUUUGUUUAGUUGGCAGUUAUUUACUUGACAUCUUUUGUGUAUUUAAGUGAUCAAGUGUUUUAUUCAAUGGGAAUGAAAAGAAAAUUGCAGUAAAUUGUUUUUUAAGUCUUUGGGAUCCAUCAGGCAACAAAUACGUGCAAGAAAAAAUCACAUAAGAAGAUACAUUCUCAAUUCAAACUGAGAGUCUAGGAUUGGAUUAGCGUCUAUCAGUUGAGCUAUGAUGAUAGAGCUACUAUUCGAUAGAGAAGAAAAGUACCUCGUGAUCUUGCCCACGCGUUUGACGGUCCCAAGCGACCAUGGAAACAGAGAUGAAGAGGAUGAAAAGCAAAGCUAGACGCAUAGUCCUUCCGAGAUUAUAAGCAGGGUUGAAGUACUUCCAUAUCCCAUGACCAGUAACCAGUCUACUCCUCGCCAUCUCGAUUAGAACUUUGAGGGAGAUCCGGUAAGAAUCAGUUAGGAAGAAGAAACAUUGGUUUGUUUGUUUUUCAAGAUAGAAAGAGAAAAACCAAACAAGUUGGGUGAUGAAAAGUGUCGGAAAGAAUAUAAAUAGAAAUGAGCGUCCAUUUAUUUUUAUUCUUUAGUUUAUAUAACGCUGACCGCCGGUUUAGAUCUUUGGCUGUGUGUAUAGAAGUGUGAGACGGGUUACAUUGACUAGCUAGCACCCCAUCUUUUGUUCUAUCAAAACACCGUGUGUUUGGGAUUUGGUUCUCAAGAAUUUUCAACUGACUUGACUUGAUCAAUAAAAAAAAAGAAAAAAGAUUUGACUUUUACGGCAAAGACUAUAAUAAGCUAAUCAAAGCUAACCGGCCCUGGGUGGAGGUUUUGUUUGGGGAACCAAAGCUAACCCAAAAUGUUUGUUAAUAUUAUUGUUUUUUUCUUCUAGAAUCUUAGAGAUAGAGAUACAAACAUGGCUAGCCUUAGCCCUAAGGCGUAAGUUUAGCUCACCAAGCACCAAUAAAAUUCAAUUUUUGUAUAUAAAAUCUUAUAGGAUAAUGGUUCAUGAACAAAAUUUCCUUUUUACACUUUACGGGGUCAACUGAAUAUAAAUUUAAACAAUUAGCUCAAAACAAACAUAUGAAAGUUUAAUUUUUAAUAUUUAAACAAACAUGGUAAAAAAUAAUCAAAUUUUGUUUUUUUUCUUGUUAAAGUAGGGCUAUUAAUAUUUACGCAAUAUUCAAGUAAAAUUUAUCUUAUACAAAUCAGAAAUGAGAUGUAAUUAUGAAAUGUGAUAAUAUUUGUUCAAUAUGUGGAAAAUCAGACAAAUUCAUUAUUUUUGAAUGUUCUUCAGCAUUACAAACCACUAUUCAUUAUCUUCGAUUUUUUCAGUCCCACCAUCAUAUCCAUCAGUUCUCUCAAUUAAUGGAAUUUAUACGAACACAAAUUCCCUUUUUUCUCUGGAACGAUUGAUGACUUCCAUAAUAACGAGACAAACUCUUAUUCAUGAACAACUUUGGGAUAAGGUCUUAUAUCUCAGUGGUUUCUCUUCUCACAGACGACUGUUAGAGGUCGCAUGUUCAAUUCUCUAUCGGCGCAGUGGUACUAUAACUCUCCAAAUAAAUCUUAAGAGAUUUUUCUGGAUUUAGAGCACCGCUUGCGGUAGAGUCUAAUCACUAUUGAAAGAUUACUCAAAACAGUUUUUGUUUAAAAAAAAACUUAGUUCAUUUGAAAACAUUGAAUGCAAAAUUGUUUAAAAAUAUUGAUAGAAACGUCACUGUCCGACAUGCAUAAAGAGAAUGUAGUGUUUGGCAUGGAACAAAUGAAGGUAGUGGAAUAUAAGCUCAACAAAAUGGCCAUCUUCUAACCAGCAGUUUAAAUAUGAAAAGUAUCUGCUUAGUUAAAAGUUACCGGUGUAACAAAUUUGUAUUUAAAACUUUUAAUUAAAAAUUUAAGUGUAUUAAUUAUUAUUUUAUCUAAUUUAUAAAUGAUCUGUUUUAGUUACUUCAAAUUUUAAUAUGUAAAAUUUGUUUUAAAAAACACAUUAAUGAUUGACAUACACAUGUUAAUAAACUAAUUUAAUAUUGUGACUGGUGUUAUAACAAUUUUAUUUAUAAAUAUGUAAUUAUUUUCAGCAUUAAUUUUUAUUAUCAUGUGUCACGUUUAUAUUACUUAUCAAUUUCGAUGAACCAAAUUUUCUAUAAAAUAUAUGUAAUUUCACCCAAUAAAUCAAAUUAUUCUAAAAACAUGCAAAUUCUAAUUUUUAUUAUAGUUAACAAAAAUUAAAAUAUCUCUAAAACAAAUAAAAUUUAUCUAGGAUAUUCAUCUUAAAAUCAUGAAACAGAUUACAAACUUUACAAAGUUGAUAUAUAUUAGAAAAUCAGGUAAGUUGGAAGGAAAAAAAUAUGGGAGUAUCACUCAAUCUUUUUUUUUUUUUUUUUUUUUUUGGUUUUUAUAAAAAGNNNNNNNNNNNNNNNNNNNNNNNNNNNNNNNNNNNNNNNNNNAUUUUUUUUUUUUUUUUUUUCUUUUGGUUAUGAUAAAAAGUCCUCUUGUUACAAAAUCUUGAGAAUGGAUACAUUUCACAUUGAGUAUGAAGUAUAUGACUUUACCUCUAAUUCGUGGAAGAAUAUUCAUGAAACUCGAGACUUGUCCAUUUCACAGAUAGGCAGUCAUGCGUCUGUGAAUGGAAAUACUUACUGGCUUGGUUUGAGUAAAGAAGAUCCAAGUGGGAUUAUCUUAAUAUGUUUUGAUUUCUCAAUAAGAGAUUUCGAACUGUGUCUCUUCCAGAGGAUUCAAAAGGUCAUUUUAAUCACAGUGAUGUGGCUUUAUCAGUGACUAGAGAAGGGCAACAACUUUGUAUGUUAGCUACUCAAGUAUUUGAAUUUACUAAAACAAACAUAUCGGUGGCAACUAAAAGUGAGAGUACUGGAGCUAUGUCAUGGAGUAAGUUCCUAAUAGUGUCGGGAAGAGAUGCAUGCUAUCGUCCUCAGCCUAAUAAUAGGAUGAGUUUCUUGGUCGACCAGGAGAAUAAAGUUGUAGUGUGUUGUAAUAACAACAGAGUUUCUAAUAACAGGAUACACAUUUUGGGAGAGGAUAAAUACAUAGAAGUGUAUCAUACAGAAAAAUCUUCUAUCCCAAUUCUCUCUCUCUCUCUUGUGCUUGACGGAAUCCAUAAGUUUUGGAGUUUUAUUUGCUAUUUAAGAUAAAAUAUGCAUUCAUUAUUUCUCUAUUCACAUUGUUGCAGGACAGUAAUCCUGAGGCUUUGGGACUCGUAGCCUGUUGUAAUCUCGCAGUCUUUUUUAGAAGCUCACUCAUCAGACGAUGAAAAUUACCGUUGCUCAGUCUAUCGAAUCUGUGAGUUUGAUAAUUUUCACAAACUUUUUCUUGUAUCUUUAAACUUCAUUGAUACCACAUAAGAUAUAUUGACUAAAAGGCUGGACACGGGCAACUAGUACUUUGUUUCUAAACAAGUACUGCUUAUCAAGUACCAAAAAGAAUCAUGUAAAUUACCUGAUUCGCUUGCUGCUUGUCAGAAUCUAAUAUUUAUUUUCAAAAUACUUGAUUACUUACAAGUAAUUGAAGUCAAAAAUAUAAUCUUGUACAAAGGCAAUAAUAUGAGAUUUGUUAUCUUUUUAUCAAAUACGUUUUAUUUUUAUUAAAUCCAAUAUUUAUCUGCUAUUACAAUGCAAAUAAGAAAUAUUUUUUUCACAAAUAACAAAUAUUUUUAAAACAGGUGACAAGUAUUUUUAAAUGUACACAAGUAACAAAACAUGAUACUUGACUCGUAUUUGCAAGUAAUAAAAUUUGUUGGUUUGUUAUUGGAUUUUACAACGACAAGUACUUUGCACUUGAUUUUUUAAAAUUGGAUUGAGUAAAUCCCCUAUAUAUUAAUUGAGGAACAUUUGAAAAGAUGUAACCUCAAUUUUGUAUUAAUUAAAAGAGGCCCCAAUGCAUAGGUGGCACUCAAUUAGGUAGUCAAUUAUAUUCAAUUGAAAAAUAAGUAGGUCCACAUUCGAUUUUUAUAUAUUGUUAGAUACAUAAGUUGGUCAAACUAUAUGAUAUAAUGAUAUGAUAUGUUAUUUUCUUUCCUUAAAUAAAACCUACGGAAUUACCAUAAAUGACUAAUAUAUAUAUAUGACAAUCAAUGAUUUUAAUAAUAAAGAUUUGAUAACAAUUUAUAUCUCCUCCAUCAUUUUUUGUUUAAUUUUAUAUUAUUAAAAUAAAUUAAACAAUCAAAUUAGCAAUAAAAAUAAAAUUUAGAUUUUUUCGUAUAUGUUAUAUUUUGAAUUUUUAAAAACGACAAUAAAUGACUAAAACUAUUAAAAUUAUUAUGUUAAAAAUUAAUGAUCAAUGGUUUAACAUUUUUAUUAUAAGAAGAUACACAUGAUUUUAAAACCAUAUGAGUAAAAAAUAUCAUUUAAUAAUAAAAUAAAUAUAUAUAUAGAUUAAACACUAUAUACCAUAAGAUUACAUAAAUAUUUUAAUAUUAAAACUUUCAAUGAAUUUUCAAGAACAUUUAUAAAUUAUAAACUUAUUAAAGAUUUCAGAUUGAAAAUUUUGUUAUCGAUGAUUUAAAUAUUUUGUUAUAAAACGAUAUGAAUGAUCAUAGAACCGUAUGAUUAUAAAUUCUUAUUUAAUAAAUAACUAUACAAAAUAUAUUAUUCUUAGAAAAAUAGGUUGGUCCAUCUUAACUUAUAUUACACUUUUUAUUAAACUAACUAUCGAAUUGAUAAAUAACGUACCAAAAAAUGUUUUGCAAUUUCCUUAAAUAAAAGCUACGAAAUUACCUAAUAUGAUUAACGUAUAUGUGAAAAUUAAUUAUAAUGAAUAAUAAUCAUUUGAUAACAAUUUUUGUAUCUUAGUUCUUUUUUUUUUUUAAUUUUAUAUUAUUAAAAGAUAUUUAAAAAUCACAUUAAAUAUAUAAUAAAAACAUUUAUAUUUUUUCUUAUAUGUUAUAUUUUGAAUUUUUUAAAACGUCUAUAAAUUAUUAGAAAUUUGAAGAUCUCCACUCUGAAAAUUUUGUGAUCAAUAGAUUAUUUUUUUGUCAUAAUAAGUUACAAAUGAUCAUAAAAUUGUAUUAAUAUGAACUUUUAUUUAAUAUUAUAAGAAGAUACACAUGAUUUUAAAACCAUAUGAGUAAAAAAUAUCAUUUAAUAAUAAAAUAUAUAUAUAGAUUAUACUAUAUACCAUAAGAUUACAUAAAUAUUUUAAUAUUAAAACUUUCAAUGAAUUUUCAAAAACAUUUAUAAAUUAUAAACUUAUUAAAGAUUUCACAUUGAAAAUUUUGUUAUCGAUGAUUUAAAUAUUCAGUUAUAAAAUGAUAUGAAUGAUCAUAGAACUGUAUGAUUAUAAAUUCUCAUUUAAUAAAUGACUAUAUAAAAUAUACUAUUCUUAGAAAAAUAGGUUGGUCCAUCUUAACUUACAUUAUAUUUUUUAUUAAACUAACUAUCGAAUUGAUAAAUAGUCUACCAAAUUUUUUUUUUGCACUUUCCUUAAUUAGAAGCUACGAAAUUACCUAAUAUGAUUAACGUAUAUAUGAAAAUUAAUUAUUAUGAAUAAUAAAUAUUUGAUAACAAUUUUGGUAUCUUAGCUUUUUUUUUUUUAAUUUUAUAUUAUUGAAAGAUAUUAAAAAAUCCCAUUAAAUAUAUAAUAAAAACAUUUAUAUUUUUUCUUAUAUGUUAUAUUUUAAAUUUUUCAAAAUGUCUAUAUAUUAUUAGAAAUUUGAAUAUUCCCACUCUGAAAAUUUUGUGAUCAAUAGAUUUUUUUUAUUUAUAAUAAGUUACAAAUGAUCAUAAAAUAUAACGCAUAUGAAUUUUUAUUUAAUAAAUAUUCAAACUAAAUAAUAUAUAUAUAUAUAUAUAAAUACUAAUGAUUUAAAGCAACAAGAUUGGCUGAUCAAUUUAGUCGUCCAGUUGAAAUCUUUCAAAAGUAUGUGAAAGACUAAAGUCAAAGUAAAUAUAGAUUUAGAAUAGUAGUUAUAUUUUACUAAUCGAAAUACCGAAAAAAACCGAACCGAACCGAAACCAACCCGAUAUCCGGAUUGAACACCCUUAAUCCAAAUGAAGCCAAACUAUUAUUUCAUUCUCCAAAAUAUAAUAAAAAUAAUAACUUAAUCCCGCGCAAAGCGCGGGUCUUAUCCUAGUAACAAGUAUAAACCAAGUAAAUAAGUAAGUAAUCAUGCCGCCCCUGAUUAAAAUCAUAAUAGUAGAUAAUUCAGUAGUUACAUAGUAAUACAUAAAAAAGUCCAAACAAUGAUUGGUGAUGUCGUGCAACCCAAGUGACCUUAAGUCGUACACACGUUCACCACCAUGUUUAAUAAGAACUUUCUCUGCAGCUUCACUAUUAUCUUCUUGAUUAUUCAAUAAAAUGUUUCUUUUUACAAAGAAUUGAGCUAAAAAAGUUUAUCAGCUAGAUCUGGGAAUAAGGAAUAAUAAGAAGUAAUAUUUAAAUAAUGAAAUUAUUUAUGUAGAUACAUGCCAUGUUAUUAAUAUGAGUGGUGAGAGAUGAUGCCAUGUUCUUUCCCGGGAAAACCUCUUUUUUUCCUCUUUCCCACAAAAAGAAAAACAAACGUUCCGUAACUUUUGCCAAAAAAACCAGACCAAAUAUAGUAAUGUCGUCAUUGAAUUGAGUUCUCGGUUUCACGGUAAUAGAGAGAGAAAGUGGUUUCAGUUUUUUGUUACCUUUCUCCUUCUUUCUUCUCACGAGUUUGGCCUUCUCUCUCGCCAAAUUAAACAACGACCUUGAUCAGAAAAGGUCGUUUCUAUUUGAAAGAGGAAGAAGAAGAAGAAGAAGGUAGAGAAAGCUGGGUGAGACCAAGGAAGGAAGGAUGAGCACCACGUCCAGCAAUGGAUUGCUCCUCACGUCAAUGUCUGGACGACAUGACGACAUGGAAGCUGGAUCUGCCAGAACCGACCAUUCUGAUCACGAGGAGCUUGAACACGAUCCUGAUGAUCCUUUCGACCUUGAUAACACCAAGAACGCCUCUGCCGCAUCUCUCCGUCGCUGGAGGGUGUGUUUAUUUUUUUCUUUUCUUUUAGUUAUGCGUUUGAUUUGAGAGAUUUGAUCGUGAGUCUUGACAUGGAAUCGAUUUGUGAAAACUGCAGCAAGCGGCACUUGUGUUGAAUGCAUCACGUCGGUUUCGAUACACUUUGGAUCUGAACAAAGAGGAACACUAUGAGAAUCGAAGGAGGAUGAUCAGGGCACAUGCUCAAGUCAUAAGGGUUUGAAAGCUUUUUUGAUCUCAUCACCAUUUCUUGUUCUGUUCUUUGUUUCUUGAUCUCACAAAUCAGUAAUUUUUCUUUAUGAAUCAGGCAGCAUUGCUUUUUAAGUUGGCUGGAGAACAACAAAUUGGUGGUAUGUGGCUCUUUUGACAUAAGUCAGAACAAUUCUGUUUUUGUUUUCUUAUAAUCUCUGAUUUCUUCUGUGAUUGCAGCGUUUGGAUCAUCAUCAUCAACAACUCCAGCAACUUCAACUGGUAACUUUGACAUUGACCUUGAGAAACUUGUGUCAAUGACCAGGAACCAAAACAUGUCCAAUCUACAGCAACUUGGAGGGGUGAGAUCUUGCAUGCAUUUUUUUUGUUAUAAAAUGAAAAGGAUUUUCAUGAAACUAAAAAAUUAACUACUACCUUUUUUUAGGUCAAAGGUGUUGCAGAGAAGUUGAAGUCAAAUCUGGAGCAAGGAAUUGAGGAGGAUGAGAAAGAGGUGACAGAUAGGAAGAAUGCAUUUGGAUCUAACACUUAUCCAAAGAAGAAGGGCAAAAGCUUCUAUGUAAGCAAAUAUGAGUUGUUGUUUUUUUUAAGAUUGUUUAUAAUGAGCUUGUGGAUAACAACUCAUAAGUUUUUAAACUUUAUUUUGUCCAAAAGAUGUUCCUCUGGGAAGCUUGGCAGGAUUUAACUCUAAUCAUCUUGAUCAUUGCGGCUGUAACAUCACUGGCACUGGGAAUAAAGACAGAGGUGUGUUUUCAUUUCAUAUAAGUUUCUUCUUAAUGUUCCAAACUUGGAACUCACUUCUGUCUACUCUACUUUCUUUUGGUUACUACUUCAUCAGGGUCUGAAAGAAGGUUGGCUUGAUGGUGGAAGCAUUGCGUUUGCUGUCUUGCUUGUCAUUAUGGUUACAGGUAUGAACAUGUUUUUUUGUCUAUUUUCUUAUUUUGUGUAUUUGUAUUUUAUGUCAAACAUUCCUAAUCCUGCUCUCAAACUUUUGAUUCUUUCAGCUGUUAGUGACUAUCGCCAAUCUCUUCAGUUUCAAAACCUCAACGAUGAAAAACGAAAUAUACAACUAGAGGUGCUUGCUUUAACAUCUUUGGAUUGUUUCCAAAUUGAAAGUUUUUUGAGCUUCUAACUAAGGAAACAAAAUACUCUUACAGGUCAUGAGAGGAGGGAGAACAGUGAAGAUUUCAAUCUAUGACGUUGUUGUGGGAGAUGUUAUACCUCUUAGAAUAGGUGACCAGGUCCCUGCGGACGGAGUGCUAAUUAGUGGCCAUUCUCUUGCCAUUGAUGAAUCUAGCAUGACCGGUGAAAGCAAGAUUGUGAGUUCAUCCUUGUUCAAUAUGUACUCAUCUUCUCUUUAUAUUUUCUAACACACAUACUUUUGUUGCAGGUUAACAAGGAUCAAAAAUCUCCUUUUCUAAUGUCUGGUUGUAAAGUAGCUGACGGAGUCGGUAGUAUGCUGGUAACUGGUGUUGGAAUCAACACUGAAUGGGGAUUAUUGAUGGCAAGUAUCUCAGAGGAUACUGGUGAAGAAACUCCCUUACAGGUAUGUCAUCUUGAUCACUUUGUUAUUAGUUUAUGGUCUACACAAUGUCUUGAAGAAGCCUAACCAUUCCUUUUUUUUUGUAAUCUUAUAAUAGGUGCGGUUAAAUGGUCUUGCAACUUUCAUCGGUAUAGUGGGGCUCACCGUGGCUCUUGUUGUCCUGGUAGCUCUUCUUGUGAGGUAACCUUGGUCAAUAAAAGUUUUGCAUUACAACUUCAUGCGAUGUUGAGGGUUAUAUAACCUUGAGUUAUUUUUUUAGAUAUUUUACUGGAACUUCCCAAGAUUCUAAUGGAGCAACUCAGUUUAUCAAAGGGACGACUAGUAUCAGUGACAUUGUAGAUGAUUGUGUAAAGAUAUUUACAAUCGCAGUAAGUAUUCACUCCACAUCCGUGAUUUUCUUAUUCGAUAGACAUAUGAGUUAAAGUUAACUCUGGUAAUUGUUUUAGGUUACUAUUGUGGUUGUGGCAGUGCCUGAGGGACUUCCCCUAGCAGUUACCCUUACGUGAGUCUUACUUAAUAUAAUCUACUCAGAAAAUAAUUAACUAAAACAUAGUUGUUGAUCUGCUUUUUAUUGACCCCAUGUGUGCAGUUUGGCUUACUCAAUGCGGAAGAUGAUGGCAGACAAAGCUUUGGUAAGAACCAAAACGUGUCUUCUCGCUUCAGUGAUUUCUUGUUGAUUAUUGUCUGACCACGUUCCGUUUGCUAACAGGUUAGGAGGCUUUCAGCAUGUGAAACCAUGGGCUCAGCAACAACAAUCUGCAGUGACAAAACUGGAACUUUAACUUUGAAUCAGGUCAGUAAUAGCAUCAAUGCAAUGAGAGUUUUUUUUUUCAUAUUAAAACCAUCAUAUACGUGUAGUUUGCUAAUUUUACCCCUUUUUCAAAAUUAUAGAUGACAGUGGUUGAGACAUAUGCUGGAGGAUCAAAGAUGGAUGUAGCAGACAACCCCUCUGGGCUCCACCCUAAACUUGUUGCCUUAAUAAGUGAGGGUGUGGCACAGAACACCACAGGAAACAUCUUUCAUCCCAAGGUUGGUUCUCUAAGCUCAUACUAAGGUUAUCAGAUGAUGGAUGGUUAGUGCUCAUGUUGUUUUAUUGUAGGAUGGUGGAGAGGUGGAGAUUUCUGGAUCUCCCACUGAGAAGGCUAUUCUAUCUUGGGCGUAUAAGGUAUCUCAAAUGUUUAUUUACUCUGGUCCUUCUUUGACAUAUUUUUCAUUAUGGGCAAUAUAUUUAAAGAAACUAUUGUUGCAGUUGGGGAUGAAAUUUGAUACCAUCAGGUCGGAGUCUGCUAUCAUCCAUGCUUUCCCUUUCAAUUCUGAGAAAAAGCGUGGAGGUGUUGCUGUUCUUCGAGUAAUUUCUUGAUCUUUUUCUCCAUUUAUAAGAUUAGGAAAUUAGUAAAAAAAUUUGGAGGCAUUGAAGUAAGUAUUGGUUCAGUUCACUACACACAUGCACAUCUUUUCAUUGCUACUCAAUGAGGAAGGUCUCUAAAAAUAUUGUGUGAAGCUGAUGAGGAGUAUAUUAACUCACUGCAGGGUGAUUCUGAAGUUUUCAUUCAUUGGAAGGGAGCAGCGGAGAUAGUUCUGGCUUGCUGUACACAAUUUAUGGACUCAAAUGGCACUCUGCAGCCCAUUGAUGACCAGAAGGUGAGGUGCCACAAAAAAUUGUAAAGAAAAUGUGUUAAACCACUUGAAGGACACAAUCUGUUAGCCUAAGAGGACUAAACAUUUGCCUAUACUAUCUUAUUUCAAAUUUCAAAAGUACUUAUGUUUGGAAAUUAUAUUACAGGAGUUUUUCAGACUUGCUAUUGAUGCCAUGGCGAAAAAUAGCUUGCGGUGCGUUGCUAUUGCAUGCAGAACGCAAGAGCUGAACAAAGUUCCCAAGGAACAGGAGGACUUGGAUAAAUGGGAUUUACCUGAAGAUGAAUUGACUUUGCUGGCUAUCGUUGGUAUAAAGGAUCCUUGUCGUCCUGGGGUCAGAGAAGCAGUGAGAAUUUGCACCAGUGCUGGUGUUAAGGUAAGCUCCUUUGCCUCUAUAAUGGAAGUUAAAUGUUACUGUAAUGUGGUGUAGCUGGUCAACCCAUCUGUAAUGUUUACAUGUGACAUUUGUGUUAUUUAGGUACGUAUGGUGACUGGAGACAAUCUUCAGACAGCAAAAGCAAUUGCUUUGGAGUGUGGUAUACUUUCUUCAGAUACAGAAGCCGUUGAGCCUACUAUCAUUGAAGGAAAAGUGUUCCGUGAGCUAUCUGAAAAAGAGAGAGAACAAGUAGCCAAGAGAAUAACGGUAAGAACAGUCAAAGGAUAAUGUGAGCUUACUGAGGCUAUAUUCAAAAAUUAACUUGCGGGUAAAAUGCAGGUGAUGGGUAGAUCCUCUCCUAAUGACAAGCUUUUACUUGUUCAAGCACUAAGGAAAAAUGGAGAUGUUGUUGCUGUCACUGGUGAUGGUACUAAUGAUGCUCCUGCUCUCCACGAGGCAGACAUAGGUCUCUCUAUGGGCAUAUCAGGAACUGAAGUUGCGAAAGAGAGUUCAGACAUCAUCAUUUUGGAUGACAAUUUUGCUUCAGUAGUAAAGGUUAGUCUUAGAGAAAAUAGAAAAUAUUAUUUUUAGAUUAUCCUUUAUGCCUUUCCUAAUAGUGUAACUCUGUUUACUUUUCUAGGUUGUUCGAUGGGGCCGUUCUGUGUAUGCAAAUAUUCAGAAGUUCAUACAGUUCCAGCUUACUGUAAAUGUUGCAGCUCUUAUAAUCAAUGUUGUAGCAGCUAUGUCUUCUGGUGACGUUCCUCUAAAGGCUGUACAGGUUAAUUAAUCUUCCCCUGCCUUUAGAGCUUGAUCCCGGAUGGUUGAACUUUUAAAACACGUUAAAGUGUGUUCUUUUGAUACAGCUGCUUUGGGUCAAUCUUAUUAUGGAUACUCUUGGAGCGCUUGCACUUGCUACAGAGCCACCAACCGAUCAUCUUAUGCACAGAACCCCUGUCGGAAGAAGGUGUAAUAAACAUCAUGAACAUGUUUUAUUCAAUAUUAUAGUGGAACAAAACUAGAUAUAUUGUGGUUUUUGUCUUAUAUUUGGUGAUGUUCCUGUGUCUGCAGGGAGCCUCUAAUUACAAACAUCAUGUGGAGGAACUUGCUUGUGCAGGUAAGUUGUUCAGAAAAUUAAGAUAGUACUAUCUUGAUGUUGAUUUAUUUACUAAAAUAUUUUUACAAAGUGCAUAUCUCUGAAACUGAUUUGAUGAUGUUGCAGUCAUUAUACCAAGUGGCUGUCCUCCUAGUUCUCAACUUUGCAGGCUUGAGCGUGCUUGGCUUGAAACAAGACAGCGACCAUGCACAUGCUGUGGAAGUCAAGAACACUAUGAUAUUCAAUGCCUUCGUUAUGUGUCAAGUAGGCAAAAUUAUCUCAUCUUUCAUCUCCUUGUUCUUAAAUCAUAUGGAUUGGUUUUAAUCAUGCAAGUCUUGCAGAUAUUCAACGAGUUCAACGCAAGGAAACCUGAUGAAAUGAAUGUAUUCAGUGGUGUAACUAAGAACCCUCUCUUCAUUGCAAUUGUUGGAGUCACUUUUGUACUUCAGGUAAGACAAUAACACAAAGCCUCUUUGUCUCUUUGACACUUGAUAACCUAUUGUGGUUGAAAAUGCAGAUAAUCAUUGUUACUUUCCUUGGUGAGUUUGCCCAUACCGUUCCACUGAGUUGGCAACUAUGGCUUGCUUCUAUUGUCAUCGGACUGGUCAGGUAGGUUCAUCAUUUUCUUCCAACUUGAAACUCAUAGUGGUCAAGGAAACUAUAAAAAAAAUCACCAAUUUAUUUUCUCUGUGCAGCUGGCCACUUGCAGUUGUUGGGAAACUGAUUCCUGUACCAAAGACUCCAAUGAGCAUCUACUUCAAGAAACCGUUCCGUAAAUACAAAGCCUCAAGAAGUGCAUAAACACAUUACUAGAGAUAUUCAUGUUCCUCAUACUGCAAUUACAGAAGCAAAUAACAGAUGAUGAUAUAUAACCUUGUGAUAAUUGGCCUAUACCUCUAACCUUCCUUUCUUUUAAAUGGUAAUAGUAUUUUCAAAUGUAUACUGCAAGGUCCAAUUCUUUUGUCGCUUUCCAUAUUUCUUCUUCUUCUUCUUGUAUGAUGUAAAAGUGCAACUGUGAAUUGAAUUGGAUUUGGGGUUGUACUAGUGGGAGUUUGGCUCAGUCUUCGCCUUUUCAAAAACUGUUGUGUUUACAUGGAGGAUUCUCUUUUUUUUUUUCUUUAUGGUUAAUACAUUCUAAAACAAUCUCUCACCGUUUCCUUAUGUUCAAUACAUUCUAAAAGGUUCGUUAAUGCUAAUACUACUUUCAAUGCAUUUCUCUUUUGCAUUUUUAUCAGUUUCCUAGUGUUGUUAAUAAAUAAAAAAGACUACAAAUACAUAAUCAGCAGGGCCGGUUCUGGAUAGUGAAACAUUUGCAACAGGCUUCCAAAUUCUUUUAAAAAACGUUACAUAUGAAUAGAUUCCGAAAAAAAAAUUUUAAAUCCCCAAAUUUGUGAAAAGAAAAAUUUUACAUAGACACAGCAACAUGCCUCCAAAAUCUCAGGGCGAUCCUGAUAAUCAACAAACAAUUUCUUUAAAAGAGUGUGCUAUCUUAUGUCUAACUUUAUAUUCUCCGAUUAUUACGAUAUUGUCCACUUUGGGCCUAAGAGGCAGGCCCGCAUAAAUUUACUUUUGGUUUCCAUCCCAAAAGGCCUCGUACUAAUUAGAGUUGGACAUCUCUUUAUAUAUUAAUCUCUUUAUAUAUUAGACACUCUUUGUCUAAUUCUCCAAUGUGGGACUUAGUUUGUUAUCUCACAAUCUUGGUUGAUCAACAAAGCAAAGUCUUGUUUGAUGACCACGAAACACAACUAUUUGUGUUGACGUGUCAUGUGACUUCAACAUCGAACAUCAUAGAGACCUGCAUGUUUAUGUGAGACUCUAACUAUUUGGGCUAAUUUCUAAAGGCCCAAUGGGUCGAAAGUGAGUUGGGAGUUGACUUUUAAUCUGAGAUCAAUCACUUGCGUUUCUCUCAAUCUGCAGCGACUCUCUCAGACAACUUUCGAUCUUCUUCUUCAUCUCAAUCUCGUCGUUUCGAUCGAUCAAAAGAAUCGGAGAUGGCAUCGACAGCGGCGGUUCCGUUCUGGAGAGCGGCGGGGAUUUCGUAUAUAACGUACUCAAACAUCUGCGCGAAUCUGGUCAGGAACUGUCUGAAAGAACCAUUCAAGGCUGAAUCCAUGAGCCGCGAGAAGGUUCACUUCUCCCUCUCCAAAUGGGCCGAUGGAAAGCCCCAGAAACCAGGUAUCUUCUUCUUCUUCUUCUUCACUCCCUCCUUUCCUCAGGAUCCUUGACCAAUGCUCUUUCUUGUUUGAUCGAGAUCUAGCUUCUUGUUUCUGUGUGAUUCUCUCUGUUUCAAGAUGGUAAAGAUUCCUACUUUAAUUAGAACCCAUCAAAACUAUGAUUGAUGAAAGGGAUUUUCAUUCUGAAAUGGCUCUUUUGAGCUCACAUUUGUGUUCGAUAUUUUACCUCAGUUUCGUUCAGACAGUGGACUUACACGUGUGUUGAUGUAACUUUUGUGUGGUUUUUUUUUGUUGACAGUUUUGCGGUCAGACGCACCUCAAGUUUGAGGCUUUUGAUCAAGAUAUGGUUUUCUGAAUGGGAUAAAAGGGAUGCUGUAACGUCUCUCUCUCUUUGGAUAUUUUGUUUCCUUUUUGUUGUAUUCGAUGAAAGAUUGAUACUUUGCCAAUCAAUAAUGCAAAAACAUGGAGCUUCUUCUGUUUCUUUCUUAAGACGAAUUAGUUUUUUGUGGAUUUCUUGAGUUGUAUGUAUCUCUUGUCCAUUUGAGUAUUAACUAUGGCCUUUCUCUAUAGCAAAUGAACCCUGAGUUCAAAUCUUAAGAAAUGAAAAGUAGAAAGAUGCUUAAAGAGUCGAUUAAGUGAUUUGACUUUCUCAAAAUCUGAUAUGUAAACGAAGGCCAGUGAGAUUCUGAAAUCGUCUCACAUUAGAAAAAUGUGAUUAUAAUUUAUGAAAAUUGAAAACUAACACACCAUAUAACUCGCUUUUGAUAUCACGUCCGUAAUCAACUAGCCUAAUGCAACAGUACACUGGCAUCAGUACACUUCAUGUUAUGACUGCAUCUGGCUCUGUUCCCUACAUAAGGCUCUGACCAAAAUGGUGUGUUUGUUCAUCAACCUAAGAACAGAGAAUGAUCAUGAUGGGAAAUGCUCAAGAAUUACAGCCAUGUGAUAGACCAUGAGAGCAGCAUUCCACAUAAAUGUAAUGUUAUUGAUGUCAUAGGCCAUGCAGUUAAAUGAAGUUGAUGAAAUGCAUCUGGAUGUCAUCAUGUUAUGAUGUUACGUAACGUUAUGUUAAUUCCUAGCUAACAUAGCAAAUGGAGUUUCAUUGGGGAUGGAUUAGUCAAAACGCUGAAAAUGAAUUCCCACAAAGUAAUGCGUUAAAGCAGCAACAAGACAAACAAAUGGGCAAACCGAACUCCUAUAGAAUUAAUGUAUAUAUGUAGCAAAACUAAUAAGAGCUGUCACAUGUUAUAUUUGAUGAGUUCAAACUAUAUGCAUCCGAGCAAGAAGCAAUUUUGAUACUUAAAAUGCCAAUUAUGGUAUGGAUGCAAAAUGCAGUUGUUGGAAGAUGAAGAAGAGAGUUAACCACCACCCUUCAAGGAACUACAGAAACGUCAGAGCUCGUUCUUGUGCUACCAUACCAGUAGUUAAACACGUUUUUCUACCUAAGAAAAAUCCAUCUGCUUGUUCUCACCAACUAUAUAUAGGUUCAUCAAGUUUCAUAUCUUCUUCUGCAUCUCAUCACUUCACGAGUCCCAGAUUUUUCACUUGCUGCUCUUUCAAGAAGUUGCUUCAUCCCUACAAGAGGUAACUUUGAGCCAUUAAUUUAUCUCUUCUCCCAUCAUAAUCAUGCUCGAAUGACUCAAAAUAUUUUCAUCAUAAGCUAUAUAUGUUCUUAUAUGGUCCAUUUUAAUUUGCUCCCAUCUUUCGUGGCCUCUACGUUGCAUAAUCUUUUUUGUUUUAGUCAUAGCCGUAUAUAUCCAUCCCCAUGCUGAAACAAAUCUCAUUAAAUAUAACAGACUUAGAAAAAACAUGCAAGUGUUGCGACAUAUACUUUCACAGCUUUGCAUUUUCCACACGCGCACUCCCUGAGCGCGUGGAUACAUUUUUCUUGAUUUAACUUUUUUUUUCCUUUGAUCAGAAGAAGACAGAGAUACGGUUAUAGAAGCCAUGAAACGAUGCAAAUGUCCUGACCUCAAGAUACAACUCCCUAACCGCAACGUGGCUCUCGCUGUCCCUCUCCCACUCCCUCCUCCUUCCUCAUCCUCCUCCUCCGCCGCCAAAAGUUUAUCCGAGCUAAAGAGCCUGCACCGAAUCGGAAGUGGCACCGGAGGAACGGUCUACAAAGUGAUCCACAGUCCCACCUCGCGCCCCUUCGCUCUCAAAGUGAUCUACGGGCACCACGAGGACAACGUAAGGCACCAGAUAUGUAGAGAGAUCGAGAUCUUGCGAAGUGUUGACCACCCUAACGUCGUGAAAUGCCACGGCAUGUUCGAUCACAACGACGAGGUCCAUGUCUUGCUCGAGUUCAUGGACAAAGGGUCCCUCGAAGGAAGGCACGUGUCGCGAGAAAACGAGCUCGCUGGUCUCACGCGCCAGAUUCUCAGCGGGUUGGCGUAUAUCCACCGCCGCCACAUCGUCCACCGCGACAUCAAACCGUCGAAUCUUCUCAUAAACUCGGCCAAUAACGUCAAGAUUGCUGAUUUUGGAGUGAGUCGGAUCUUGGCGCAGACCAUGGAUCCUUGCAACUCCUCCGUCGGAACCGUCGCUUACAUGAGCCCGGAGAGGAUCGACUCCGAUCAGAAUGACGGACGUUACGACGGUUGCGCCGGAGAUAUAUGGAGCCUUGGUGUUAGCAUCUUGGAGUUCUACUUGGGGAGGUUCCCUAUCGCUGUGAGUAGAGAAGGUGACUGGGCGAGUUUAAUGUGUGCUAUUUGUAUGAAUCAGCCGCCGGAAGCUCCGGCGACGGCGUCUGAGGACUUUCGUCACUUCAUCUCUUGUUGCUUGCAGAGUGACCCUCCUAAGAGGUGGUCUGCGCAGCAGCUUUUGCAGCAUCCUUUUAUAGUUAAAUCAAGUGGUGGUCCGAAUCUUCGUCAAAUGUUGCCGCCGCCGCCUCCGGCGUCUUAGUUUUUUUUUUUGCUUUUCUCUCCGGUGGUUGUGAUUGGUCAGGGGAGAAACUCGGUUUGAGUCUUGUGAAGCUGCUUGAACUCGUUUUGUGUUUGGUUGAUGAUAAAAUAUUUAUAUAGAUAGUUAUGAUUUGUGAAUGAAGAUGAGUUUGGCUUUGUUAUUAUUGUUCAUGUCAGGAAGUAAUCGAGGAUCUUCCAGAUUCAUUAAUAAAAAGCUUCUUAUUUUUAUUUCGCUUAUAGAGAGAAUCAUUGUAAAGGCUUCUGCCUUCUUUGUUUCUUUGUCGUGUAUGGUUUUAGAUUGUCUAAUAGUUGCGGAAAAGUUGAAAGUUUGUCUUGUCAGGAAAUCAUGUGACUCUCUUCUAAUUGGUAGAAUUCAUAUGAAAAGUUUUGUUUGUUUCUGACUUUGAGCAUGCAUGAAAAACCUCAGCUUUUCACCUGGUUUCUUGUAGUCUUAAUGAUUUAGUGAGAUUAGGAAUCUAUUCUUAUUCAAGUGUUCAGUUCAGGUUCUAGCGUCUCAGCAUCUACUAAGACAGUCUACUUCAUGUUUAUUAUGUUGGUCAUUAUGAACAAAAGGUUUCUUAUGCUCUCAACUUAAUGAUUCCUUCUUCAAGUUCUAUAUGACUGCUGCGAUAUUUCAGUUUCAGUAACUAGUUGUUUUAUUUUCCUUUAUAUAUUUGAAACUCAUGUUAUUUCAAGAUCCUGCUAUGGGAUAUUUAAUCUCGACUUCGACCUACAUUAAACUUCUCUUCUGUGCCACUUCCCACUCAUUGUCGCUUUAGUGUCGCUGUGUCGGUUUAGUUGCAAUUCCUCUUAGGAGGAUUGUCAAAUGAUAAUAGGAAAUGUAUCAUGUCGCUGGGGUAGCUUAGCUCUAGGUUCCAAACACAAACAAAAAAAACGAAGCCAGCGUUUAAUAUAUCAGAGUUUGGAAAUUACAAAGAUGAGGAUUUGGAAACCACCAAACUCUCCAUAAACUUUUCUCAAUCUUCCUGAAACUUUUAUACAUAUAGAAAGCAUAGCCUCACUAAAACACAGUCACAUGAGAGUAACUAAUACUUUAUAAUACUUUAUAAAAUAUAGAAAUGCGCUUGACUUUACAGGAUUGAUGUUUUGAAAUCAAAUCGGAUACCAAAUAAUUGCUUCUUAGUGACCUUAGCGUUGGAGCUUACACAUUUAUCCACAACUCUCUUAAAUCUAUUUAGGGUACUCAGACUCCAGUUUAGCUCGGAGUUCCUUCCUAAGAAUCUUUCCGGACACUGCUUUCGGAAUAGCUUCUAUGAAAAACACCAUCUUGAUUCUCUUGUAAUGAACCACCUACAUGUAAGAUUAUCACACCAUUCAUUUAAGACAUGCAAAAGUAUCCAUCUUUGUGUGCUUUGCGUUUGGAGAGUGGAAGUAAAAUCUUUACCUGUUUGUUGACAUAACUCUUGACAUCAUCUUCGGUUAAAUGAGACCCUUCUGAUCUAACCACAUAUGCUACUGGAACCUCAUCAGCAACUUCAUCCUUCAUCCUGAAAAUUCAAGCUUCAUUAGAAGCUACAAAUAGUGGUGCUUCAAACUGGAAGGUUUUAGAAUUGUGUUUUAAAAACUCACGCCACAACUGCAGCAUCCUCGAUGUAAGGAUGAGAAAUAAGUAAUGCUUCAAGCUCAGCUGGAGCCACUUGAUAGCCUUUGAAUUUGAUAAGUUCCUUUAACCGAUCAACAAUGAAGACCUCAUCGUCAUCAUCCACAAACCCAAUAUCUCCUGUGUGUAACCACCCGUCUUUGUCUAUGGUUAUCGCAGUAGCCUCCGGAUCAUUCAAAUAACCUAACAAUAACACACUCUUUUUCACCAUCAAAGUAUUUUUCCUAUGUAAGUAAAAUUAUUGAUUCGUUUACCUUUCAUGAGUUGAUCACCUCGGAUGCAUAUUUCGCCAGGUUUGUUGCGUGGUAAAGAGACUCCGGUUAUGGUGUCGACCACUUUCAUCUCGGCGUUUCUGAUCACAGUCCCGCACGCACCAGACUUGGUCUUGAAUGGGUUCUUUGCAAACGCUAAUGACUUAGCCACCGUUCCUGACUCAGUCAUUCCAUAACCCUGAAAACAUGUUUCCUUUUUUAGUUUAGUCAUUACAAAAAUGUGAAAACGACAACAGUUGACAAUUGUCUACCAUAAUAACAUCCAUACUGACGAAGACAGGAACUAACGAACCACAGCAAAAGUCAUCAAAUAAGUUCUGUCUGAAAAAUUAUAAUUAAAGUAAACGGAAAUUAAUGUGUGACAGUCUCAUCAACAUGUGUUUGUCGUCCUAGUUGAAUUAAAUUUGAUGGGUACUGUUAGCGUUUUAUGUAUGAUCCCACUAACCUAUCAAUAAGUCAACACUGGAGUUUAGUUUUCUCAACUGCAAUUAAAACAACUAUAAGCUCGAUCUGGAUGGGUGAUUCUUAUAAAGAGAUGAGUAAUGAAUGUGUCCCCAGUAAUGGACUAAACGGUGCAAAUAAUUUAUUACUCACAAAUUAUCUAAACUACAUUAUCUAAAGGCAAUGUUAGAAACCAAACAGAGAAAAUGCAGAACAAAGGGGGCAGUAUGAUCAGAGUGUUCUUUAUGUUGGAUUACGCGAUGUAAUAGAUGGAUCGAAUCCAAAGUUCUUGUCAAUGACAAAAGGCGUUUGACCACAAUAGAUGGCAGCCAAUACCAAGAUCGUUCUAGACUGUCAACGAAGUUGGAUAAGUUAAAGUAUCAAGACCAUGCUUGCAAUUGUGCAAGUUGGCAUCGUGUUAUUACUUUUUCUAGUUUCAAGUUCUUAAAAAUGUAUUUGUUAUUGUUUUUUCAUGUAAGCUUUAACAACUGUAUUCAAUCUUAAUGAAGAUAAUAUUUAGUCGGAAAAAAAAGAAGAGUGUUCUUUAUUUGUCAGUGUGACACUAGACUCCAUUUAAAAGCUAAUAAUCAUUGUACUCUAUCUGUUUUAUAAAAUGUUUUUUAUUUAUUACUGUACCUUUUAAUCUGAUGCAAAAUUUGAAUAACAAGGAACUUGUUGGAUACUUUAAUGUUGGUUUUGUUAUUCUAUUAUCCUAUCUUAGGAACUAUUUAGUGAUAUUCAACCAACCGGACGAAACCAUAUUGGCUUAGGUACUAAUUUAUUGUCUUCAGUUUAGUUGUUUAAUUUUUUUUUUAAUCGAAGGUGCUAUGCGUUAAAUCGAGACUAAUCUCACAAUAAAAGUAGUCAACCUUAUUUUCUCAAGUCUAAAAUGAGUUCUAUAGUCGUUUACUAGACAGGAACUAAGAAACCGCAGGAUGAUAGAUAUAUCAUAUAUCUAGUCUAAUAACAUGAGCUACGUAAAGUUAAACUGCUUUUAGUCUAUAAUAUAGUCGGUUAAAAUUCUCAAGAAAAUAAAAUAUAUACAUAUAUAUAUAGCCGGAUAUUUUGGACCAAGCAGAAACUAGCCUAUAGAAAAGUACUUCAAUUAAUGUUUGACAAAUUUAUAAGACUAGAAUGAAUCAUCCUUGUCAGUUCUAACUAAACCAGCUAAACUGGUUAAUCUCUCAAAGUCUACCCGAAAUGGCAAAGUUUGACCAAAUAUGAACCAUCCUUCUAUCUGGUCGUCUAAAUGUACAGUUUGCUAACUUUUUUUUUGCUAUUAAUAGAAUAAAGUACACUUGUCAGAAUUUGGAAGUGUUGUUUUGAUGUGAAAUUCCAGAACAAUAUGUUUUUGUUUGGUUCCCCUUUAUAAUUCGCUCGCCCACCACGAGUUACUUAACUUUCAUCUAACUGGUUGACUUGCAUAGUCAAAGAUGACGAGAACGAUGGGUAGUCAAUUUCUACAUAUUAAAACAAAUAGUGUAUUAUUGGUACUCUAACAUUGCCAUUACAACCCGUAUAUAUUCGAAAUCUGAUGAUGCCGAUCUACACUGACAUAAAUAGUUUUAAAGCUUAGGUUUGGUGCAACCACCACUAAUUAAUCCAUUUCUUUAAUAUUUAGACCACGAACUUGUUAGUGUAUCUACUACCUUUUGGUCAAAGACUUUAGAAUAUGGAUGAUAAGUCCUCGACAGGAGAUAUACCUUAAGUUUGAUCUCAUUGAAAACUUGUAUAGUCAAAGAUAGUGACAACGAUAGCUAAUCAAACGACUACAUAUAAUCAAAUACUAUUGGUACCUCUAACAUCGCAAUUUACCAAUAAAUAUUCGAAAUUUGGUGACGCUGAAGAUCUAGACACUAACAUAAAUAGUUUUAAAGCUUAGGUUUGGUGAACCACCACUAUCAGUCCAUUUCUUAAAUAUUUAGACCACGAACUUGUUAGUGUGUCUAUUUAUACAUUAAAAUAUUCCAUUUGAUUGAUUAAUCACGUUAGGCAAUUGCACAUAGCGACAAAUCUUCACCUACCCCCAAGCAUUUAUAGUACUAAACAUUACAAAUGUAAGUUAAUCUUUAAGUACCACAUAUCUAAUCGAAAUAGCUAUACUAAUCCAUUUUCUACUCAAUAAUAAUCCACGAGUUAUUAACUAAUUGCAAAUUCUCAAUAAUCAUGUUUCUCAGACUCUGUCCAAUUGAAUUAAAUUUACGAAGAAAUCAGCAAAAUAGUUGUGAAAAUGAAAGGACACUAACUAAAACUGACCUGUCCAAAUAUGGCAUUGGGAAACUUGAGACGCACGGCGUCUUCAAGCUCCUUCUUGAGCGUAGCUGCGCCUGAAAGCAUCAUCCUCACUGAGCUCAGAUCGUACUUCUCCGUCUCCUGAGACUUAACAAACGCUAGAACCACCGGAGGAGCCACCGGAACUACGGUGACCUUAUACCUCUGAAUAAGCUCCAUCACUAGAUUCAACUCGAACCUCGGAACGAUCAAGAUCGCCGCUCCCGUCCUCAUAGCCGAGAGCAUCAACGCGUCGAGCGCGUAAAUGUGAAACAUAGGGAGGAAACAGAGAAUGACGUCAUCUCCGGUGAAGUUGACGUUAGGGUUUUCUCCGUCUACUUUCUGAGCGAUGCUCGUAACUAAUCCCUUGUGAGUGAUCAUCACUCCCUUCGGAAGCCCCGUGGUUCCGGAGGAGUACGGCAUCGCUACAGUGUCUUCCGGCGAGAUCUCCGGUUUAGGGAGCUCUGUUUCGUCCGCUUGAGCCAGUUCCUUGAAACUCACGCAACCGUCAGCUACUGGAACUGCGUCGUUUUCAUCUUCCACGCAAACGAUCAAAACGCUGUCGUUCUUCAUGUUUGUAAGUUUAUCUACGUAACAUGACUUAGUGAUGAUCAUCUUCGUGGCGGAAGCUUUUGCCUGUUUCUCUAUCUCCGACUCUGUAUAGAACGGAUUCGCGGUGGUGGAUACGGCUCCGAGGUAAGCCACGGCGAGGAAGGAGAGAGCAAACUCCGGCGAGUUCGGGAGAAGGAGCAUGACGGUGUCACGUUGGCGGAUCCCUAGCCGAUGGAUCCCGGCGGCGAUACGCCGUAAACUGAUUUGUACAUCACCGUAGGUAAAGAUACGUCCGGUAGCACCAUCGAUGAGACAUGUGGCUGUGGAGUCUCCGUCGCCGUCGCCGGAGAACUUCUGGAAGACGUAAUCGGUGAGAGGAAGAUGAUUAGGGAUGGAGAUGUCGGGAAGUUUGGACCGGAAAAUGAAUUCAUGAGAAGGCUCUGGAUCUGUCUUAAGAGGAAGUUCUUGAUCUGUCUUCUUUGUGACAAAAAGCGUUUGUUGUUGUUGUUGGAGCACCAUUUGUGUGUAGACUCUAAUUCUUCUACUUAGAAAAAAUAAAAAUUCUUUUCAAAAUGUAACGUUUUAUUUUUCUUUUUCGUUUUUCCUCUUUUGAUUGAGUUUUAUAAUGGUACGUUGGGUUUUAUAAAGAAACUGGACGAAGCCGAUUUUUUUUUAUAAUUAUUAUAUCCACUAUGAUUUGUUUCCAUUACAUGCGAUUUUCUUAAUGAUUUGUCUAUAAACUAUUGGUCGAGUGCAGCGUAGUUGGUGGGUGGGCCAUUUUACUGUUGAUUUUCAACACGGCUUUUAUUAUUCAAAUAAAGUUUCUUUUAUCUUGUAGGUGUCAGAAAAUCUUAUUAAAAACUAUUGUACAGGUAAUUUUUAUUAUUACGGUGAAAUUAUAUAUUUUUUAUUUUAAGUGUAUAUAUAAAAGUAAUUAAAUUUGGCUUAAUUAGGUAAAUUUAAACUGUAUACUAUGUUUUCUUCAUUUUUUUUUAAAAAACGUGUAAGUUGUAACUAAGUUUUGUACGCGAGUAAAUCCACGUAGAUAUAUAGAGUUUGAUUGCGACUCCUGCUUUGCUUGAGAGGGAUAAUAUUUGCUUUUUUGGUCAAUAAUAACUACUAUAAUAUUAUCUGUCUUUUAAUACGAUAUUAUUAUAUUUCUGUUAUGGAAACCUUGAGACUACUCCAAAAGAAAAUAAUAUUUAUCAGAAGAUCGGUCAAAAAAAUUAAAACAGUUGAUAUGUAUAAAGUGAGGAAUUUAUACUAUAAUGUAUUUAUUCUAAACCAUGAAAUGUAGCCUAAUAUCUUGUGUUAAUUAAUAUUAUUGAUAUGUAUAUUACCACCCGGAUUUCAACCCUCCAUAUUGCACAUUUUAUGUUGUUGAACAAAAAAGUGUACACAUGUAAUCAUGUAUAGUAAAAAAAAUUGUCCGGUAAGUUUCAGAGCUUGUGUGAAAAAUUUCUUUCAAUCCAAUAAUUACCGUUAUCACCUGAUAUGAAAACAUGCACUUAACCUUUAACUAUCUUCUAAAUAUCGUUUAAAAAAAUAUUACAUCAUUAACUAUAGCGAGCGUAAAAAUAUCAAAGCGUGGCAAGCGAUUAACAAAAUCAAGACCAAACAAAAUGAAGUGCUUGAAGCCAAACAAGUUGUAACCAAGUGGUUAAGUUUGGUUGGUGAUAUCAUUUGUCAUGGAUGUAUUGAUUUGACUAUUAUAUUGUCUCGUGUUAAUUUACUCCGAGUAAUCUGUUUUCCUCUAUUGUGAAGUGUUCGUGAGCAGAACAGGGUUAGCAUCUUCGUUGUGAUGAAGUUGGUUAAGCCACCCCUCCAUUUCCUGUAGCGAAGGAGUCCUCGUCGCAUCUUUCAGUAAGGGUCUUUCCCGGUUUGUUUCGCUACCCUCUUAAUUCCUCAGUGGCUUCGUAUUGGAUGUUUGAAGCAAUAUAAAGAGGUCGAUGUGUGGGAUCAACCGGAUGAAGAUGCGGGGGAGCGGUUUGUCCCGGGUGGUUCAGUUCUUUUGGUUCUAGGGUUCAGGGGUCAGUAUCGUGUGGGAUCUGACUCGGGUGUGAUGCUAAUUUGUGUGGUUCUGGCUCUUCAUCUCUUCAUCGUGAACAGAGGUUCAGAUGAGUUUCGGUCGUUUAUGUCUUUCACGUCGCUUGCUCACUUGUCUGAAUGUUGUUCUCCGCAAGUUAUCCGGCUGCUUUAGGCUCCUUACUAUUAUCUUUGGCCUUUGUUCAUUAAUGUAUGUGGGUGUAGAGGUAUGAUCUUGCUUUAGUCUUUUAAGUUAGCAUUCAGUUUGUUGGUAGUUGCCUGUGUUUGGGCUUAAGUUACCCUUGUAUGGGUUUUAGUUCCGGGGAUUUCACUUUGUUCCGGUUAUGUAUUUCAUCAGGUUCUAAUAUAAAUCAGUUGACGGAAAAAAAAAAUCUGUUUUCCUCUAUUAAAAACACACAAUCUUAAUUCGUUUCUAGUAGACCACCUAUAUGGAUGACCACACGAAUACGUAGACCAUUGCAUGAAUGAAUUGGACAUUAGUGAAUGAAAAACCUUUAACAAACGAAUUCGAAGUUCUCUUUACUUGAAGCUUGCUUUUCUUUUUAGAUGACUCUUAUAAUUCAAGUCUGCAUUAAAACUUGAAUAUCACAUUCCAAUAUCUGCCACAUUCGUAAACCAUAUGCAUCUUCUUCACUAUACGAUACAAUAAUGUAACAAAAAGGAACUUCUUAUAAAACAAUUUGUAAAAAGGGGAUAAUUCUUGAAACUCGGGGUAAUAGAUUCCUAAAAGAAAUUUACUCAUUAACCCAUAAUUACGAAGGGUAGAGACAAUUCCUUACACCUGAUUAACACAAAUCGAAGUUGCAAUAAAUAUUAACUUUUCUUCCCAUUAAAGAGAGUAUGUGUUGCUUUAGCUUCAGUAGAAAAUAUGCAAUCCAAUAGUAGGAUACUUUCCAACUUUUUGAUGGCAUGGUUGUUUACCUUGAGAUGCAAGUAUGAAACCACUACCAAGAACUGUUUAUGUCAAUGAGUGGCUUUAUAUGUUUUUAAUCAAAUUACUAGUUGUGGUUAUCCAUUCGUAUCCCGUUUUUGGUUACCCCUAAUAUGACAAUGACAUAAAUAGUUGCAAAGCUAAUUCUUAUGAACCACCAAUAGUCUGAUUUAGACCACAAAGUUGUUGUAUCUCUCUAUCAUAUAAAUAUAUUACUGUGGGUAUUUAUAUUAUUCAGCAUAUCAACCCCAUCUUAUACUACAUCUGUAGUGAUGGGUCGUUCUCCCCCCCCCCCCCCCCCCCCCCCCCCCCCCCCCCCCCNNNNNNNNNNNNNNNNNNNNNNNNNNNNNNNNNNNNNNNNNNNNNNNNNNNNNNNNNNNNNCCCCCGGCCAUUCUACAAUUAUGUCAUACUUAAAACAUGGUACCAUAUUUCAACCAAAUGAAAAUAGAGUAAAUUAGUUAAAUAUACUAACAAAUGUGGGAUAUCAUUGAAUGGGGGGGAAAAUAGUAAUGUUGGGGGGAAGAAAAUUGGAAGGAUAUAGGGUAUGGAGUGCAAAUAGGGGAAAAGUGGUGUGUAGGGAGUACAAAUUUUCAUGAAAAUAACUUUGAGGAAAACAAAAAAAUACAACAAUUAUUAAUUAUUCACCACACGAAUACAAGCAACUAUAUUGCACUACAAGAAAUAUGAAUAUUGGUAGCAGUUCGUGGUAGCACGAAUUCACGAACUGCUACCAAAAGUGUUAAAAUCGAAUCACAACUCUAUUCAAGCUUUAAAUUUGUGCUACGAAAAAAUUUCAUUAAAAGGAAACCGAAAAAUCAGUUUCGUAGCUGGAAUGUCAUUUUGGAGGUAAAAACACUUGGUGAAAUUUCACAUUCGCACCAAAAAAAAUAAGUUAUUUUUUACAAAAGAAAAAAUAUUCAUUCUCUCCAUCUUCUUCUUCUUCAUUGUUCAUUCAGAAUUGAUCUAUCAUUUCAAUCGAAGAAACAUGAUCCAUUGGCCUUGUUCGAAGUCGAAUUAAGGAACCCUAAUCCGUCAAGCCACUGGAUCUCGUUGUCGUAGACUCUUCGUCUUCUUCCCAAAACUCCUCCAUCCACGGCGAAUUGGCUCCUUCGCCUUCCUCCGUCGCUCUUCGCCACCAUCAGUUUUGCCAUCUCUCGCUUCUUCUUCUUAUUCCUUUCGUAUUAUCAAUUUCAAUUGCUCAGGUUUGUAAAAGCUUCCACCUUUCUUCAAUGGUUCCUCCACAGGCUUACGAUAUUCUCACUUAUACUAUCUUAAACUUUUGGGCUUAGGUCACUGAGGAGCAGCUUGAUGGUUUGUUCAUCGGCUUUGGGCAGGUCUAAGUCUUCUUUACAAGUUCAUCUUUGUUUGUGGUGUGUUCUUUAUCAAGACUAGUUUUGGUUGUUUAGGUUGUUGAAUGUUUCACCACAUUCUGGGUCGGGUCUUGCUUUGUCUCCGCCGUUUUCUCCACCGCUUCAUAGAUCCGCCGUGUUCGAGCUCGUGGCCGCCAAUCUAAGGUACGUUUGUCUCCACUGGAGUUUUGACUGUCUUGUACUUGCUCAUUUAUUUGUUUCUUAGUUGGUCUCAGUGAACAUACGUGAUUGAACUUGUAGAACUUAUCUAAUAUUGAGUUGCUGUUUGUAUUGUCUCUUUUUUUUUGUCCAAUCUGAAGUUGUGUGAAGAAAUCUGUGGAGAUUAUGAGGAAGUUCUCAGAGCAGUACGCUCGUUGCUCGGGAACUUACUUAUGUGUUGACAAAGGAGUUACUUCUGUCGUCAUCAAGGUUUGUAAAUUAACCUUAAAGUCUCCAACUUUCUGGUAGAAUUGUGUUGACUCAGCUUUCUGUUCUUUGUUCAAAGAUUAUAUGAUUUGGAGGAGAUUGGUUCUUUCUACUUGUAGAUAAUGACUUGCCAGAAGAUGUUUGGCGUUGUUUUCUUGAUAUAUAUACAGUAGGCAGUAGCUAUUAGAAAUCUUGAUGUGGGAUUUUGUUGAACAGGUGGUGUUUUCAUCAAAAGUUUCUAUCAUUCGAUUGGUUAUGAACUACUUGAAGAAAAACUGAGUUAGUUCAUGUGAAGAUCUUGAAAUCUAGUGCUUAUUAACUAAUGAAGAUGUUGAGUUUCUUCUUGUAAUAGUGAAUGAAUCUGCUGAAAAAAUUGAGUCGGUAUUAAUUAAAAUCUUCAGUUCUAGUGCUUAACUAAACCAAAUGGAUAAGUCUUCUAGUUGUAGAAUAGUGAUUCAGUGAUUCUACAGAAGAGAUUGGUCUAUGCAUGUGAACAUUUCGGCCUCUAGUUCUUAGCUAAUGAAGUGGUUGUUUCUGGGAACGGGGUAUGACUGAGCAUAAGGAUUCGUAUAGUGCACCGCUUUGUCCUUGCAGGUGAUCUUUGGAAUUUUUUUGAAGAUUGAAGAUGAAGCCCCUAGACUUAAUUGUUUUUGUUUAUGUGUAUUUUUGGAUGAUAUAUGAAAUAAUGUAUGUUUUAUAAAUUUAAUGAAAUAUAAAUUUUUAUUUAUAGAUCAAAUUGCCAUGUUUAAAUGAUAAUUAGAGUUUUGUUAUAAAAUAUUUUAUAUAUCAUCGUAUAUUUUAUAUAGUUGUGUUAGAUGUAAAAAAUCAUAAUUUAUUGCAAAAUAAUUGUAUUUUAAUUUAUACUUUUGAGUGUAAAACACUAAAACUAAAGCAUAAAAAUGGAUUUUUAUUAUAUAAUAUUUUAUAUAUAAUAGUUUAGGGGUUUAUAUGUUUAGUGUGAGACUAUUAUAUGGAAUUUGGUGUACUUCAUGUUCCUAAACCCUAAACAUGUUUCUAUACCCUAAACAUUAAUUUUAAAACUUAAUUUUUUUCAUAAUAUAAUUUAAAUCUAAAACUUAAAUUCAAAAUCUAUAGUUUGAUCAUAUUUAAAAUCUAAUCUCAAAUUUAAAAUUUAAACCUCAAACACUAAAUCUUAAAUCUACACCCUAAAUAUAAUACCCUAGACCCCAAACUUAAACCCUACAUACAAAGUCAUACUAAAUAUAAUCUUUUCAAAUAACUACUAAACUAAAACCUAUUCCUUGUAUAAAUCACAACUUUAUUAAUCUUUUUCUUUUCAAAUAUUUAUCUCAAGUUUUAACUUAGCCACAAUUCUAUUUCACAAAUCUCAAACCAUAUACUUUAAACUCAAUCACAACUAUAUAAACUAAUAGUCAACAAUUAUAACAUUAGUUAAUAAAAUUUUAAAACUAAACUUAUAAGUAUUAAUUUAAAAUUUUAAUUUGAUUUCAAACAUCAUAUUUUAAAAUUAUAAACCAAAUUAUCAAAAUAUUUAAAAUAGUACAGCAAAAGAAAAAAACAAAAAGAAAAAAAAUUGGCUAGCUAUUAAAAAAGAAAAGAAAAACUAUGGGCCAAUCAACUCUCAUCACGCGGAUAACCUUCUGCACCGUAGGAUACAAUUAAAUGAAUGGCUGAGAUGUUUUCUUUUCUUUUUUCUCUUAUCUUCACAGAUCUCUUUUCUCUCCAUCUCUCUUCCAUCGACAAAUCUCUCCUCCAUCUUCUAUUUUCAGAUUUCAUCUCCUCUAUCUUUAUUCUUAAUCAUCUCUCUCUCUCUCUCUCUCUCUCUCUCUCUCUCUCUCUCUACUCCCCUCACUCACGAACAAGAUUCAUCUCACACAGACACGUUUCUGUGUCUCAGUCUCGUAAUCUUUCUCUCACAUACGACACAUCUCAAAAAAGCAGAUUAUUCAAACCAGGCAGGACGACGACGACCGCUGGUUCUGUCUCUCUCUCUCUCUCUGUCAGUUUAAAUCUGAUUUUAUUUGUUUUGUUUGUAGGGUCGAUUCAACACAUGAGAGGUUGGAGAAAAUGAUUGUACAUCCGCUCAUCACAACCACCACACCAUCGCAUCUCAGAUCCAUUUUCGUCGGUCUCCUUCUUUCACUCUCUCUCGAACUCCCUUUCUCUCUCUCUCACUGCUCUGAUUCUGGUUUUGUUUAUCUGCUCUUAGUUUAAGAAGGCGUAGGAGGCUGAAGAAACUUGAUGGUGGUGGUCUCGGCAUCAACAGUGGUGGUCUCGGCGUCGACAAUGGUGGCUGAGCGCGGUUGAGGAGACUGAAAAAUCUUUACCGUGGUGAUCGUGGCUGGUGGUCUUGGCGUCAACAAGGAGUGCGCCGGAGAUUGAAGAAGAACGUGGUUUAGUUAGGUUUGGUUAGGGUUAGUUAAUAAACCGGGUUUGGCUGUAAACCGGUUUUUGUAAUAAACCGAUAUCAUCUGUAAACCAAAAUUUUAAUAAUAAAUAAUUUUAUUCUCAAACCAUUUAUAUUAGAAUUUAAUUUUAAUUUUAAACGUGGAUUAAAAUAUAUUAAUUUAUAAUUUUAAUAAUAAUUUUAAAAUAUGAAUGAGAAAUAAUAACAUAGCAUUGUAUCCAUGUCAUUAUAACAUAUUUUACAGUAUUUUAGAAACGUCAUGAAAAGAUACAUUAUAUCACUAAACCAAUGCUAUAAAAAGAUUAAUCAGUAGUAGACGAGUAACGCUACAAUAUGUCUAUUUAUUAUAGCACACAAAAAAACGCUAUGAUAUGUGGGGGGUCUAUUAUAGCUGCGGCUGUCACGGCGUUCUUCGAAACGCUACAAAAACGAUAUGAUAGCGUUUUUCGGAUGCUACUAAUACCGAUUUUUCUUGUAGUGUUGAGUGAUUUAAUAUUCUUUGUUUAUCAACAAUUUUUUUGUUUGCGUGUAUGAUAAGAUAACACAUUUGACAAUUUUAACUUAGGUUCAUCAGUCCAUUAGCUAGUCUUGCUCUUAGAUCCUUCCUCAAUAUCUUCCCUGAUGGUGCUUUGGGAAUAGAGUCAGUGAAGAACACCAUCUUAACUCGCUUGUAAUGAACCACCUAUAUAUUAAGUCAUACAAAGUUUACAUUAUUGUGUGUUUGCUGUAUCUAAAGACCGAUAAUGGAAUCUUAAACCUUACUUGUUUGCAGAUAUAACUCGUGACAUCAUCUUCAGUUAGCUGAGACCCUUCCGAGCUAACUACAAAUGCUACCGGAACCUCACCAGCAACUUCAUCCUUCAUUCUGAAAUAUUAAAUAUUAUUACGAACAUGAUCAUUAGUGUAUCCAAUUUGGAAAUUUUCAGAUUUGCUUUCUAAACUCACGCGACAACGGCAGCAUCCUCAAUACAAGGAUGAGAAAUAAGCAAUGCUUCAAGUUCAGCUGGAGCCACUUGAUAGCCUUUGAAUUUUAUGAGUUCCUUCAAUCGAUCGACAAUGAAUAUCUCAUCAUCAUCAUCCACAUACCCAAUGUCUCCUGUGUGUAACCACCCGUCUUUAUCUAUGGUUGUUGCAGUAGCUUCCGGAUCAGUCAAAUAACCUAAUAACAUCGCACCAUUUUUCACCAUCAAAUAUUGUUUUUAGAAAACGUACAAAGCAUUUGUUUGUUUACCUUUCAUGAGUUGAUCGCCUCGGAUGCAGAUUUCGCCAGCUUUGUUACGCGGUAAAGAGACCCCCGUAAUUGUAUCCACCACUUUCAUAUCAGCAUUUCUGAUGACAGUCCCACACGCCCCGGACUUAGUUUUAAAUGGGUUCUUUGCAAAUGACAAUGACUUAGCCACCGUUGCUGACUCAGUCAUUCCGUAACCCUGAAACAGUGUUCCUUUUUGUUUAGUCAUCAAAUUUUUUUUUAAACAACAACAUUUUUCAAUUUCCCACUAACGAAGACAUGAAAUAAUGAGAAAGUAGCAGUAAAUAAUACAUAAUAGUCCAGUCUGAAAAAUGUUAUUAAUAAAACCAGAAACUAACGUUAUAUGAAUUGCCCACCCACAUAUUGAACAUGGUGUUCAUCAACAUGUGGUACGUCCUUUGUUAAUGAAUUAAAUUUGUUAGUAAUUGUUAGUCUUUUCUUGUUCAUCACACAAUCUAUUCAUAAUGCAAUACAUUUCUUUUGUCAAAUCUAUAAUUCAAAUACUUCCAAAAUCAAUUCAUGAGCUAUAACAUUUAUUUGGAUUGGUGCUUCUUAUAAUUUUAUAAAGAGUCGAGAUAUGAAUGUGACACAGUAAUGGGCUAAACGUGCAAAAUAAAAAUAAAAAUUAUGACUAACUUAUAUAUAUAUAUAAAUAUCUUCUUAACUAGUUGAAAUGUGUUAAUUCAUGUAUUAUGCAAACAAUAUUAAGUUAAUUGUAACACGUUUCACACGAUGAGCCAUUGUUGGAUGUACGCGGUUUUAAAAUAAAAUCUCUAUUUAAAUAAACUUUUCUUUUUUAAAUCAAACAAUUCACAGUUCAUGAAUAUAUAUAUACAAAUAUUAUAUCAAACCAACGAGACAAUCAGAAUAAAAUCUUCACAACCCGACCUGGCAACCACACUCAUUAUUGGAGUAUCUAUACAUAAAAACUCCACUUGUCUAUAAUUUUGUGCUAACUAUUCCUGCUUAGUUGACUAUAAUGAGAUGACAACAAAUGCACGGUAAGUCCAACGUACAAAAACGAAUUAUAAAGAAGCAAAAACUCCACAAAUCCAUUUUUUCUAGUAAAUUUACUCACCGCUAACUUUAUUCAGUAUCAAUAUUCCUAUUUCUUGCACUUUAACUUGUAAAGAAAGUAACCCAAUCUAACCUGACCAAAUAUGGCAUUGGGAAACUUGAGGAGCACGGCUUCUUCAAGCUCCUUCCUAAGCGUAGCCGCGCCUGAAAUCAUCAUCCUCACGGAACUCAGGUCAUAUCUCUCCGUUUCUUGAGACUUAACAAACGCCAAAACCACCGGAGGAGCCACCGGAACCACCGUGACUUUGUACCUCUGAAUCAGCUCCAUCACCAGAUUCAACUCGAACCUCGGCACGAUCAAGACCGCCGCACCCGUCCUCAUCGCCGAAAGAAUCAACGCGUUGAACGCGUACGUGUGAAACAUCGGGAGGAAACAGAUGAUGACGUCAUCUCCCGUGAAGUUGAGGUUAGGGUUUUCUCCGUCGACUUUCUGAGCGAUGCUCGUAACUAAGCUCUUGUGAGUGAUCAUUACGCCCUUUGGAAGCCCCGUGGUCCCGGAGGAGUACGGGAUCGCAACCGUGUCAUCCGGCGAGAUCUCCGGUUUAGGAAGCUCUGUUUCAUCAGCUUGAGUUAGUUCCGUGAAACUAACGCAACCGUCAGCUAACGCAACGGUACCGUUUUCAUCAUCCACGCAAACUAUCAGAACGCCGUCGUUUUGCAAGUUUAUAAGUUUAUCGACGUAACAUUGCUUCGUAAUGAUCAUCUUCGCGGCGGAGGCGUUUGCCUGUCUUGCGAUCUCAGCCUGCGUGUAUAACGGAUUGGCGGUGGUGGUGACGGCUCCGAGGUAAGCCACAGCAAGGAAGGAGAAAGCAAACUCCGGUGAAUUCGGUAGAAGGAGCAUCACGGUGUCACGUUGGCGGAUCCCUAGCCGAUGGAUGCUGACUGCGACUCGCUGUGAAUUGAUUUGUACAUCGGCGUAGGUAAAGAUACGGCCGGUGGCACUGUCGAUGAGACAUGUGGCGGUGGAAUCGCCGUCUCCGUUGCCGGAGAAUCUCUGAAAGACGUAAUCAGUGAGAGAAAGGUGGUUUGGGAUGAAGAUAUCAGGAAGUUUAGACCUAAAUAUGAUGUCUUGACAAGGUUCUUGAUCUAACUUCUUUGUAAGAAAAAGCGUUUCUUGUUGUCGGGACAACAUCUUGUGUGGAGGUUUGUACUUCACAACAGAAGACUUCUUUUCAAAACGUAUUGUUUGCUUUUUAAGGGUUAAAAAAAAACUCUCCAAGGUUUUGCAACUCUGCAGAUAACUCAAUAAUGCAGGUCCGUCAGGUUUGAAUCAGAUUCGACACAGCUCAUCAAGGCCAUCAAAGGAGAGAGCUCUCUCAAAGAAAUUUAUGGAAUUGUGGAGGACAUGCAUCCUCUAUGGUGUUUCUUGCAUUGAUGAUUUCUCUUUCUAUUGGAUCGUGAUCAAAAUGUAGUUGAAGACUUGAUAGCAAAGAAUGCUGUAGUUGUUGAGGAAUACUUUAAUGCUCCCACCUAUCUUAAGUUAAUGAAAAAGUUGUGAUUCAGAAAAAAAAAAGGGUCAAAUGACAAUAAUUCAACAGGUACAUAGGACAAUAUCAUGUAUAUUAAAUAAUAUGGACUUGAACGUGCAACAUGAGCUCUGCAUAAUCAACUGUCAUUAUAUAGUUUUUUUUAAGUGACAAAUCAUACCAACUAUCAAUUAAAAUCUCAAAUCCUCUCUGGCUGAUUUUGAUUAGGAGUAUCCUUGUAGCCAUUUGUAAACCUUUACCUUAUCUUAUUUCUAUGCAAUUUGUUGACUGAAUUCUUGAUCUAUAUAUGAUCUCAUGAUCAGUGGUAUCUACAAUUCUAUUCUCUCUCACUUAUCAUGUCUAGUUCAUGCAAUUUUAUUCCUGAUUUUUCACCCAAUAAUUUAAGAUGCUUAUUAAUUUGGGUGAAUGCUAUAUUGAGCUUUUUAGGGCAGUUGCUGAAAAUAUAUCAAGCAUUAUAUCGUUAGGUAACAUUUUGCCACCAAAUUUACCAAAACAAAUUUCAAAGAAAAAAAAAAUACAACUUGUUUUAUAACAUGAAUACAAAGAAAAUAGAGCAAAUAUUUUUCUGCAAGUUUCCUUCUUUGUUUUUGAACAACGAAUAAAAAAAGAGAAAAAGACCAAAAUAACACUAAAUCAAGUUUUUGUUCCCAAACUAGCACUUAAGGUCAAAAGUCACAAAAAUGGCACUCAAGGGGUAGAGUUUAGGGUUUAGAGUUUAGGUUUUAGGGUUUAGAGUUGAGAAGUGAGGUUUUGGAGAUAAGAUUUCAAAUUUUGAAAAAUAAAAAAAUUUAAAUUUUUCAAAAGAUAAAAUGCUAUUUUGGUCAUUUUAGUUUUUGAAUGCUAUUUUUGUGAUAUAAACUUAGAAAUGUGCUAUUUUGGAGAUUUGCCCAUAAAAAAUAUGACAAAAAAAUAAUAACGAAUAGAAAUUACAUGUAUGCAUGAUGCAUAUACAUUUGGAUCAUUUUAAUCUUAUGUUCAUCAAUACAUUUGAUAGUCCGUCCUGCUCUUAGAUCAUUCCUCAAUAUUUUCCCUAAUGGAGCUUUAGGAAAGGAAUCAGUGACACAUAACCUGAUUCACACACACACACACACACUUCAAAUCGGUUUGAUUCAAGUGUCUAUACUCUAUGGAUAGUAAUUGCGACAAAUCUUCACCUAACAUAUGUUCUACUGCGCAAAUGGAAUUAUUAGGGGGUGUUAGUGGGACUUAGAUUUCUAUAAAAUUUGUAGAUUUUAAAAGCUGAGAGAUUUAUUAAAUUUGUAAAGAAAAGUAGAUAAUUUUGUAUAUUGUGAAAAUCUAUGAAAAUAAAGUAAUGUAAUGACUCUAAGAAUUCAAGAAAAAUUUCUCAAAAUCUUGUUUUGUGAGUUAAAAUGUUAAGAAUUCAACUCCUAAUAAUAUUUACUUUAAUAGAUUUGUAGAAUCAUUAAAAUCAAAACAUUUUUAAAUAACAAAUGAUUUUGUAUAGAAUUAUAAAAUCAUCAAACCAAUAAUAAUAUAUUUUAAUGAGAAUGUGAGAAUCUACAAAACCAAUAACACUAGACUUGAAAAUUCUAAGACUCAUUAUAAAUCCAAUUCCCACUAAUACACUCUAAUUCGUCUUAUCUAUAUUCGCUCCAUUUCAAAAAAAAGUGUAGUGCGUGUAUAGUUUGUAACUUUUGUUUUCUAAUUUUUUUUAUCAUUUUGUAUUUCAAUCCAAAACUUGAUAGGUAGCUUUUCACCUAUUAAACAAAAAGUUUAUAUGAUGAAUUUUAUUUCCGCCUUGAAACAUGAUUCUACCUGAGAUGAUCUUAAAUUAUUUCUAAACAAUUUGCUACCCAAAGUAUUGAUCUAUUUUACGACCUCAUUCAUGUUUAGUGGAUUUCAUUCUCUCUGUUAUCGUAGACAUUUAGGUCUUCUUGUUCAAUAUUUUAAGAUGCCUUUUCCUCUGUUGGUGGGAUGGAUGUUACUUAAUUUGCUUUUCUCUUUUGGGAAUUGUUGGUGUUAUAUUCUACCAUUAUGUGAAAGAUUUUGAUACUGAGUUGACGUCAGCGUGUUUAUUUCAUCAAACUUAUCCUCCUCCUUUUUGUAACACUCUUACCUAAUUUUGUUAAAUCAUAUAACUUAAAGAAAGUAGAAACAAUUUCAAACACAAUCAUUAUUUGUUCAAUGAAUACAAAGAAAAUAGAGCAAAAUUUUUUCCUGUCAGUUUUGUUUCCUUUGUUUUUAAUAACGAUAAAUAAGAGUUGCAUGUAUGAUUACACAUUUUAAGCUUAUGUGCAUUGGCUAGUCUUGCUCUUAGGUCCUUCCUCAAUAUCGUCUCUGAUGGAGCUUUAGGCAUGGCCAGUCGGUGAAGAUCGAAUACUUUGUUGAUUCUCUUGUAAAACGCAACCUAACUCACGUACACUAUUUUUUUUUUUUUUAAUGAAUGUAAAAUUUUAUUCAAUCAAAACCUUUAUACAUCAAGUGCAUCUUCUUUUUUGUAUUAAGCUAUCCAUUUACUCUAAAUUCUAUGAAAAUUUUUUAAGUAUUUGUUUCUCUAGUCCCAAACCAUGUACUUAACCCCUCUUCUAAGUACUUUUGCCCCAGCCCCUUUACCAUAAGCAAUUUCAGGCGAAUUGUUUUGUCCACAAACUUUGUUAUAGUACUCGCAGCUUGUGGUUGUUCUCCAUGCCUACGUGCAUUUCUUUCUCUCCACAUUGCAUGAACUGUGGCCUGAAAAGAAUAUCGGAGAAGGAAUUGCUUUGUAGGCGAUAGACCUGUAUUGGAAACCAUCGCUACUAUGUCAUUCCAUUCCGUAGUAAACCCUCCAUGAAGAAUACCUCCCACUAGCGCCUUCCAAAUCUGUUUUGAGAAACUGCAACUAAAGAACAGAUGGCUGCAGGUUUCGUUGGCUUCAUUACAGAGAACACACACCGGAUUAACCAAACCAUUCCACGUCUGCAUCCGAUCACAUGUUUGUAGCCUGUUACGCAAAGCAACCCAGACCAAAAAAGAGUAUUUUGGUGUUGACUGCGAGAACCAGAUGCCUCUACUCCACUCGCAUGAUGAAGAAAAAUUCCGCAGCUGCAGCCAUGUUUUCUUUGAGGAGAACAUGUUCGCAUAGAUUCCCUCCUUCUGUUUCCAAAGAGGAAUGUCCUCAUCUUGGCUAGGUUCGAGCCUCAGUGUUUCAAUCUCAUCCUCAAUCUCAUUAAGAAUCCUCUCUCUAUGCCUUCUUCUUCUAUGAUUUCCCAAAACAUCAGCAACCACUGCAUUUCCAGAGAUUCCCAUUACAAUGCUGCCUCUCUCUCCCAGCACAUCCUUCAGACGACCAAGUUUUGACCAUGCGUCGUACCAAAAAGAAGUGUCCUGCCCAUUUUUGACUUCCCUUCGAAAAAAUUGCUUCGCAGUGUCCCUAAGCCUGAGAAGUUUUCUCCACACCCAUGAUCCCGAGCUGGUAUUUUCCUUUACUGACCAGAAGGAUCCUUUCCGAAUCAAAAAACACUUCACCUACUGGACCCAAAGCGAGUCUUUUGUUGAAUGAAUCCUCCAUAUUAAUUUUAGGCUGUGGACUGUAUUCACUUCCUUCAGCGGCCGAAAUCCCAAACCCCCCUCUUCCUUUGGUAAGCAAACAUCUUUCCAGCUUACCUUUGCUUUACUUGUCUUCAGCUCAGGUCCUGACCACAUAAAAGCUGAGCACAACCUUUCUAUGUCCUUCAGACAGCUGCUAGGUAGCCGAAAUGCUUGCAUCCAGAAGUUUGUUAGACUUGUGAUAACUGAUUUGAUUAGUUGCAAGCGACCAGCAUGUGAUAGAAAUCUCCCCGUCCAAGAUUUCAUUCUUUUGCGGACUUUCUCGACCAAAGGCAAGUAAUCUUGAACUGUCAUGCGUUUUGUGAGCAAAGGGAGUCCCAAAUAGCGCACAGGUAAUUGUCCUGAAGCAAAGGGGAAGCUAUUGCGAAUCUCCUCUUGAUCAGAAGCCGUGGUUCCAGCAAUAUACAGAGUGGACUUUUCGAGACUAAUCUUUAGACCCGAGAUCGCAGCAAAAUCAUCAAAAACUCUAAGGACACCUUCUAUAGAUCGCUUUGUGCCAUCAGUGAAGACCAUAAGGUCAUCAGCAAAACACAAGUGUGUUAGAAGAAUGUUCUGGCAGCGAGGGUGAUAUCCAAAAUGCUUCCCUUCUGCAGCUUUGUCUAGCAUGCGAGAUAAGACAUUGAUGCAGAUAACAAAGAGGUAGGGGGAUAAGGCGCACCCCUGACGCAAGCCCCUCUUGCUUUGGAAAAAACCCGCGAGUUCCCCGUUAACUUGCACUGAGAAGGAUGCAGUACAGACACACAACUUGAUCCAAUGGAUGAACUCCUCCGGGAUGUUCAGAGCUCUUAAUGUGUUAAGGAGAAACUCCCAGUUAACAGAGUCAAAAGCUUUUGCAAUAUCGAUCUUCAUCGCACACCUUGAAGAGAUAUCAUCUCGAUGAUAGUCCUUGACAAUCUCAGUUGCAAGCAGAAGAUUCUCCACUAAUAAUCUGUCUUUUAUGAUUUAAACGCAGAGCCGGAAGUGAUUUAAUGGGGGCCCCAUUCCAAAAGGAAAUAUAAACUUGUUUUAUAGUUACUAAAACUAUAUAUGAAAAAAUCUAUACAACAAAAUAUAUAUAAAAUUUUUAUCUACAAGUAAAUAUAGAUAAUUUAUUUUUAAAUAAUAUAUAGAUUAAAUAUAAGAACAUUAUUUAUGUUUUUUUUGUCAACAAAACCAUUCAUUGCAAAGAUAAAACAAAGAGAGUACAAUGGCUUAUGAGGUUGGCCAGGAAAUUACAUAAAUUACAUAAUCUUGAUUAUUAAUCCUAGCCUUUCUAGCUAAUAGAUCAGCAACCUGACUAAGACCUCUAGGGAUAUAAAAAUUUUAUCAUAGAAGAAUUUGAUUGGACGGAGAAAUGAAAUGCUUAAUGUAUUUUUGGGCUCAAGAAAAUAAUCAAAACAGAGGAUUCACAACCUCGAAAGUGAGAUCAACCGAACCAAAACUAAAUGGAAGAAUAUAUACUUCCUAAAACAAUGUUGAUAGUUAAUUUUGAGUAGGGAUGGACAUAAAUACUUGAUACUCAGCUCUUAUUCGUUAUUGGUUUUGUAUCGGCUUCUAAACGCAAAUAUUUGGCAAUGUCAAAACAAGUAGCAAGUAUAAUAAUUUGAAUACUUGUGUAUAUAGAUCAAGUAACAAGUACUAAAAAACUAAGACUCUAGUUGUGCCCAUUCUUAAUUUUAAGGACUCUGGCAUUUUCCUUUUUAUGAUAGAAAUUGUAUGUUGUUGAAAAAUGUUUCCUCUCUAUUUAAAAUAGAAAACACAUAUACAAUACUUUGAGUAAGCUCCAGGUCACACAGCACAUGACCUUUUUUUUUAUCAAACCAAAUUUGCACUAAUCUUAAAUAUGUUUACACUUCAGUAAAAACGGAUACAAAGAGGCUAUUAACAGCCAAACAAACAACAACAAUAGUAACAUAAAAGAUAGAAUAGCGAUACAAAUCACAAAACAGAACCAUAUGAAAUCAUAUUACAACAACAUCAUAAGAUUCUUCAAAGAACGCAUCUAGUGUAACCUGUAAAACCACACACUGCACUAUACGCAGAAAAAAGCAUUCGAUAAGAGGAAGAUCCUUGCAAUACCAACGAAACUUGUUCAUCUAAUUCACUCCAUAUAGGAAGAAAUAUUAAAAAAAAAAACUGAUUCAAACGAGGAAAAAGUGGGAAAUCAUAACCCGCCACAUCUAAAUUAUAAUAUAGGGGGGGGGGGUAAGGUGAGAAGAGAGUGUCUGAGAGCGAUAGUGAUAGAGAGAGAGAGAGAGAUAGGAGAGAAUGAACUGUGGUGAUGAGGCCGGAGCUUCUUCAGGCCAUUUAGAUUGGAGAUUCUCUCAGGUUUCCGGUGAACGCAGCGCUGGUGAAGAAGUCCAAGAAGGUAUUAUUCCAUGCAUUUCUGCUUCUGCUUUAUAAGUUAUGGGUCAUUGUAAAGUUUUCGUCUAUGAUCGAAGGUUUCCUGGAUGUUUGUUUAAUGAUUGUUUUGUUCUUCGAACUAAGUCUUCUGUUUGCAUGUUUUAUGCUAUGUGAUUGUCUAGCUUGGUUUCUAACUAGGUGAGGAGAUGUUGGAUCAUGAGUUACAGACUGUGUCCAUUACAAGAUUGCAUAGGAGCUUCCACUUUAAUCACAUUUAUCUAAAUUGAAGUGAAAUUGACUGUUACCUGCUGUUUCCUCUGCAGUUGAUAUAAUCACAGGUUGACUACAUGACUCUCAAGGUCCAUACCCUUUUUUUGUAUAAUUUUCCUUGUGCAUUAUGUUUCAUUAAAUCAAGAGAGCUGGAUUUGGUGACUACUGUUAUGUUUGGCAUUGGCUAUGUCAAACUAACUGUAUGUGGAAAACUGGACCCAUGGUUGUGUGUUUUUAACAUGUCAGUUAUGGGAUAUCAACGUGGACUCGGGUCCGGUGUCAACUUUCCUGGUCCACGAACAUUUAAAGACCAAAGGUCAGUUUCCUGUACUCUGAGAGAGAGUUGGGUCAGCAGACUCGAUGCAUAACUGAUGACCAUGUUUCCGUUACCAUCUACAGCUCUGUGAUUUAUAUGAAAAUGAUUCCAUAUUAGAUAAGUUUGAAUGUUGUCUAAAUGGGGACGGAUUGCGAGUGGCUACAGGCUCUUACAGGUAUGCUUGUAACGCAUAUCAUCUUCUUUGAUUUUACUGGAAUAAACUUGCCCCACUUUAACAUUGUUUCCAGCAAUCUACAACUUUGGAAGCAAGCAAAAACCCAAUUAGGUAACAAACUGGUACUAGCAAGGUGAAUCUAUUUCUCUCAUUUUUUUCCUUAGUCUAAGUAUUUGAUUAGAUUGAAUAUGUGAUAAAAUGUUAUAGGAGACAAGUCACAACUCCCGCGAGGCCAUCAAGACCAUCACUAAGCAGUACAACAUGCGUGGCUAGAAGAGGUAAGUGGGUUUCAUCCAUGUGCCUUUUAGCAUUAGCCCCUCAAGGGAAUUAAUCAAUAAAUAGUUUAAACAGGAGCAGAGACUCCUGGAAGCGAUAAGAAUGGUAACACUUUUGACCACACAACCAAAUUGCUGCCUCUAGCAUGGCAUCCAACAGAAAACUUGAUAGCUUCUGCCGCUGCUAAGAGUUUGUACAUGUAAUAUGCCUCAAAAAAAGAAGAAAACAUACUCAAAUAACGAAAGAAGGUUUGUUCUUGUGAAAGUGAAUCAGAGAUGCUUAUAUAACAUCAUCAGCUCCUUUAUAUGCUCUCUCUGUCUUUGUUUGUAACAUCCUUGACUCUUUUUCUAACUGAUCAAAUGGUUGGAGAUAGCAAUCACUGGUAAUGAUAUUCAUUUCUUCAUUACAUAACAACUAAGAAAGAUGGCUAUUUUCUGUAAGUUUUUUAGAAGCUUUUACUUGUGUUCUGUCUGGAUAAGUUUAAAAUGUUGGACAAGAACCAGAAGAAGGAAUCCGAUUAUAAGAAAAAAUCGUGAUUGUAGUUAAUUUUGGAAUAUUCUUGGAACUAUUUUAAAAUUACCAUAUCAUGUUUUAUUUAUUUGUUUGUUAUUUUCUGGUAAAAGAUUUCUUGUUUGUAGUUUCUGACGUUACAAAUAAUUCGAUCUUCUCUUAUUAUUCUUUAACCAUAUCAUUCCUUUUGUUUUUCUUGAUAUCUUUCAUUAUCCAUUACAUUUGCAAAACACACAAUCAAAGACUCCAAAUCAAUUAACAACAAUAAAAAACGUUUUUCUUAUUUGAAUACCUCAAGGGAAACUUUGUUUGGUGUACGUGACAGAAUUUUCGAAAAAUUAGUAACUCGAUUUAACUAGUAAUUAACAUGCGUUUCUAGUCACUCACCACAAUAUGACUUGGUUGUAUAUACAUACAUACAUAUUCGAGAGGGCCAAAUUAAAUCUACGCCGUCCAUGCGUCAAGCAGCAGCCACGAAUCGUAGCCGUAGAAAUGACGCGAUGAUGGCGAAUCAAGAACUGGAGUGCUUGUCCCACGUGUUGGCAAAACAGAACACACGAGAGCAAAAUGGUCAGCUCUUCUCUUACGGCAGCUUAACGCUACGACAAUAUCCUUAAUCUGUUCCUUGACAGACGGACGGCUCUGGUUCAUUGACACAAACAGUGCAUAAAUCAACGGCUACGUUUCGACUUUUGAGUGUAAUGAUCUCACUCACUCUCAUCGAGUGCACAUCCUUGCUUCACAAGGACGCUAACUAACUAUUGUCUCCUGAUUCUUGAGCCAGAGUGGGUUUUAGAAAUUAUGGCAGUGCAUGAUGGCCUUAUUGUUUACUUUCAUUUUUUAUUUGGGUAAUUAUAAUAAUAUUAAAUGCUAAUCACGUCUGGUUUAUUGCUAAUUGGAUUAUAACUUCUAAUUUUCAUUAUAAUUUUAGAAACUGAGAUUGUACAUGUCAGGCUUGUGCAUGGAUAAAAAACUCAUGGGAAAAUGGGUGUUUUUGUUGUCUUCCGUUUGCUGUCUUCUUGAUUAUGGUUUAAUCAGGAAGGUUCGAGUAUAAAAGGUUUUGAGAGAUCAACGUGAAGAAACAUAAUUAAACGAAUUUUUUUUACAUAGAGAACUAAAUGCAGUUUUCAUAAUUAGGGUAUCUCCGACUUCAUUCUAUUUUCUACUCUAAAAUAAAAUUUAGAGUAAAAAUGUUUCAAUGGUACUAUAUUUUUCACUUUAUAAUAAAGUAAAAAAAAUGUUUACUCCAUAUAUAGAGUGUUUGUUCAUCACUCUAAACUAGAGUACUAUUAGAGUAUAUUAGAGUAUAUUACAACUCUAUUAUAUAGUUACUCUAUUUUAGAGUAAAAAAAUAGGAUGAACUAUUAGAGAUGAUCUUAGGAUGUUUGAACUAAUAUCCAACUAAUCUUUAGAGAAUAUUGACGACUAAUCUGAUCCCUAAUUUUUGUUCAGUUACCAACAAAUUCGUUCUCGGUAAAAAUCGAAGCCUAAAUACACUCUUAUCAUAAGGUUACUACAGAGAAAUGGUUAUGAACUCUUCAGUAACAAGAUGAGAAUUUUUUUUUAUUUUCUAGAUUACUCGUCGAUUUUACAAAGCCUGCGGAGCUAAGGAGCAAUGCCAAUGACUGUCUUGUGAAAAUGAGCAAACCAUAUCCAUCAAAAGGAGUAGAGAGACUUUUUUAGCCAUCAAAAGGAAAAGGCAAAUAUGUUUGUUUCGGGGCAGCGUAAUAACAAGUAUAAGAGAACAAAAAAGAUACGUAUAAUCGAUAUUGUCUAAACGUAUGAAGCCAAAACAACCAUCUUGGCACCAAGACAGGCGUAUCCCAUAUAUGUUGGAAAAAGUUAUUACCCCCUCGAUUUAUACAAAAACCCUUUUCUUCAACAUUAUUUUCUUUUACAGAAAUUCACAAUGCAUAAAAGUUCAAAAUUUUCUUGAAAUUGUAGAGUUUAUAGUUCAAUUCUAUAUAUAUGGCUGUUUAAAAUAUGAUUUUUAAUCUAAAAAUUACUAUUCCAAAAAAUUAUAUACUUUGAAAUAUUUGUAUAAAUUUUAAGGCUUAAAGUUUGGUGUUUCGCAAGUUUUAACUUAUGCCAACCUUGAUAAAAACUAUACUCUAUUAUUUUUAUUUAUCAGAAGCUAUCAAUCUUGUUAAUGUAAGAAAUUCAUAUACUAAAAUAUUUAAUUUCGGACAAAAUGACAUCAAACUAAAAAUCUACUCUAUGUUCGUAUUAGUUAAAAGAAGUCAACAAGUCAAUGAAAAAAAUCCAACACCAAUGCUCUUGUCAUCUAAUUAAAUAAAUGAAUAUUAAUUAUGUUACAAAAAAUGAAUAUUAAUUAAUAAUUAAUUAGCACAAUGUUAAAAAUAAUAAUCAAAAGGAAGAAGAUUACGGAAGCGGUAAUCUUGUAAUUGGGUCGUCCUAUAAGACUAGUCGGUAACACACCACACCUCACAAAGCUUAUCUUCUCGUUUAGACUUUAACCCUCCAACACUCUUCUCUUCCUCUCUCUGUUCUGCCUGCUCCACUUCUCUCUCUCUUUCUCAAACUUAGUGAGGGAAAGUGUUAAAUUUGUCUUAUUUAUGCGAUAAGGACCACUUCCACUCUAUAAAAACCUCAAAAUAACUUACUCUCCCAUCUCUCUCUUCUUUAACUCUUCCCCAGUCAGAAAUUGCAAUCCACCAUCUCCAAGAUUCGAUCUUAUAACUGUCUUUUUAACAGGUUUGCAUAUAUAUAUUGUUACAAAAAAAAAUCUAUUCAUUCUUUUUUUAUUUGGGAAUUUGCUAAAUUUUCCUGGAAAAGAAAAGAAAUUUUUAUCCGUAAAGAAGAAGAAAUGCAGGAUCCAGCAGCUUAUUACCAGUCCAUGAUGGCGAAACAACUACAUCAGCAGCAGAAACAACAACAACCGCAAUUUCCGGACCAAGAACAGCUAAAGUGUCCUCGCUGUGACUCACCCAACACUAAGUUCUGUUACUACAACAACUACAACCUGUCACAGCCCCGUCACUUUUGCAAAAGCUGCCGACGUUACUGGACCAAAGGGGGCGCUCUCCGCAACGUCCCCGUCGGUGGUGGUUCUCGCAAGAACGCAAAACGAUCCACCUCUUCUUCUACUUCUCCUUCCAACUCCCACAAGAAGGCCAAAACACCUGAUCCGGAUCCUGGUUCGCAAAAGGAAACCAACCCGGAUACGGAUCCGACCCGGAUGCUGUACGGGUUUCCCAUCGGGGACCAAGACGUGAAAGGUAUGGAGAUGGGCGGUGGUGGUGGUGGGAGUUUCAGCUCGCUUUUGGCGUCGAAUAUGCAGCUGGGUCUUGGCGGGAUCAUGCUCGACGGGUCGGGUUGGGAUCCGGGUAUGGGGUUAGGCAUGGGCUUGAGGAGGAGUGAAGCGGGUAACGGGGGAGGUUGUAGCCCGUGGACCGAUCUGGCUAUGAACAGAGUGAAGAAAAACUGAGAUGAAGAAAACGAGGGGUAUUUUCGUAAAUUAUGGAUAUGCAAAACUGAUUUUAGAUGGCUUGAGUCAUCACAUAGACAGUGAACAGGUUCGAUGUUAUGUCAUUUUGGUAUUAUAUUCCUCCUGUUACUACUACUCCCUUUUGUUAUUUUAUUUAUAAAUCAGUUUGUUAAAAUUCUAAUCUUUGUUUUUAAAAUGCUUACUAUAUAGUUAAGGACUUGCAUUAAUUCUAGAACAAUACUAUCUACAAAACUCAUGACGUGAAAUGAAUUGUUCCGCUAUUCGCCACGACAUUAUUGUUAUUUUAUGCUUGAUCGGUGAGGUAUUUAGCCGACGAUUAUAUGUCAUUGGUUAUUGAUAUGUAAGCUUGAAGCCCUUUGAAAUAUUCGCAGGAUAAGUUCUUUUAAUCGAAUAUUAGAAUAGUAUAACUGUGCAUGAAUCUGACAUAGAUCAACAACAUUCUUACGGCAUGUGACAUUCGUAUUUUAGUUAAUGUAUUGAUCGCUUUAGACACCUACGUUCUAGAAUCAUGAUAUUGACUCUCUACUAGUUGUCGCCUGCUUUUCUUGGGUUCAAAAUGGCGUUUCCUAUGUCGUAUAAUUUAAAUAGUGAUGAAACAUUGUAUUAGUUCAAUUAUUUAGAUAAAUAAGACAAAAGUUCACGUCGCUAAGAAGAAUAUUAUGCUUUAGAUAACUUUGAAAGAAGUGGAAGAAAAUAGUUUAUCGGAAAUAUUUUAUUCCUCAAGUACUUAUGCUAUUUUGUAUUCAUUGGUCUUUUAGACUUGUAACAUCGUUUUGUUACUUACUAUUACUAUAACAACUUUUGUAAAUCAUUACAAACUCGUUUAACACGCGAAUGACGUUCACAAAGAGUGGGGAGCGUAAUGUGGUCUUUGACGUAUGCCAUAGAACAAUGGCUAUGGUUUUCUCACUGAUUAAUAGUUCACAAUAUAUUUGUAGGUGAUUUUAUAUAUCCAAAUAAAGUUUGUUUGGUGAUUUUAGAACGUUUGUAUUGAGAGAAACAUAGGAUCACCAAGAAAAAUGUGAUUAUGUGGACUAUAUAGUAAUAAUCAGUACUAUGUAUCAACUUAUGUCACAGAUAGUCACUACAAGAAAACAGCGGUAUUCUGACGGACGUUCCGACGGAAAAUGAAUUCCUCGGAAUAUACCGAGGCAUUUCCGAGGCAAUUCCGAGGAAACACAAAAUUUUGCUUCCUCGGAAUUCCGUCGGAAUAUUCCGACGGAAUUCCGAGGAAAAUUCAUUUCGUCGGAAUAUUCCGACGGAAUACCGAGGAAACUAGUAUUCCUCGGAAAAAACCGAUGAAUUCCAAGGAAAUAUUAUAGACGUUAGAUAGCCGUUGGAGAGCCGUUGGGGGGAUUUUAAAAAUUCCGAGGAAAUUCCGACGAACUAGCCGUUUGCAUCGGAAUUCCGUCGGAAUUUCCUCGGACCGUCGGCAGGAUUUCAACUAUAAAUACAAGCACCCCUCUUCCUCUUCAUUCACACCAUAUCUUCAUCCUCCCUCUCACUUUCUUUACACACGAAUUUGAUUCAUAAAAAACAUGUCUUCUUCAAAUUAUUUUCGUUCUUGGAUCGAUCGACCUCAUUUGGAUCCGAACACGAGAUUGCUUACGGAAGAAUACCAACAAGGUAUAACCGAAUUCAUGGGGUUAGUUCACCGACAACCGGAAGCAAAAACAGGUAUGUUAAGAUGUCCUUGCUCUAAUUGUAAAAAUAAAAAAGUUAUUAAAGAAUGGGAUGUUUGGACUCAUUUAUAUUUGAGUGGGUUUACACGAAGUUACAAAAUUUGGUAUCAUCAUGGAGAAACUGAUUAUGAACUUGGUAGUACUAGCGAACCUCAGCCAGCGGUUAGAUUAGAAGAUCCAAUUAGAACGGAUGUAGAUUACGGUGUAGGUACUGAGCAGAUGCUAAAUGAUCAUUUUAGAGGGAAAGAUUUACCCAAUGCCGAAGCUAGGAGAUUUUAUGAUAUGUUGGAUGCUGGAAAGCAACCAUUGUACGAAGGUUGCAGAGAUGGUCAUUCAGCUUUAUCAUCUGCUACAAGAUUGAUGGGCAUUAAGACGGAUUAUAAUUUGGCUGAAGACUGUGUGGAUGCGAUUGCUGAUUAUGUAAAAGGUAUUCUACCCGAAGAUAAUGUAGCUCCUGGCUCAUACUACGAGGUUCAGAAACUCGUAGCUGGUCUUGGUUUAUCGUAUCAGGUAAUAGAUGUAUGCAGAGACAACUGCAUGAUUUAUUGGAGGGCGGAUGAACAGCGGGUUUCAUGCAAAUUUUGUGGGAAGCCUCGUUAUAAAGAUACGAGUGGAAGAGUUCCAGUACCAUAUAAAAGGAUGUGGUAUUUGCCUUUGACGGAAAGGUUGCAGAGGCUGUAUCUGUCUGAACGCACAGCGCAACCAAUGAGAUGGCAUGCGGAGCACUCAACAGAUGGUGAGAUCAGACAUCCUUCAGAUGCAAAAGCGUGGAAGCAUUUCCAAUCAAAGUAUCCCGACUUUGCGUAUGAGAGAAGAAAUGUCUACCUUGGAUUAUGUACUGAUGGUUUCAGCCCGUUUGGCAAGAGUGGAAGACAGUAUUCUCUAUGGCCAGUCAUUCUUACACCAUACAACCUACCCCCAAACUUGUGCUUGCGACGAGAGUUUUUGUUUCUCUCGAUUCUCGUUCCCGGACCAGAGCAUCCUAAGAGAUCACUUGAUGUGUUUCUUCAGCCACUAAUAUAUGAGUUGCAACAACUAUGGACUCAAGGUGCUGAAACAUACGAUGUUUCGUAUAAAGAAAACUUUCAAAUGCGGGCAGUACUAAUGUGGACAAUAAGUGAUUUUCCAGCAUAUGGUAUGUUAUCUGGAUGGACAACGCAUGGAAGGCUAUCAUGUCCAUAUUUUCAAGAUAACACUGAUGCUUUCCAACUAAAACACGGAAGGAAAACGUGUUGGUUUGACUGUCACAGGAGAUUUCUACCACCAGAUCAUCCAUAUCGUAGAAGUAGGAAUUUGUUUACGAAGAACAAGAGGGUGUUUGACAGUCCACCUCCGGAAAUUCGUGGGAAAGAUUUGAAGACACAACUUAGAGAUUUUGGUGCAGAAAGGACGCCAGACGUCGGUGGACAUGAGCAUUUUCCGGUAGAUGGUGUUGGAAACCUACAUAACUGGCACAAAAAAAGUAUUUUUUGGGAUCUGCCAUACUGGGAGGAUCAUCUACUAAGGCAUAAUUUAGAUGUCAUGCAUAUCGAGAAGAACUUUUUUGACAAUCUCAUGAACACGAUCCUUAAUGUUCAAGGUAAAACAAAGGAUAAUUUGAAGUCAAGACUGGAUUUAGUCGAUAUAUGUGCUCGUUCAGAACUUCAUGUUGAUGAGAGUGGUAGGGCUCCUUUUCCCAUAUACCGACUUGAUGCAGCGGGAAAGGAUGCGUUCUUUGAUUGGAUUUCAAACGAUGUGGAAUUUCCAGACGGUUACGCAUCUAAUUUGCGUAACUGUAUCGACAGAAAGGAAGGAAAGUUUACUGGCUUGAAAAGCCAUGAUUGCCAUGUAAUGAUGCAGCGUCUCCUUCCGUUUGCCUUCAAGGAACUAUUACCACGAAAUGUUCAUGAAGCAAUUGCAGGGAUAAGUGGUUUCUUCCGCGAUUUAUGCACAAGAUCAGUGACUCUUGAAGGUAUUGAAAAUUUGAAGACUAACAUAGCUGUGAUUCAGUGCAACCUUGAGAAGAUAUUUCCUCCCUCAUUUUUUGAUGUUAUGGAGCAUCUUGUUAUUCACCUGGUAAGAGAAUUGGAACUUGGUGGUCCUGUGCAGUAUAGAUGGAUGUAUCUGUAUGAGCGGUAUAUGUUCCAUUUGAAGAAGAUGGUGAAAAAUUUAAGUAGGGUGGAAGGGUCUAUAGUCACACAGAUGAUCAAUGAAGAAACUUCAAACUUUGCCGAGUACUACUUUCCAGCAGAAGUUCAGACCAAAAACAGAAGACCUGCUCGGCAUGAUGAUAGAGGCGAACGGGCAACAUAUCAUUGGAAGGUUCCAGACAUUUUCACAGACGUUGGACGACUUAGCGGAAAACCAAAGGACCGUCGACUUACUGAUCAGGAGCGCAGUCAUUUGCAAACAUAUUUACUCACCAACUGCGAAGAUGUUCUUCAAUAUGAAAGGAUUUUCAUGGCAGAAAAGCGGUUAGAAUAUAGAUACGCCACAGAGGACGAACUAGAAGAAAUGAAGCAGAGAGAAUUUGGUGGAUGGAUGUUUACUUAUGUGAGUGAUGGUUUGGCCAGAGGUGAAACAUUUAACGAUUGGAUACGCGAGAUGGUCGUUGGACCAAACUUUGUUGUGAAGUCAUAUCCGAGAUUUUGUACUCGAGGAUAUGCAUUCACAACUCAGAAGAGGAGACGUUCGAGUACGACUUACGAUGCUGGUGUUUGUUCUGCAUCAGGAGAUGAUGUAUACUACGGACACAUAAAUGAGAUUUUGGAAAUCAAGUAUUUGGGCAUGGUUGGAUUGCGCUGUACUGUUUUCUAUUGUGACUGGCACGACAACACUCCAGAUCGAGGUGUGAGAACAGAUGCAUUUGGUGUUACAUCAGUAAAUUCAAGACGGAAGCUGCAAUAUUAUGAUCCUUUCAUUCUUGCUUCUCAGGCCGAUCAGGUUUGUUAUAUCAAGUACCCCCGGGUAAGGAACAGAGAUGAUCCAUGGGUUACUGUUACAAGACUCAACCCAAGAGGCCGAGUUCAGGGAAGUUCUGAGCUGGAAGACCCACUACAACCAAGCACAUCCGGCAACUUAAGUGCAGCAGAAGAUUUAGGUGGAGUUGGCCUUGUAGUCGAUUUAACUGACUUCGGAGAAGAAGCCGCCGUUCACGUAGAGGAUGAACCAGUGAUUGAAGAGUUUCACCAAGAUCCAGAUUCAGAUUCAUCUGGUGAUGACGACUCGGAAACAGACUAGCGUCGACCUUUUUUUUUUUUUUUUUUUUAAAGGAAAAUUCCGAGGAAAUUCCGAGGACAGAUAGGUUUUCCUCGGAAUUUCCUCGGAAUAGAUCUUCUCGAUUGAAAACCCCAAGUUCCUCGGAAUUCCCUCGGAAAAUUCCGAGGAAAUUCCGAGGAGAUGGGGAUUUGAUUAUAGAUUCUUUUUCCUCGGAAUCUCCUCGGUAUAUUCCGAGGAAAUGCUGACGAACAUAAGGAUUUCCUCGGAAUCUCCUCGGUAUAUUCCGAGGAAAUUCCGAGGAACUGGGGGUUUUAAAUCGAAAACAACGUUUUACGGAUUGAAUAACACGUAUAUAACCUUCAUUAAGUGUCAUAACCAGAUUAUGAUGUUUGGAACUAUGAACUUUGGUGUUUUAUCCAAUAACAAACACUUUUACGAUUGCAUGAACGAAAACCACACAACAUAAGAGAAACACUUAUACACUUUAAUAAAUGGUAAAGGGAAUACUUACAAUUAUUUUUGAAAUUGUGUUAUUUCAUGGUUUAUGAUCAUCUAUACAAAGAAUCCUCAAUGGUAUGCAUUAUAAUUGUAUAAGAAAUGAAAUACGGCGAAAAUAAUCGAUGUUUUAAAACCCCAAACCCUGGUUCCUCAGAAAUUCCUCGGAGAUUACCGAGGGUAUUCCGAGGAAUCGUUGUUCGUCGGAAUAUUUUCAUUUAACCGGGUAAACCAAGCCGCCAAAUAUUUUGGGAAAAUUGAAUCAAAGAAUUCCGAGGAAAUUCCGACGGAAAUAUUAAAUAUUUCCGAGGAAAUUCCGACGGAUAGUUUCCGUCGGACGCCUCAUAAUAUUAGGGCGAGCCCGAUCUUCUUCCCCAUUUCUCUCUUUCUCUCCGCGCCGCUGAGCCUCUCCUCUCGCGAUUUCCGGCGACUCCACCGUUCUCUCUCGCGUUUUUCCGGCGAAUCUCCCCUAAUCCUCCCCCAUAAUCAUGUAAGAACCCUAUCCCACUCUUUUAGGUUAGAUUUGUAUGGUUUUUAAGUAGAUUUGAUGAUUUUGGAAUGAGAUUUAUAGAUUUUGUUAGGGUGAAUGGUAGAUUUGUGUAAAAUCGAGUUUGAUUAUGUAUUUCACUUGAUUUGAAUUUUUUUUUUAGUUUUUAUUAAUUUUGUGGUUAUAAAAAUCGAAUUUGAAAUUAUAUAUAUAUAUUGAAAACGUUUUUUGUAUAUAAAAUCUAUUUUUUGCAUUUUAAAUUCAUUUAUAUAUUUAUUAAACAUUUUUAAAAUCUAUAAAACUUUUUUUAAGAUUAAAAAUCAUUUAUAUAAUAUUUAAAAACAUUUUUUUUGUAUUUUAUAUGUAAAAUAUAAAUUUCUAUAUUUAUUAAACAUUUUUAAUAUUAUGAAAACUAUUUUUGUAAUUAUUUAACAUUUUAAACAUUUUUAAAACUAUUUUUCGUAAUUAUUAUGUUUUUGGGAUUUAACAUUUUAAACAUUUUUAAAAUCUAUUAAAACUUUUUUUAUUUAAACUGUUUUUUUUAAUUAAAAUUAUUAGAACUAAUUUUUAAAUAUGUUUUUUUUUAAUUUACAGGUCUAAUGAUGAUCAGAUCCGGCCUCGCCAGCGUCGUAGCCGGGGUGGUAUGGGGAGCCAGUCUCGGGGUUCUUCCAGCCAUGUUCAGGAUUCCGUUUCGCCCCACAGCUCAUACCAUACAUCUCCCUCUCCAUUACUCGCUCAUGCUGCUCCCGCUCCCGCUGCUGCACCCGCUCCUGGUCCCGCUGCUGCACCCGGUCCUCUGGGAGUGAUGAGGGUUGCGGAGUUGGUUCGACAGCCCGGUCGUGACCAUCUUCCCUAUCUCACUGAGUAUCCACAUGGACAUGGUCAAACAUGGUAAUUUAAACUUUUAUUUUUUAAACUAUUUUUUAUUUAAACUAUUUUUUUAUUAAUAAUUUUUUUUUUAUUAGGUUCAACCGAUCCGGGAAUGGGAUCAGCGCAUGGAUCAACCGUAUGAUGUACUCGGCCCUCGACAGCGGACAUCCGACUUUCACUCACUUCCCUGUCGAGAAGCAACAUCUGUGGUUUCAGCAGUUUGCGGUAAGUAUUCUAAUUUUUAAAUUAUAUUUUUUAUAUUAUUAAAACUAUUUUUUGUAAUUAUUAAACUAUUUUCUAUAUUUAUUAGACAUUUUAAAUAUUAUUAAAACUUAUUUUUGUAAUUAUUAAACUAAUUUCUAUAUUUAUUAGACAUUUUAAAUAUUAUUAAAACUUAUUUUUGUAAUUAUUAAACUAAUUUCUAUAUUUAUUAGACAUUUUAAAUAUUAUUAAAACUUAUUUUUGUAAUUAUUAAACUAAUUUCUAUAUUUAUUAGACAUUUUAAAUAUUAUUAAAACUUAUUUUGGUAAUUAUUAAAUUAUUUUUUUAAUUAUUAAACUAUUUUUUAUUUAUUAAAACGACGAUUUUUGUAAUUAUUAAACUAUUAUAUUUUUGUGUUUAAAAACUAUUUUUAAACUAUUUCAGCAAGAAUUCAACUGGAAUGNNNNNNNNNNNNNNNNNNNNNNNNNNNNNNNNNNNNNNNNNNNNNNNNNNNNNNNNNAUGAUACGCUCUCUAUCUAUCACCAUUUUGUCCAUAAAGUUAUGGACAACUAUGGGAAGCAGAUGUACGAGUGGAAGAAGAAGUGGGAAGUAAACAAGGUAGUUUUUAAUUUAUUAACAAUUUUUAAUUUAUUACACUAUUUUUAAAAUUAUUAAACUUUUUUUUUUAAAAUUAAAAGGUCCCAAAGUCGAUGAACGACACGGUCUGGAAGGAGUUGUGUGCGCAUUGGGAUAAAGAAGAGACGAAAGAAACUUCUUCCACCAACUCCAACAACCGCAGAAGCGACCGUAAAGGAAAGGGCAUCUACAAGCAUAACUUGGGUGCUCAAUCUAUUGCCACUCUGGCGGAUCGCAUGGUAAGCUCAACCGCUUUUUCUUCAAUUAUUUAAGUUUCAGAAUUUUAUUUUUUUGCAUUUUCAAAUUUCUAAUGUUUGUCUAAUUUAUUUUUUUUCAAGGCGGAAGAAAAUGAAGGCCACCCAGUUGAUGAUCUCGCCCUUAUGAAAAGGGCGUAUACCAACAAGAAGACCGGCCAGAUUGAUGAUGGUCUUGUGAGGGACGUGGUCGACCUGGUCCAAACUCAGGUGUAUGACGAAGUGUCUCAGCUUCAAACCGAUGAUGACGAUUCGACGGCCUCGACCAACUUGUCUCGGGUUCGAAUCAACGAAAUCGUUGAAUCGGUAAGUUUUUUUCUUUUAAAAGUUCAAUUUAAUUAUUUCUUGAUUUUUAUUUUAUCAUCAAUUUAAAUUAUCUAAACUUGGUUAUUUAUAUUUCAGUCAGUUCCAAAGAAAAAGGGACGUUUGGUCGGUUUGGGUCGUCGCUCCCGGUCGGCUACUCCUUCUUCUGCACCACAUGCGUAUGUUGAUCCAGAAGUUCUUACGGCUCAGCUGAAGGACAAGGAUGAUCGGAUAUCUGCGUUGGAGACUCAGAUGGCAGCUCAACAGGCGGGCUAUGAGACCCAGAAGAGGCUGAACGAGCAGAUGAUGGAGAUGAUGAAGAGGAUGUACCCGAACGAGACGUUCCCGAACAUUCAAGACCCGUAGUUUUUUUUUUUUUCCAAAAACUCUGAAUGUUUUAUUUAAAUUUGAAUAUUAUCUACUAUGUUUUAUUUUAUGUUUUAUUCAAUUUUAAUUUUAAAUUUUAAAAAUUUUAAUUUUUAAAAAUAAAAUUAAUUUUUAAAAAAAAAAAAAAUUUUUAAAAAAAUAAAUUUUUUCAAAAUUCCGAGGGAAUGGAGUUCCUCGGAAAAUUCCGAGGAACUUUCUCCCCUCGGCAAAUUCCGACGAACUUUAAGUUCCUCGGAAUUUUCUGAGGGAAAAAGUUCCUCGGAAUUUUCCGAGAAACUCCACUCCCUCGGAAUUUUCCGAGGGAGAGGAGUUUCUCGGAAAAGUCCGAGGAACAAAUGUUCCUCGGUAUUUUCCGAUAAACAUUCCGAGGAAUAUUUCGUCGAAACUUCCGAGGAUUGGGCCAUCGGAAUUCCCUCGGUAUUUUCCGAGGAACCUUCCGACGAACUUCGUGUCCUCGGAGUAUCCUCGGAAUUUUGUUUCCUCGGAAUUCCGUCGGAAAAUUCCGACGGAAUUCCGAGGAAUUAUGAAUUUCCGAGGAGUUAUUUCCGAGGAAUUUUUUCGUCGGUAUGUCCUCGGAAUAGCGUUAUUCCGACGACAUACCGACGAUUUUUUCCCUCAGUAUCCCGAUGUUUUCUUGUAGUGAUAGAUACGCAGACCUAACAUUUAAUAUGUAUUACUAGACAUGCUACAAGCGAAGUUUAGGACGUAAAUCUCGUUUUACCCAUUUCACAUUAGUAGUUUUCUGUAGCAAUACAUCUUUUCUGUUAAUAAAAAAUUAAUUUUUCCCAAUUAUAUUCAACAAACAUGCAAAGAAAAAAAAGAGUAAAGUCCUUACAUAUGAGGACAAACGAAAAUUAUUGUCCACUACCAAGAACAAUAAUGGAUGAAUAAGACGAUGAGUAAGGUAAUUUAUUAAAAGACGAGAUUAUAGAAAUUGGCGCGGAUUUUGUUUUCGGAUUUGCCAUAAUUGCUAAUUGUAGACAAUGAUACACAUCGCAUCAUUAUGUUUUUAACUUUCUUUCGGUGCAAUUUUACCCUAUUAUUUACGCGAUUGGUAAAUUAUAUGCUCACGAGUUAAUAUACUCAAUUCAUUCGUCUGCUAUGAAAAGGGUUAUGAGAAGAACAAAAAUCGGUAAAAGGUAUUUGUAGUCUGAUUAAAGUGCUACUUAACUACCAUUCAUUGCACUUUAAAACACGGACAUGUUAAAAAGUAUUUGUAGUUUGAUUAAAAUUUUACUUAACUACGAUUCAUCGAGUUUAACUUAAGGGUUGCUAAGAUCUUACGCUCUUUAAGUGGCCACACUCAUGAAAGUUCUUGUUUAAUUAUGCUAAACCUAACCGAAACUUGACAUAAUUAUGAGUAACUUAAUUACAUAAAUACAAAAUACUAAAUGGUUUCGUGGUUUCGUACGAGUCAGCGAGCAUUUCAGCCGUUUCCUACCCUAUGGAAUACAGAAAUAUUUUCAACACCUAAGUUUGAUUUUUCGAUUAGGCCAGCAACUUUCGGUCACCCUGCUUUCAUCAUCCACCGAACAAAAAAUAAUAAUAUAAUUUUAUGUAUUUUAAAUUCAACUAGAUUCUGACCCGCCCUUCUGAAGGGCGGGUAUACUUUUUUUUUAAUUUUUUAAGAAAUUUAAUUUUGGUAUUUAUGUUUUUUUGUAAAACCGUUAGAAAAAAUAUUUAUGUUUUUUUGUAAUCAUAAUUUAAUUUAAUUUAAUUUUUGAUAACUAUAUUAAAUAUAUCAAGUUCCAUAAUUAUACACUUAUGUCAUAUACAUUUUAGAAAUUAUUUUUUAAUUUUAUUCCAAAAAUUUGCAAAAUAUUAUAUUUUCUUAAUAGUUACCUAUCAUAAUUAGUUAAGAAUAUUCAUAUAAAAAGAACCGAUUCGAAAUCAUCCCGGAAAUUAAAGUCUCAUAAUCUAAUAGCAUAUAUACUCAAACAGUUUUUAAAAUAUUAUAUCCGAAAACCAAUAUCAAACCCAACCUACACCGAAAACGGAAAAAUGUUUGAAAAAUUAAUUUUUUAUAUAUUUUGUUACAAAAAAAUAUAUGUAUAUAUAUAUGUAUAUCUUGAUGCAAAAGUCAAUGAACCAUUGUGGUAUAGUGGUAAAAGACACGGCUAUUAUCAAAGAUUAUAUGGGUUCGCAGCAUGAUCUGUUUUUUUAGAUUUUUAUUUCUUUUUUUCUCGCUAAUGGCAAAUAUGUAAAUACUUUAUCUUCUCCAUUUAUCAAGGCUUCUAUCUUUCUGCAAUUUUUUUCCACCGCCGCAAACAUAAUCGAUCUAAUUUUUUGAUGUUUCCUUUUCAUUUAUGCAUCAAAAUUGAAGAUUUGUUAAUUAUCAUCCAGUUUUAAACAUCUUAACACACAAAAACUUGAAUGAUUUUGAUAAACUUGAUUUCACUGCCUAGCACUCAAUGUUUUUGAACGAUAUAUGUAAAUAGGUUAAUCAAUAAUCCAACUAUUGCAGUUGAAGAGAAGCACAAUUUCUUGCCAAUAGGAAACUUAGACUCAUAGUUUACAAAUAACUGCAUGAAUAAUUUCUGAGAACAUGACUGUUUUUUUUUGCUGAAUUUCUGCAACUCUAUUAAAUCAUGAAAAAUUGAUUGUUAGACUUUUGCAGGAAGAAGCAUAACUGGUUUCGUUAUAGAACUUUAUAUAAAGAGAACGUGGUUAGUUUUUAAGUUAAAGUAAAUACAGUUAUAGAAUAUUUUUAAGUUAAUGUAAAUACAGUUAUCAAUAGAUGUAAUAUUGAUAUUAAAAAUAAUUGUUGGACUAAACUAAUAUUAACUGGACAUGUUCCAGCUUUAAUAGUAUUGAUGUAGGAGUAAUAGAGUACAUAUGAUCAUUCAAUUAAAUUAUCCAUGCAAAAAUAAAUCAAUGGAGCAAGGGAGAGAUAUGGUAAACCAGUUAAAAAUACAGGAAAGAAAAAGAGCAAUGAACCACACUUAUAAGUGGAGAAAAAAACUUGACAAAGUUGUGCGUACUAUAGACAACUUUAAUUCUCUUCACAACACUAAAAAUUAUAAACAAUCAAAUUUUGGUUAAUUUUCUAGAGCACGCUUUUCAAUGCUUUGGAAAAUGUUUUUUCUCCUUUCUAUAAAACAUGUACGCCUCAUUUCCUCUGUAGCAAUAUAUUUCACUAAUAUAAAUAUACAAAUAUAUAUAUCUUACAUAUAUAAUCCACCAAAAUGUUACAAAUAUUAUUAAAACCAAAUCGCAUCACUCAAACCUUAUUUGUCAUUUUGAACUUAUGUAAUGGAACAACCGUACGUGAUAUUAGUAUAAAAAAAAACAACCGUACGUGAUCGUGAUCAGCAAUAAUUAACAAAUAAACAGAAGGAUCAAACUUUUUUUUUUGAAUUAUACGUAAAAUUUAUUCAGAAAGGAUCAAACAUAAUAUCGUAAGUAUUAUGUUAUCAUUCGUUAAAAAUAUAUUAAAAAAAUUAUUUACCAAAUGCCAAUGAUCUUUACAUGCUCACUGUCAAUGUUCUCAUAUGAAGUUUUUAAUAUAAUAUUUACAUUUAUAACUUAUAAAAUUAAAAAAUAUAUAUAAUUUAUCUAUUUAUUUUAUUUAAUAAUAUCAUAAAAUUAUUUUUAUAUCAAGAAAAAAAUUAUUNNNNNNNNNNNNNNNNNNNNNNNNNNNNNNNNNNNNNNNNNNNNNNNNNNNNNNNNNNNNNNNNNNNNNNNNNNNNNNNNNNNNNNNNNNNNNNNNNNNNAAAAUAGUUUAAUAAUAAAAAAAAAUAGUUUUAAAAAUAUUUAACAUGUUUAAUAAAUAUAGAAAAUAGUUUAAUAAUCACAAAAAAUAGUUUUAAUAAAUAAAAAAUAUAAGUAAAAAUUUUGUAUACUUACCGCAAACUGACGAAACCACAGAUGCUGCUUCUCGAGAGAGAAGUGAGUGAAAGUCGGAUGUCAUACGGUUGAUCCAUGCGCUGAUCCCGUUCCCGGAUCGGUUGAACCUAAUAAAAAGAACAAAUUAUUAAUAAUCAAUCAAAUUUUAAGGAAAAAAAAUAAAAGUUUAAUUACCAUGUUUGACCAUGUCCAUGUGGAUACUCAGUGAGAUAGGGAAGAUGGUCACGACCGGGCUGUCGAACCAACUCCGCAACACUCAUCACUCUCGGAGGACCCGUAGGAGCAGGAGCGGGUGUAGCAGCGGGAGCGGGAGCAGCAGGAGCGGGUAAUGGAGAGGGAGAUGUAUGGUAGGAGCUGUGGGGCGAAACGGAAUCCUGAACAUGGCUGGACGAACCCCGAGACUGGCUCUCCAUACCACCCCGGCUACGACGCUGGCGAGGCCGGAUCUGAUCAUCAUUAGACCUAUAAAUUAAAAAAAAAUAGUUUUAAUUAAAAAUAGUUUUUAAUCACAAAAAUAUAAAUAGUUUAAUAAUUAACAAAAAAAGUUUUAAUAAAUAAAAAAUAGUUUAAAAAUUAAAAAAAUAGUUUUAAUAAACCCCAAAAACAGUUUAAUAAUUAUAAAAAAUAGUUUUAAAAAUAUUAAAAAUGUUUAAUAAUUACAAAAAAUAGUUUUAAUAAUAUUAAAAAUGUUUAAUAAAUAUAGAAAUUUAUAUUAUAUAUAUAUUAUUUUUUUACAAUCCCAAAUAAUAGUUUUUAAUCACAAAAAAGUUUUAUAGAUAUUAAAAAUGUUUAAUAAAUAUAUAAAUGAUUUUAUAAUGGAAAAAAUAGAUUUUAUAUACAAAAAAGUUUUCAUAUUAUAUAUACAUAAUUUUCAAUUACGUCAAUGGAAACCUUUAUCUCUUUAUUUAUUUAUUUAUUUGUUUAUUUAUUUAUUUAUUUAUUUAUUCUGUGUAUUGAAGCUUUAAUUGCAAAUAUUAAGAAAGCGAAGAGAGGGAAACAACUAACGAGAAUGAACGUAGUUAGAGGAUGGCUCAUUGAUUCUACUUCGCGAACUUGGAACUCGCAAGCACUCCGGAAUUUGGUGGACCCACAAGAUGUGAAAAUUAUAGAAAACAUACCAAUGAGCAGAACCCAGAUGGUAGAUAGAGAUGGAUGGUAUUUCACAAACAAUGAGAAAUAUAUGGUCAAAUCAUGAUAUCAGGUAGAACGGGUUUACCCACUGGAAAAAACUACCAAUAAUGUUUGGACCUACAGUUGAUGCAUUGAAGGUGUUAUGUUGGAAAAUACGGUGUCCACCAAAGAUAAAAUAUUUUAUAUGGUAAUUGGUGACGGGUGUAUAGCAGUCAAGAAGAAUCUGCAAGCGCAUGGGAUACAUGGGGAUAUAUAUUGUGCAAGAUGCGCAGCAGAUGAUGAAUCGAUAAACCAUGUGUUUUUUGAAUGUCUUCUAGCACUUCAGGUUUGGGAUCUCUUAAAGAUACCAUCAAAUCCAACUACUUUCCCAAUAAGCUCUCUCUUCACAAAUAUGGAUCAUCUAUUCUGAAGAGUUUUUCCGCAGAUAGAUGAUCAUCAAUUUGCAUGGAUAUUAUGGUACAUAUGGAAAUGAAGGAAUAAUAAAGUUUCUACUAAUCUCGAUAUUGACCCUCGUGACACACUUAAAUUAGCAGAAACAAAAUCAAUACUUUAGGCUGAGGCACAAAUAUUUAAUGAACAUAGGAGAGUACCACAUAGAGAUUACGACUCUACCGUCAAUUCCAAGAAGAUGGUGUUUCACAGAUGGUUCCUGGAAAGAGAACGAUACUUUUUCCGGACAUGGUUGGCUUAAUACUUUAGAAGGAUUUGAUGGGUUGAUGGGGGUGAGGAAUGUUUAGGCUAGUCUCUCUCCUCUACAUAUGAAGAUGUAAGCGUUACUCUGGGUAAUGGAAUGUAUGAGAAACUUACGUCAAUUUGAAGUUACGUUUUUAACGGAUUGUUCUCAGUUGGUGAAGAUUGUUUCAAAACCAGAAAAAUGACCAGUUUGCAACUUCUUUGGAAGAUAUUAAAGUCCUGAAAGAAAGAUUUUUUGAUUAGAGAUUAUCUAUGUACCAAUGACACAAAAUACGAAGGCGGAAGCCUAGCAUGCAGUGUCAGAAAACAACCAUUUUUUGUCAUUCACAUAGAUCAAGAUCUUCCGAUUUGGUUCACAGUAUCAGUAUGAAUCUGUAUAAGUUGAUGACAAAAAAAAAAGGAUUGAUUCAUAGAUUUGAAAAGUUACUUAUACAAUGGAUCAUAAAUCAUUUUGUACAUUAUAUGUUUUUCUUUUGGAAUUCUUUAUCAAUUUAUAUCUUUUCUAUACAUUUUAAUUUGUUUUUGGUCGUCGCUUUUUCGUCUAUUUUACAUUUUUACUAAAACUAUUUAGAGCAAGACAAGUAGAACUGAUACAAAAUCACAUUUCUAAUAAAGCAACGAUUUAAAUCUAUUAAAUUUGUUGUUCAGAAUCAAUAUAGAGAUCAAUAUUCAAAAGUUCAUUUUGGAUUAGAAAUAAAAGCAGAAAGUAUGUGAUAUUUUGUGAACGUGAAUGACUCUUAACAAAAAUUCUUGUCAAAUGUGAGGAUUCUAUUGUUUGACAAGAACUUUCCAUAUUAGAAUCAUUCAAGCUUACUAAAAUGCCACAAAUAUUUCCUUUCCUUCGAGCCUAAAAGUAGUUUUAGUAAAAAUAUAAAAUACAUUAAUGAGCGACGACCAUACUAUAGUCGGUUAAACUCGGUCGUCGGACGUUAAUUCAAACAAGAAAUAAAUUAAUUAAAAUGUAUAUAAAUAUAGAGUUGAGAAAACUUUUUGAAAAAAUAUAUUUAAAGUUAUAAAAAAUAUUUUGUUAUAAGGAACGAAGGGAUUAAGGUAAAUUCCAUUUGCGAUUAAAUCCUAUCAGAUUUGUAAAUCAAUCCAUUCCAUCUCAUCAAAUUAACUAGAAAGUUUUUGUUAAUAUAUAUAUAAGGGAUAAAGGGUGCAAGUUCUGAUUUUUUCUUCAGUCUUCUCAUGUUAAUUCCAUGGCUGGUCUUAAAGAAGUUUACCGUUUUUUCUAUAUUUAACGUCUUUAUUUCGAAUUAUUUUGUCAUGUAGUAAUAAUGAAUUGUCGAUAAUCACAUUUCUCAUGCCUUAUUGUUGCUCUCUAAUUACGUGCGUAUAUAUGCAUGUAACGCACAUAUAUUUCUCUCUGUGUAUAUAUAAUUACACCAAAGCAACACACGAUCUCAACAAGAUUAGUGGAUCGAUUACUUUCAGAUCUGAGAAACUUAAGACUUAAACUUGUGGAUCAAUUUGCAUAAUCAUCUCUGUAAGUGUAUGAACACACAUCGUCCAUGCCCAUUUUCAUGUGUUUACGCUUGUGCUUUUCUAAAUUGUAAAUUCAUAUGAAUAUUUUUCUAACAAUUAAUGUAUUUUAUUGAUUUGUUUUUUUUUCUUCAAACUUUCUAUAGAAAAAGAAUGGAGCAGGAAUUGGAUUUAACACUGAGGUUGGGUCUGCCAAGUCCUGCUAUUGAGACACAUCUGAGCUUAGACACUCCUCCCACCACUAAUCAGGUUUUAUUUCAUAAAUAACUCCUUUUCUCUCACCAUUAUUGAUUGAUAUGGGCAUAUGCAUAAAUAUGAAUUAAUUGUAGAGAUCCAUUGACACCAAACAAUCACCAUCUCUUUUGUGAUUAACUUCAUAACAAUUGUGGAAAAAUGCAUGACUGAUUUUUUUUCAUGUUUAUCUUUCUCAAAAGUUUUUUAGUCCAAAUUAAUUGAACUAAUAAUAUUAAAUUAAUUAAUCUCUGCUUAAGAAACGGUAACACCACAAAAAAAACAAAAAUCCUUAUCAUCAUCAUCUUUCUUACAGCUAAUUAAUUGCCAUUGAACUAAUAAUAAAUUAAUUACUUACCUUUAUAACGGCGCUGCAUAUUGACAGUUAUUACAUACAAUUAAAUGCUAAUUAAUUAAAAUUUAAAUUAAAACAAAACAGGGGAUCAACGUCGACGAUGGCCGCCGAGACAACAACGCCGGUGGUGAGAAUCACGAACGUCACACCGACGUCAAUAUGAGAUAUUACAAUUUAGUCUUCAACCACUUCGCCGGCAUCCGCGAGACCUUGAACUUCACUCCUUUUCCGAUACAACCGCCUCCCUAUUCUUCUCCGGCGCCGACGCCGGCGACUCCUACGAGGAGUGAUUAUGUUCUGAUCGAUGUCCCUGCUAGGAGAGCAGUUCGUAGCGCUUUGGCGACUGGAAACGCUCUGAACGCAAACGCAAACGCAAACGCGAAACAGCGUCGCGGCUGCGGCGGCUGUAGCGGUGGAAGGAUUGGGUGGAUGAGGAAAUGUACGAACUUGAAUUGCAACGCGAUUGACACUCCUAUGUGGCGGAGGGGUCCUCUUGGUCCCAAGGUAAGUUCAUUAAUUAGUAUCAGUAAUUAAUUACUCUGCUCAAACUUAAACUAAAUGGAUGUUGAUUGGUAAACGUGUGUUCAGACUUUAUGCAAUGCUUGUGGGAUAAAGUUCAGGAAGGAGGAAGAGAGGAGGUCCAAGAGGAGUUAAUUGGUGAUUUGGUGUUGUAUUUGUAUUUGAUUAAAAAUUAAAAAGAGAGAGAGAAGAUGAUUGUUCAUUAGGAAUGUCUAUGUCUCUGGUUAAGCUUUGUGAGAGGAAAGCUAAACUUUGGAGCUUUAAGAAAAUUCUAUUGAAAUAUCGUUAUUUUAAAAGAGAAAUUGCACUCUAUACACAAAACUUUGCAGCUUUUUAUCCUUUUCUUUUUUUUUUCUUCAAGCAGCUUUUUUUAUCAUACCACAAAAAUAUCAUUUGAAAAAUAACAGAAUUUUCAUAAAAUAUGAAUGCUAUAUAACAUAUCGAAAGUAUUCGCACACAAAUUUACACAAAAUAUCAUUGGGUUCAUCUUCUUUACCAGGUUUCAUUUUUAUAAUAUAUUACUUGUACAUAAAGAUAAAUUCAUUAUUGGUCAUAAGUCAUUUUUUCCAACGGUCAUAAAUCAUUUUUAAAUUUGGUAUAUAUGUUUUGUCCAUAUAUGUUUUGUCCAAAAAGAAUUGGGUUUACAUAUCAACUUAAAUUUGGUAUACUAAAUAAGAAAAUCAUGUUACUUUUUUUAUACAAAGAAAUUCAAAAUUACUUUCUACAGAUACAUGAUAUUGCAGUGAUUUUCCUUUUCUUCUCACUUCUAAAAUGAAAGUUCAAUUGGGUUUGGACGGUUAAUAUUACAAUGAUAAGAUUUACAUCAUAAAUUUUGGUAGAUAAAAGUACAAAGUCCAAGUUUAAAGAAAUGCCCCUUUUUAGUAAAAGUACAAAGUCAUACUCAUAUUAUCUACCAAGAAAUGCCCCUUUUUAGUAAAAGUACAAAGUCAUACAUUUAUUAUACAUAACCUGAUUUUUUUAAUAAUAUUUUUAUUUGACUACAUUUUUUUUUCUAUAUACAUUACCCGAAAUUAUUUUUUUGGGCAAAAAAUAAUUAAAUUCGGGUUAUAUAUAUAGAAAUAAAUUUAUUCAAAUAAAAAUAUAGUAUUAUAAGUUAUAACUGUGAAAUGAAUAUGAGUAUGACUUUUGACCAAAAAAAAGAGUAUGACUUUGUAUUUUUUACUAAAAAGGGGCAUUUUUCUUUAAACCAAUGCAGUGUAAUUGUUUUUUUUUGUUUGCGUUCGAGUUGUUGCAGCUGCAUAUACUAAUGAUAAUUAGCUAGUUCCGACGGACGACAUCUAGUUGUACAUAGUAUUUGCAAAACCAGUUACAUUGGUAUUGAGAGAAAAUUGGGUUUUUUAUUUGGCGAAUUCUUCAGUUAGAAUAUGAUAAUGAAUUAAGAAACUUAAUAGAAAAAUAGUCUUAAAAAAAAUUCCAAAGUAAAAAAUCUUCUAAUCUUUUCGAACAAUAUUAAUGCUAGUCAAUUUAGUGUGUUUGUUACGGACCAAGCGAGAAGAUGAAGGAAUCCAAAUCGAUUUUUCUGGAUAUUAAUGAGCGUGGACUCAGAUGGUUUAUAUUCAAUAGUAAGAAAAUUGAGUGUAACUAUGAUGAUGAUGUCAUAUAAAUAUAUAUAGCAGAGCAUUGGUUAAAUCAGUUUUGAUAACCUUGUUUUGUUUGGACUCGGAUGGUUUAUGCCCACGCUCGAUCGCUGGUCAACAAGAGAUAACAAAGGAUUGACUAAAACAAUAAACAAAACAAAGAGAGUAACUAAGAGAAAUUACAAAUCAUAUGUAAUAUACAAAUUUAUGUUCAUCCCCAAGUAUGGGGUGUGUAAAUGUAAAAGAAGCUGAUGAUGAGGGAGACUCAUCAGCCCAUAACCGACAUAGACAGUAACAGUCUUACAGACUCAUAACAAGUGAGGAGACAUAGUGACAACCAAGAAAAAUAUUACAUGGUAGAUGUAAGAACACGAAAGACAAAAAAUAAACAGAAGAUUAAAAUUUACUAUCAAGACUUAGAACCAUAUGGAUACAUCUUGCUGCUUCUGCUGCACACCAUCCAUCGUUCCUACUACUCCUGCCAUUGACAUAUCAUCUCUGUAAUCGAAUGAGGCCAUGUCAAACGGUGGAGCAUCAUACACAAGCUGAAACCUGUUGCUGCUACCGUUAUUAAGCGCAGCUUCAAAGCUGUUGCUGUUGCUCCCUUGGAAAAACGUUUGGUUACUGUUAUUAGCUCUGUUUGGGAUGUUCAAGUCUUCAAAGAAACUACUUUCCACCACGUUUCCUUGGAACUGGAGAUGCUCUUGAUGAUUCUGGACCGUUGGUUGAAGCAGUGACACGCUCUGAUUCUCCAUAACCAUAGAAGUUUGGUUGCUAUGAACGUUUCUGUCGUACAUGGACAUGAGCUCGGAGAUCAUCUUCUGUCCAUCUUCAGGAACUCCAAUACCAGUUAAGUCAAUUGGUUGAGCCACUGAGUUCACUGGUUGCCUUGGCUGAGAAUAUCCAACUACAGGCUUAACUUCACUGACAUGGAACCUGGACUGUAAGCAACUGUCUCGGUGUGGACAAACCAACUGAUGGUUGUCUCUCGAGUUCCUAUCCAGAAACCCCCUGCUGAUGUCGCCAUGGACACAACCAGGAUUCUCACAGGUGAAAGCUGCUCUGUCCACCAUUAUAGUGUUCAAAUCUCUGCUUGGCUUCCUCUUCCUAAAGAACUCUGAUGGAACCUCUUCCUUUACAGGCUUGAGCUCUUCCACUUCGUAAGGACUCUCCUUCUCAACACCUUCAACAUCAUACUGACUACAAUCAUUCAUCAAAAGGGAGCAACUCCCACCUGAUAAAGAAGGAGGACACGACUCGGGAUAAAGCUCCCGAGCCAAGGACUCUUCCUGGUUAACAAUAGCAAGCCAAGUAGCACUCUCCUUCGCCGUCAUCUUAUCCUGCAAACACUUAGACUGCCUCACUAGCUUCCUUAUCUUCGCAACAUCAGGAAACAUAUGCUUGAUAACCGCAGUCAAAACACCCACUUUCCACGCCUUCUUCAAAUCAUGAGGCUUCUUAUAAGGAGCAGGACCUUGACCCUUAGGCAAACCGAGCUGACACCACCACUCUUCUUCACCAUUAGGCCACCACGGAGGAGGCACGCCUUUCUCCAAAGGAAACCGUCUCUGAGGAGGAUCACAAUGCUGCAUCAAAGCCGACAAAAGAGACCCAAGAGUCGUGUCCUGAAGCUCUUGCAAAGUAUGUGGAGUAGAUCCAAUCAAACCACUACCUUCACAAACCCCAUGGACACUGUUCUCAGCUUGGUACUUACUUAUAGCAGCAGGACCGUUACGAUCAAACCUAACUUUAUCUUUCCACCACUCACGGAGAUUAUCAGAUGCCCCGGUCACAGGCUUCCCGUUCUCGGGGAUGAUCCCGUAGACAAAGCCUUGAGCUUUGCAGACUUCCAUCAUCUUCAACAUGUACUUCAAGAUCCCGUCUUGAGCUCUAGACAUCUUCUUCCUCCUGGCUUGCUCCUGAGAGGACUGUCUCUGCUUAGCAGCGUCAACGCCUCCUUCUCUGCUCUUGUCUUUAUGCUCCUUGAGACGCUUGAGGCGCAUCUUGUCUCUCCACAUCCUCCUCUCCAGCUCAUCAACAUCGAUCUCUUCAUCAGUGUAGUCGUCUUCAGUAACAGGUUCAGGUUGUGGAGGAGGACAGAAGUCAAGUUCUCCGAAGAAGUCCAUGUUCCCGCCUAACAAACCCAUCUCGUUAAACAUCAUCGUGAUGGCUCUUAAGACCAGAACCGAUUAAAACCUGUAAUAACGAGAAUCAAUCAAACCCAAAAAUAGAAAGUAUUCAUUUUCUGAAGAGGGUAUAAUCGGAAAUUAAAAAAGAUUGAAACUUUCUAUUGUAGAUCUACCAAAACCCCCCACCUGUGAAAGAAUCUAUCUAUGAUCUUCAUCUUUAGUAACAAUAAUGAAUUGGAGAAGAGAGAGAGAGAGAGGAGUUACCUGGAGAUUUAAACAAGCAGUUCAACAGAAAUGAUUUUAAAAAAAAAAGUAUCUGCCUUUAUCCUCUCUUGGUUCAAGUUAGGGACGAGAGAGAUGAAGGAGGAAAGAUCACGUGGGGGGGAGAAAGCGACUUUGUUGUUAUAAUUGCGUUUUUCUCUCAGUGGAGUUUCUCUGUAGAUCAUGGAGAUAGAGACAGAGUAGAAUAUAUAUAUAUAUAUAAUUUUAUUUCUUUACAAGAGAGCAUUUAUUUUUUAUUAUUAAAUAAUUUCCGAAAUAAAUAACUUAAGCGUCUCUUCUUGGCACUAGUCACUGCCCCUCAUCUGGGGUUUUACUUUUGUAUUCUUCUCUGUUCAUUUUUAUAUUACGCGGUAUGAAUUUAAUUCUUUUUAACACGUAGUAGUAUUAAUUGUCGCGAAACUAUAAUACUCCUACGUUUCUUUUUCUCUCUUUUUAAUUAUUCUUUAAAUAGAUAUAUUCAUUAUCUAUACCUCACUACAAGCUGGUGGAAUAAAUAAAACGCACGCAUUUUGUAAUACUUGCGUCAUCGACAACUAUUAUCGAUUAGGACAAAUAGUAAUCUCAAGAGGUGUGUAAUAAAACAUUUUAAAUAAGUUUUUCCAGUUCUCGAUUAACUAUUAUCACGUUCUCCAACACGUUUGUUAGAGACGAACCAAACAGCAGUGUUCAAUUUAAUAUGCUUUCUUUUCGAGUGGUUUUUAAUAAUCCCAAAAUAUCCACACAGAAGAAAGAGUUUCUGAAGAGUAACAGUAGAAAUAACAACGAGUAAUAGAAAUUCAAGGUUACCUUGACCGCACUAGCUAUCUCACUGAUGUCAUCUCCUAUGUAUUCUUUCCAUGUCCCUUUGACAGUUUUUUUUUGUACUCACUAUGCUCAUAAAUGAUAUGCUUUUAGAUAUUAUGGAGAGUUGUAGGAUUCAAAGGGAAAUGUUCAACUUGAGCGUGGAGUCCAAGACGGUGGACAUGGACAUCGUUACAUUGUUUGUAUAGUACUUGACAAAAUUUAAUAUCCAUAUAUCCCUUGAAACUUAACUCAAAUGGCUGUGAUCAUCUGAGUCUUUUUAGGCCACGGUUUACAGGGAAGCAUCUUUCACCCGUUCAGCGGAGGGACUGAAGAGGUAGAAGCGUUCCACAGUGACAUUUCAUGUAAUCGUAGAACCUAAGCCUUGGAAAUGGAAUACAGGAACUCAAUAACAUUAAUGUUGUAUUAUCUAAACUCUCCCUGAUGCAAGAAUUCUAUUGUAUGGAGUAAUGGAUCGUUCUCAUAAUCUGACUCUCUUUUUCAAUUAGUAAUAAUUCUAAAUUGCCAGAAUAUGAUGUUUGGUUACUUGGGUUUUAAGUGUAACUUUUUUGUUUGGAAACACUCAGGAAUAUAAAGAGGAAGCAAAAACGAUGAUGAAACUAGUUGUCAAAAAGAAACACUGACCACAACUUAUUUGAUGAAACCAUUUUGUGUAUUAAAGACAUUAAUCGAAAGCAAUGAAGUUAUUGAUCAAAUCCGUAAAAUUUAAUUAACACCACUUAUAUAGGAUACUGUUAUUAUUAUAAUACUCAUAACAUAUUAGUGUAAUAACUUACACAAUGAGAUUAUACAUCAAAAUGGGUUGUUAGACAAAAUUAUUUUGCAUAGAUUCUAAGGAACAAAUCAGAACAAAAAAGACUUUUUGUUACAUAUCUCUUAGAAACCCUCCUCAAUGAAUCUCUUUACUGCAAUAGAAGAGCCAAGAAGGCGGAGAGUGAUGCAGCAACGAUAGAGCCAACCACCGGAAAAGCCACGGUGGCUGAAGAAGUACCUGGUGCUGGUGCUGGAGACUCCAUGGUAGCCGCCGUGGCUGAGCUCACUAACACAGCCGAGACAAAGAGAGCGACAAAGAAGUUGUUGACAUUCCUCAUUUCUAUUAUUAUUAUUAUUAUUAUUUAUUUAUUUAUUUUGGAUGAUGGUUUUGUGUGUGUGUUUUAUCUGAUGCCUUGAAGGUGAAGGUAAAGAAGGUAUUUAUAUUAUGACAAAAUGCGGAAGGGGAAAUAAAGAGAGUUUCAAGGUCUGCCAUUAAUUAGAAAGACAGGAUUCUCUAGUUUUUAUUGCUAAUUUAAGAAAGAAUAAAUUGCAAAAAUAAACUAGUGCGAUAAUUGUUCUUGGAUUGUUUGAAUGAGUCCAAUAAAAAAGAGAGAGAUAAAUAAGUCCUCUGAAUUAAAAACGAGAAUACUCAUUUGCUUACAGUUUGUACGGUAUUAACAUAGGGAAAACGGCUUAUUCAUGUCUGCACUAUGAAGCCAGAGAAAAUACAUACCUAAACAAUAUUAACAUGUCAAAACAUUUUUAAACUAAAUAAGAUUUUGAAUUGCAUACCUAAACUCAUAAUAAAUAGCUAAAACAUGUUUCGUUACUGAAACUCAUAAUAUUUCCGUUACCAUAUCCCCUGGAGAUCAGACAUUCUUGUCGCCAUUCUUCUAACUUAAACACAACUUUUUGUAACUUGUCCUCUCUUUUCAAUUAAGCUAGGGUUUUAGAAUCUCUUUGAUAUAUAGUCUACAUAUUUUCUUUUGCUUUUCCUUUCGAAUAAAAAGAGAUUAUAGCUUUUGAAUUUAAAAAUAAAAACUCAUUUGUUUAUAUUUCACUGUCUUUACAGACGUGUAUAAACUAGAGAGAAUAAUUAAAUGGCAAAAAAUAAACUACAGAGACAAUUGUUCUUGGACAGUUGCGAAUGAGUCUCCAAAAAAAAGAGAUUAGUCCUUUCAAUUAAAAAUGAAAACUCAUUUGUAUUUACAGAUGAUUCACAGAUAAAACAGACUACUCCAGGGACUUGAGACAGUUGUUGCACACAUGACAUAAUUACUUAGAAAACUCAUUGUCUCAGGCAAACUCAGCACAAGAAAGUAAAGAAUGCAAAAGGAGAGACAAACACAGCACCAAUCAUAAACUAGGGCAGAGAGAAACAAAAAGGAUGCAAGUACAAAUUAUGAGAAAUACUACCUCUACAACUAUAACAUCCGAUAACUCUACAUACAUUAUGAGAAAACCAUGUCUUACGAUUUGACUUCCAUCAUGAAAAUCUUGUUUUUCAUUAAUCAUAAAUUAUAUUUUCGGGAUUCGAUCUCCUGGAAUUCUAACUCCAAAAAGCAAUGAAACUUUAGUCAAACUACUAGACUAAAGAGUUUAUGAGUGAUAAAUAGUAAAACACAAAGGUUUAAUAGUUGACUAUCAGUAUUAUUGUUUAAAUGGAGAUGACACAAUAAAAGGAACAAGCAUUGCAAAUGGAACUAUCUACUUAAUCUAGUAAUCUCUCUCUUUCCUUUUGCCUCAUCGAUUGAUUUGUAGUUGCACCAAACUUGGAGCAUAAGAAGAGAAGACAAGUUUGUUUCCAGGUUCCCUAUCUUUUCUCAUCUCCACAGAUUCGAUGCAUCCUUGUUCUCUAAUGAUAUAAGCUCUCUUGUAAAUAUGUCUAAACAACUUAAAGAAUCCGGAAACAAGAGCCAGUUUCUUCUCCUCAUCAAUGAAGAAACUCUCAGUCACAAAGCUUUGCGGUGUCAUCUCCACUCUCAAGAACCUGGUCCAAGAUGCAGCAUUGUGCUCAAUCUUGCUCGUAAUCCAAAACUCCAUUACAUUAUUGUCUUCGGGUUGAUGUAAUACAGCGAGCUGCUCAUCUCUAACACGAGAAAGAACCACGGCUUUUAUAAACCUAACACCAGCACCAAACGGCAGAAUAAGAUGCUGUCCAAACCUCUCUGCUGUAAAAUCGAAACAUAGUAAGAUAUAUUGACUCUCAACAACAAACCCUUCCAAGCAAGUUUCUUCAGCCAAAAAGUAAGUGUUUCCCUUGAGAGACACGCCACUUUUUAUAACGCAGUUGCCGGGAUGGACAUCAAGAACUCUCCACGAACUUGAGUUAAAAUCGUAGAUUUCGAAUAAGGGACCAGGUUCUGAGGACUUAGUAACGUCCAAAACCCUCAAGAUCUUGUGGUUACGAUCGUUGUUGUUGUUGUUUCCAUAUCCGAGACCAUACAUGUAUGCUGAAUGGAGUUUGUCCCUUGUUUGGAUCCACCUGAGUUGUCUCAAAUACGGGUUCCACACAAGAAGCCGGCUCUCAUCUUUGAUGACGCAUAACAGCAAGCCGUCCCACUGAAAGACUUCCCAUAUCUCAGCUUGUUCAAGUAACCAUACUCUCUCAAUAGAGGGACGAUAAACCAAGUUGCCGUUGUCGUGGGUUCCUUGCAGAUCAAGUUUCAGUGAACAAAGGUUAUAAUCUAUCACCAUGAACCCUAGAAACGUGCCCUCUGCGUCUGUUUUACCAAUGAUGUGGGUUUUUGAUAAAACUUCCCACGUUUUACAAGUGCAUCGCAGUGCCCUAAGAGAUGUCAAUGGAACCCUAGAUAAUAUCUCCGUUACCAAUUCCCCUGGAAGAUCAGACAUAGCCAUGGCCAUUCUUCCAACUUACAAACAAAGUUUUAUAUCUUCUCUUCUCUUUUCAAUUAAAUUAGGAUUUUAGAAAUCCUCUUUUAUAUAUAGUUUUUUAUAUAUUUCCUUUUGCUUUUCAUCUUAUCCCCUUUCAAAUAAAAAGAGAUUAUUGAUUUUAAAAUCAUAUUUGUUAUAGGAUAUGUAGCUUGAUAUAUACUCCCUCCGUUUUUUAUAUAAGUCGUUUUAGAUGAAUUUUUAUGUUCCAAAUUAUACGACGUUUUAAUAAAUGUUAUAUGAACAAUGAUAAUAUAUUUUCUAUUUUAUUUGAUUGAUUUGUGAUUAGGUAAAUAAUUAAUGAUACUUUUGUUUAGAAAUUAUAAAAAAUUAAUGAUUUCUUAAUUUAUGUGCACAAUUUUAAAACGACUUAUAUUAAAAAAAACGGAGGGAGUAUUAAUUAAUUUGUAAGAUCUUUUAAACUUAAAAGGAAGUUAUUUUAGAGAACCACCCCCAAAAAAAAAGAGUUAAAAUGUUAAAUCAUAUGAAAAAUAUUAAAUAUAGAAUCGUGUUAAUAUAAUUUUAUCCGGCAAGAUUGUCUUAAUGGGUUGAAAAGGCCCAAGCCCAAGAGCCCAGUUUAGUUUUAUUCCUCAUUUCACUUUUCUCUCAAAAUCAAUUUCAAGUUAAAACACUUCUUCCCUUGACCUGCGAAUCUGCGAUUCCUAAGGCACGAUUCCAAAUUCGAAGGUUCAUAAAAGAUCAGCGAGCAGCUCCUCGAAAGUUCCAAUCGAAUUGAUCAUCCUCAUAGGCGACAAUGUUCUACAGAGGGUAAGCUCCCAUAUUACCCUCGAUUCGUUGUUCCUCAUUCAAUUGAUUUCAUUAGCUUUCCGCAAUUAGGGUUUCUUUCUCGUGAUUCGUACCUUAAAUCACUUCAAUUCAUCUCCUUUUGAAGCUUAUUCUGUUUCGAUUUCAUUCAAUUGUUAAAUUUGAUCGGAAAGUUUCGAUCUUUUAAUCUGUAGUGUAAGAAAGUGAUUUAAUUGGAUUCAUACUUUAGUUAAGCUCCUAGUGAAGUAAUCCAUAGAUAGUGUUUUGAUUUGUUAUGGUGAAUUGUGUAGAUAUGGAGAUGGUCCCGAUGGGCGUGAAACAGGGCCUAAGCGUCAGAGAAUGAGUGCACAAGGUCCUCCUGGACCAUUCUAUGGACCUCAUCCUGGUUCUGCCUUUAUGUAUAACCCUUACGGAUUCGUUCCUCCUCCUGUUUUCCCUGUGGUUAAACUCCGUGGUCUCCCCUUUGAUUGCGCCGAGCGAGAUGUUUUGGACUUCUUCGGUGGUUUAGAUGUGGUUGAUGUCUUGUUUGUUCACAAGAACGGUAAGGUUACUGGGGAAGCCUUUUGCGUUCUUGGUUAUCCCCUUCAGGUCGAUUUUGCGCUCGGUAAGAACAGACAGAACAUGGGAAGGAGGUACGUGGAGGUUUUCAGGAGUACGAAGCAAGAGUACUAUAAGGCUAUUGCUAAUGAGGUUGCGGAGUCUCGUGUCCACGGUACAGUUACUGGUGGUGGUGAUGGUGGAGGAGGAGGUGGAAGCGGUGGAAGAGGUGGUGUGAGUGGUGGACGUUCACCUCGUAGACAGGUGCAGAGGGUUAGACCGAGUGAUGAUGGGAAAGAGAAUGCUGAGCAUACGGGUAUAAUGAGACUGAGAGGGUUACCUUUCUCAGCUGGGAAAGAAGACAUACUAGACUUCUUCAGAGACUUUGAUAUCUCUGAAGACUCUGUUCAUGUUACUGUCAACGGUGAAGGGAGACCCACUGGAGAUGCGUUUGUUGAGUUCAGGAGCGCUGAAGAAUCGAGAGCUGCGAUGGUCAAGGACAGGAAGACGCUAGGGAGCCGUUACAUUGAACUGUUUCCUUCAUCAGUUGAAGAGUUAGAGGAAGCACUAUCAAGAGGAAGGUGAUUCACCACUUCUCAUGUGUACUAUCAUUCACUCUUUUAAAAUGCUUGUCAGAAGAUCAUAGUUUCAACGCAUUGGUGGUUCCGGUUUUGAUGUACUAUCUUGGUCAGGGUUACUAGUUUUAUCCAUUCUUUAGGCUGUUUUGUUGUGUAAUAUUGAUGGAGAUCUCUGAGCAUUAUGCGUCAAUAGAGUAAGCUGGGUGCUAAAAUCUUCUAUUGGGUAUCGUAAGAACCCUUGUUGGAUUGUAACGUUAGGCUUUUGCUGAAAGUUGUAGCAAUAAUAAUAAUAUUGUUUCAUGAUGAUCUCUCCUGUGAGACAUGUGGUUAAAACGGAUAGAAACCUUUGGAUUCUUUCUAGUGUUUUUAUGCAAAAAGACCGAGUAUUCGUUGAUAUUCUUAGUUUGGUACGAAAAAAACAUAAACAGUAUGGAGCAUUUCUGUGUAUAUAUAUUCGAUAUCUUGAUGACAGUAUCUCAGACAUUAUAUUGGUAGGGCCAAAACCAUUGGACAUACAUGUAUGAGUACAAUGGUAGUAUAGUUGUUAGGUCAUUGUUUCUUGUGAAAACUAUAGCAAAAAUACCAAAAUCAAAAAUGUACGGCUGAAUCAUAAUAAUUGUUAGCAUUUAACUGCUCGAUUUUUUGGAAAUGUUACUAGUACUAUGCAAGCAGAAGCAGCAGAAAAAUCUUUGGGCUUAUCUAAUUGAAAACUACAUCUUGUCUUUUGUCACUCUGGUUUCUUGUCCACACAUCUCAAGGAAGUCUGACAAAUUCUUACAUUGAAUCGUCUGAACUCCGAAGUUAUUACAAUCACAAAUAGAAAGUUAUUGUAAAUAACACUAAAUUAACUUGAAGAAGUUAACUAUUGAUUAAAUAAGAUCAACAAUCAUUCCAUCACUAUGGUCCAUAACUAUCAAUCGUAGUUGAAUGAUCUUUUCUCAAAGAGCUUUUCUUUGCCGGUAACUUGGACAUCUUUGAUAGUUGAAUCUGCUUCUUCAUAAUGGUUGGGGGAAAAAAACAUUAAGCAAAGGAGAACAUAUUAGAAUCAGAGUCCCAGAGCCAUUAAGGCUUUGAAUGUUAUAAACCGCACCGCACCGCAGUUAACACUAACAAAAAUCUUUACAUAUACCAUAUAUCUAUACGUUUUUAUAACCGUAAAAACCGCACCGCAGUUGAACCGCUUGUCCCGCACCGCUAAAUCUGCAGUUACCAUUCAGAACCUUAAGAACGUUGGCGAAAGCGAUAUAACAAGCACCUCAUGAUUGAUGGCUGAAACCAUAUAUAUUACGUUUUGCCUCCAAAUUUUUUUUUUAAACUCUUAGACCCAAUUUCAUUAUUCAUUUAGACCAUUUAAAAUGUAUUUUGCCAUUUUCUCUAAAAUAAAAUAUCUGAGACACUCAACAGAUUGUUAAACAUGAAGCACACUGCACAUAAUGUAAUAAAGAUUUAAUAUUCGAAUCUUUAUAUAUUUAACAUGGAACAUACAAUGCAAUAACUAUUUAAAUAAAAGUAUUUAGCUAAAUUUUGUACUAAUUAAAAAAAGUGCGGCACAUCUCACAUUCUUCUUUUACAUGGUGGCCAUUGAUAGAGAUGAACUCUAUUUCAAUGUACUUCAUUUAAAAUAAUAUUCUUCUAAAUAUAGAAUACAAAUAUAUCUUUAAUUAUAUUUUUUUUUAAACUAUUUUAUAAGAAAAAAUAGAAACGAACCGCAGUAAAUUUGCCUAUAAUAAUUAUUAUUAGAAAUAGAUACAGAGAUCAUGAAUUUGAUUUGCUUUUACAUCUGUUAUAGCAGAGCGAUAAAAGUGGAGAAUGCGUCCCUAAGUGUGGUGGUGGCAAAAACAACAGAAAAAAACAAGAGAGAGGAGAGAGAAGUGAAACUCUCUCUUUUGUCUCUCCCCCUUCCACCGUAAACCCUAAGCCGCCGCUCAUUUUCUGCGUUUUCAGGCGGCCGACGGCACCUCUCGCCGUUGGUCUCCCUCUCCAGCCGUUUCUCAUCGCCUUCCGCCCUCUGCUAUCUCUUCUUUUGUCUCUCCUCUUUGCUCAGUGUGUCUGGGUCCGAUGAGAUUUUUCCGCCGGAUCUAACUGGAAUCGAAGGGUCUUUGAUUCCUCUGGACCACCAGCGAGGCGAGACGAGUCGGUGAUGGCUCUGGGAGCCCUGGAUCUACUCUUAGUCGCUGAUUGCGCUUGGAUCUGGGUCAGAUCUGAGAUCCGAGAUUCGCCAGAAGCUUCGACGCGUCACUGCCGUCCACGCCUCUGCUCCGCCGUCUCGCCCCAGUCGGUCUAUUCUAGCAGUUAGCUCCAGGGUUUGCGUAGAGCUCCUCCUCUCUCUGAGUGAAAGGUGGUUGUGAGGCGCACCACCGAGGACCUCUGUUUCUAUAGCUCAAACGACAGCUUCCAUGGUGUUCCUCAGCGAAUGGUUAGCUCCCCUUUCCUGCUCUCAUCGUCUUCUACUAGGGUCUUGAGGACAACCCUCGACGUCGACGUCUCUUGCGUAAAGAGCGAUGUUUUCUUUCGCCUUCAGAUCACCUGCUUCAAGGAGUUCCGUGCUCCCUUUGUGCUUCAUUUCCCAUUCCAAAGCUCCCGGUCGAUUGCGAUAUGUAACUCUGCUGUCUCCGCCGCAUCUUCUGUGUCGCGCAGCGGAAUGAGGGGCCAAAACGACCGACUGCGCUUGACCGCGAUCUUCAUCUUCAGUGGUGUAGCAGCGGGUUUAUACUAUCGUCAUCCUCUGUGUUAACUUGGGCUUGUUUGUCGACGUCCUCCUCCAGCGGAGCUCCGGGGCGUGAGCCAGGCGCUUCCGUCGAUGCCUGCUAGGAGCCACUUCGGUGAGGCUCGAUCGAACUCGUCUUCAGGUUAUUCUCCUGCUCUGUGUUUCAAACCAGUAGAACAGGAAGCGCUUUGGUAUGGGAGUUUAAAAUGUUGUCUUUGUGCUUCAAUGUAAUAUUAACUUAAGUAAGCCAUUGUUUGGGUUGCUUGGUGUUAAUCUUUGUAGGUUCUAUGGGGCUUUUUAAAACUUUUUGCGGUUCCAUAAACCUGAUAAGCUGAAAAGCAUCUCUUGGUUUCAAUGUUCUAUAACUUGUAACCGGAUUUUCAUUAUCUUCUAAUGAUAUUUACCCUUUAGCAAAAAAAAAAAAAGGUGUGGCGGUGGCGGUGAUGGCUUCAGACGUGGAUUCAGUAUGAAAGAGACUCUAGACAACAGCUGAUGUGGGGUUAUACUAAGGGAUGGUGGUGGCCAUAGUGAUUUGUACUGUUAACGGAAAAGUCAAAGCUGGUAAUGGCCGGAUGUUAAUUUGCAAUAUCACAUUUUGUUAAGUGCCAUCAAGCGAUGAUGAUACUAUGGGAGUUUAGCUUGAGUAAGUACUAACAUCGUGGAAAUCGGAUAGCCCCGUUGAUUUAGAAGAAUAUCAUAUCUAUUGAUAUAAUUUGUUGCUGAAUGAGGUCUCUUAACACUUUGUUUUGCUCCGAGAAAUCAACUUGUGUUUGUACACAUAGUAGUAUUAAUAUGAUAUCCAUAUUUUGCGUGCCUACAGCGCUUUCCCUCUAAGUUCACACUUUCAUUUUUGUCUGACCGUCGGGAGUGUAGAGUGAUUCUUUCUGCAGGCUUAAAGAACUUAUUUACUAACCUUUUAAUUAACAUAUGCUAUUUUCGUGAUUUCAUCAUACGAUAUCAAAAUCACUUUUUGAUAGAUUAUUCGAUUAUUCACUAUUUCGAUUUAAACAUGCUUAAUUUUGAAAUUCUUUUUAGAUAUACAACAUAAAAUAAAGAGUUUUCACUUUGGUGAUAUAAAUAAUUAAAUUAACUUUGUCAAAUCUUUAAACAUAUAAUAUCAUAUAUAAAAAAACAUCUUAUAUCAAAACUGGAAUAUUGCAAAUUGCAAAUAAAAGAAUACAAACUUGUUGAUCUGUGUAUGUGUGAACACAUAAGAUGCAUAAGAUGUAUAAGAAUCUAAAUUGCCGCUUUACAUAGUGAAUCCUAUGUUAUAGGAUUCCAUGACAAGAGCCAAUCUCGCAUACUUGUGUACUUUUGGGUUUUAAAAAGUCUGUUCACUUUAAUUUUUUUUUAAGUUGGCAUUCUAAUACUAAUUCUGGUACAACCAUACAACCUCAACCAAAAUGGGAAAUAGUUGGUUGGGAUGAGCACAAACCCAUGUUUGUAGCAGUUAAUAUACUAAUAUAGUAAUAUAACAUUGAAUUUGCAUGGCAGUCCACGUGAUUUCCUUCCUUCCCAGCUCAUCAAAGUUUUUUUUAAAGUCUGUGUUAACUUUAUCUUGUUCAUUUUCCAUUUAUACAAAAAGAAGUUAAUACUACGACAGAAAAUAAUAAAUUUCUUAAGAUUCUGAUAUACCGUACGCAAUUAAAGAGAAGCUGAUUUUAUGUGUGUGAAUAUCUGGAUUUAGUCACUGCAAUGAAUUACAUUUUAGGAAAGUGUUGUGAUCAUUUAUUAAUUGGCAUUUUUAGUAAAAAAAAUAAAACAAUAAAUUAAAUUAAACUGAAAAAGGUCAAUUUUCUCGUUUGUCGCUGUCGGGUUCUGUUUCCACAUCUAAACAAUAGUGUAACUUUUUGGGGUCCGACACCAUUUAUGAAUUUUAAUAGAAACUAGAUUUUGAUCCGCGCUUUAAAAAUCGCGGAAUUAAUUCUCUUUUAAAAUUCUACAAAUUUUUUGAUUAUAAGAUUUUUUAAAAAUUAUAAGAUUAUGUGUUUUUAUAUAUGAUAACCAUAUACAUUUAAAAUUUACUGAUUGUUUAUGUUAUAAUCAUAGGUAUUAGAUAUGAUAUAUAAAAAAUUAUAUUUAUAUUUAUGAAAUUAUUUUUAAAGAAGUUAAUUGUUUAGAAAAAUAUUGUAUUAAUUUUAAUUUAUUCUAAAAUAUUAUAUUUAUAUACUAAAUAUAUUUUCUCAUUACAUAUUUUAAUAUUAUUUUUGUACAUCUUAUUUUUUAUUGAUAAUAUUUUAUUUGAUCAUUUAGAUGCAUUUAUUUGUUCCAAUUAUAUAAAAACACUACUAUAUAAGUUGAAAAAUGAAUGACAUUUCACAUUGCAUAUUUUAAUAUUAUUCUUUGCAGAUUUUAACUUUUAAUGAUUAUUUAUUUAUUUAUUUAUUUAUUUACUUAGAUGCAUAUAUUUUUCCAACCAUAUAAAACUCAACUAUAAAAAUUGUAAAAUGGAAAGUUUAUGAUUUUUUUUAUUUCUCAUAUUAGGAAAAUACACUAAAACACUUCAAUUAAUUUGUAGCUAAUAAAUAAAUUAUAUUAGUUUAAUUUAUUUAUUAUCCGCAAAAUUAAGUAUAUUUCAUAUGAUUAAAAUAUCUAAUUAUUCAAAAAAAAAAAAAAAAUCUAGUCGAAUUUUUUUUGUUAUGGAUAUGAUAAAGCUUUACAUAUAGUAAAUGUUAAUAGUUAAUUAGCAUUUAUGGUUUUGUUUUGGUUUGUAAAGAAAAUUUAUUUGUUACCAUAAAUAUGAGAUAUUUUUAGGCCUGGGCAUUCGGGGUCCCAAUCGGGUUUCGGUUUUAUCUAAUCGGGUUUCGGUUUUUCGGGUUUAUCAAAAUCAGCCCCAUUCGGAUUAUAUGAAAGUUCGGUUCGGAACCGGUUCGGGUUCUAUCGGGUUCGGGUCGGGGUUAGUAAAUCUUCAAAGAACCGGUACAACCCAAUAUACUUUCGGGUUCGGGUCCCAAUCGGUUUUUCGGUUUAAAAGUACUUGAUUUUUACCUAUUUUAUAACCAAAACAUGACUAAAAUUGGUUCUUUAGUUUUAAAAUAUCUGAUUUGUACCUAUUUUGUAACCAAAACUUAAGUAAAAUCGAUUCAAAAAUAAGGAACAUAAAAGAAAACUAAAUAAAUAAAAACAUAAAACGAAAACCAAGUUCUCAUGAAAUGAGAAACAUUGUUUAACGAAAACAAAAUCAAAAACUAAAUACUUCAAGAUUCAACGACCAUCUUUAACCAUCAACCUUCAUGUAAUAGAACCAACAACCUUUAUGUAAUAGAUAAGUAUUUUAGAUGUUUAAUAUUUCUUAGUGUAUUUUGGAUACAUAUUAGGAAUUGAGAUCAUGUUUGGUACAAGAUCUUUUCGAGGUUUUGAAUGUUUCGGGUUCUAUCGGAUAUCCAUUUAGAUUCGGGUUCGGUUCGGAUAAUACCCAUAACCCGAAAUACCACAAAACAAGACCCAUUCGGUAUUUACGUCGGGUUCGGAUCGGUUCGGAUUCAUUUUUAUCGGAUCAGAUUCGGUUCAGGUUUUCGGGUUCGGUUUAUUUGCCCAGCCCUAGAUAUUUCUAUUAUUUUGUAAAUAUGAUUAAAAUUCAAGGGUAAAAUCCUAAAUUUUUAAAAUAGGAUCCUGCUUUAAUAGUAUAGAUGUGUUUUACAACUUCCAAAAGUUACAGUCGCCAUGUGAUUUGUCAAAGAGUCAAGUUUGUGCACCAGCACCACUGUAAACCUGAAUUUUCCACAUCAUGUUACCUUUCAAAGAUACCACUGUUUGUUUUUACUUCUAUAUAUAUAUNNNNNNNNNNNNNNNNNNNNNNNNNNNNNNNNNNNNNNNNNNNNNNNNNNNNNNNNNNNNNNNNNNNNNNNNNNUUUUUUUUUUUUUUUGCAGUGGCUCAAGAGAUUUCUCCAUUAGAAACAGCAACCUUGCAACAUUUCGAACUAUAACAUUAAUGAACAUAUCACACACCUGUUUUUCUUACUUGUCAACUUUCAACUUCUCACCGAAAGUAUAAACAUUUCAUAUUAUAUACAGUAUCUCAUUGUUGAACUGUAUACGUGCUGCAUAUCCUUAUUUUAAUAUUUCAUAUGGAUUCUUCGAUUAUUAAGCUUUGUCUCCUGAUAAUACUAUCUCCGUUUUUUAAAUAUAGAUUUUUGGUGUUUUCGCACAUAUUAAAAAAAACAUAUUAAUCAUACAUCGUUUUUAAAAUUAUCAAAUUCCAAUGUUUUUUAAUCAAUAGUUUUUCAAUAAAUCCAACUAAUUUUAUUAAAAUUUACAAUUUUUGUAUAAAAAACAUAAAAAAAAUAUUUUUAUGAAACAAUUUUUUUCUUCUAAAACUUAGGAGUAUUAGAGUAAUGAGUUGACUUUGAUUUAAAAAUUUCAUAUUUUCUUUAAAGAAAAUGAAAUUUAUAGGAAUAUGUUGGUUUCGUAUGUUUUGUAAAUAAAAAGUUUCAGCGGAAUAAAAGAUAAUCUGAUGUUUCUUUUCUUUUUCUUUUGCUUUUGUGAAAGUAAGCAGUAGUAAAAUUCAACUUACCACUAUUUUCUUAUACCUAGUCAAUGCCUUGUUAAUGCUUAUGCUUUUAGUCUUUAAAAACGGCAAAUAAAAAAUAUACGACCCAUUUCGUUGGUCAGUAACUACAUGCAAUCGAUCCUUAAAAUAUAGAUAUACUAUAUAAAAGAAACAAUUCUUUUUACCUUUUUAAAUUCAAGUUCAAUAGUCACUCACUCAUUUCUUUGGUUCGUCUCAGUGAAAACUUUAUAGGUAGUCAAAAUCCAGAAAACGUGUUGACUCGCGUCUCAUAUUAUAUAUGCUACUAACUAAGCUAGUAAGCAACGACUCUCUUCUUCUUCCCUCUCCCUCUUUCACCUAACCUCGCAAGCAAAAUAAAACAUCUUUCGAGUAGGUCUAAAAAUGGCGUCAAAGAAGGCAAGAAAACAAAACCGAGCUGAGAAGAAACUCAAAAGAAACCAUUUCAAGAAACAACUUCCACAACACAAGAACACCGACAAAACUACUGUUCUCGAUCAUACUUCUUCAUCUACUGCUGUCUCUCCAUGUUCUUCCAUAACGACGUCGUUCGCUCCGCAAGAUUCCAGCUACCCUGCUCCCUCUCCUUCUCCGGCGGUGUUGAAGUCACCAGAUGAAGGUGGCGGCGAUGGUUGUUGUACCCCGAAAGCUCAGAAGUCUCGGAUACCGGAGAUGCUGACGUGUCCACCAGCGCCGAAGAAGCAAAGAGUCUCAAAGAACUGCGUGUUACGGCGGAGACAGAUCGUUUUCUUUGCUCCUGCGGAGAUAGAGCUCUUCUUCGUCAAAGCAUACGAUUGACGAACAUAUCUGAACUAAUAUUUGUAGUAUUUUUCGUUAUUUGUGAUACGAUCGAUCGAUAGAGAAAGUAGUAUGAGAAGAUGAGUAACGUUUCAUCUCUUUGAUUUUGUUAAUACAAUAACGAAGGGUGUAUUAUAAUGUUUUGAGUGAUGUUUUUAUUUUUCUUAUUAUUUUGGUUUGUUUAACAUUUUGUUCCUUUGGCGCUUGUUUUUUGGAUUAAUUUGAAUGAAGUCGAUUUGAGUUUUGUGGUAGGGUAUUAUCAAAGAGUAAUUCUUGGGUUCACCCCCUAAGGUGAACUUUUAGGUUCACCAACCAAUAGGAUUUCAUUAUUUCAAAUUUGAUAUCUUCUAAAAAAGGAAACAAAAUAUUGUCAAGUUAUAUUAUGUUUUUAAAAUAAAAAGGUAAAAAAAAUAAUAGUUACAAAAAAAAGUUUUUUUUUUUAAAUAUUGUUAACGUCGUCAGCAAAAUACUAAACCCUAAAUCCUAAUCCCUAAACCCUAAAUUCUAAUCCCUAAACCCUAAAUCCGAAACCCUAAAUCCUAAUCCCUAAACGCUAAAACAUUCAAGGGUUUAUGAUUUUUGUGUUCAGUGUUUUUGAUUUAGAGUUUAUGAUUUAUCCAAGGGUUUAGGAUUUACCCAAGGGUUUAGGAUUUAUCCAAGGGUUUAGGGUUUCGGAUUUAGGGUUUAGGGAUUAGAAUUUAGGGUUUAGGGAUUAGGAUUUAGGGUUUAGUAUUUUGCUGACGACGUUAACAAUAUUUUUUUUAAAAAAACUUUUUUUUUGUAACUAUUAUUUUUUUUACCUUUUUAUUUUAAAAACAGAAUAUAACUUGACAAUAUUUUGUUUCCUUUUUUAGAAGAUAUCAAAUUUGAAAUAAUGAAAUUCUAUUGGUUGGUGAACCUAGAGGUUCACCUUAGGAGGUGAACCCAAGAAUUACUCAUUAUCAAAAUCUACUACGACUUAAUCUAUAAUUAAAUUAUACUUUUCUUGAUUCCCUUUUUUUAAGUGCUAUGUGUUAGGUUGCUAAUGACUUUAGGUUCUGUGCCUACUAGCUUUGUCGAUUUUUUCCGUUCCGUUCACCUAACGUACGUAUAGUUCUUCGCUUGAAUUUUGUUCACUUUCAUCAUUCGUUUGAUAGACAGAAACCACAGAAACCGUCACUUUCUAGCCUCUAGGCGGAACAUCACACAUGAGUUUACACGUCCCAACAACGUUAAGACAACAGCGAUCACCUUUAGUAACAUUUUUACACUGCUGAAAUUGUGAUUCUCAAACUAUUUAUCAGCAAUUCAGCACCGCCAGAAAUUUUUUAAAUGCAUAUGCAUGUAUGCAUACACUUUGUAUUAUUAUAAAUAAAAAUAAUAGAAAGUAGUUUCUAGUAUAUUCCCCUGUUAUUGGAUAUGCAAAAUAAUAUGCGAAGGUAUCAUUAAUUAAAUCCACCACAUUGAUAAGCUCGAUUGGUUUUUUGGUUAGUUACAAAUAUGUUAACUUAAUGUUCAAAAUUUUUUUUUAUAAUAUUUAUAUGUAUGUAUAUAAAAAAUUAGAUGUGUUAUAUUAUAAGGUUUCGAACAAUUUUUAAUCCAGUUUUCUCCCUAAUUAAGUUCAGAUUUCUUUUUUACACUUCAUUAAUAGUUUUUUGUAUUAUUCCACUAAUUAAAAAUAUAUAGAUAUGUUUUUAAAUUUAGUGAAAGCAAAGGGACGAGAAAUAUGUGAAGAGUUAGUGGGGAUGGCCACAGUGUCGAGCCAGAGGAUAACAUCUGCCAAGGGAAUCCAAUGAAGUGACUCGUGCAGCCUUUCUCAUCAUUUUAUCUUUCUUUUUUCUUCCAUAAUUUCUUACAAAAAGUAAGAAUCACAUCUUUAUUUGAUCAUCUAAAAAGACCAUCCUUUCCGCAGAAAUGAUAAUUCAUUAUUGACUAAUUGGGUUACAUAUCCAUAUUAGGGUCAAGGUAAUAAAAAAAACUUAUAACUAUAGUUUGAAUUGUAUCAGACAUGUACCAAACAUAAAAUAUAAUUUAAACAAAAGUAUAUCGAGUAAUGCAGAAAAUAAGAAACUUAAGAAGGCCAGAUAAUUUUAGAAAAAAAAACUAAUUGAUUAACUUAUCUCAAGAAAGAAGAAGAAAGAUUUGACAGAAAGAACAAAGAACACCAAACAUGAUGAUUGUGAUUUUAAUUGAUAACCGGUACAAUAAUAGAAUGAUUUUGCAAUUCUAUAAAAGUCCAGUCACAUAGCUAAAUAUGUUUCUGAUUUAUACUUGACUAAUUGGCCACUUUCGUGAUUAAAAAUUGUUGUUCAAAUUUUAUAGUUAAUUUAUUUUUUUCCCUUAUUCUACUUAUUUAUUUUUAUGUUUCACAACAAUUUUUUUAAUUUGUAUAUCACUGUUUUAAGAUACAAAUUAUUUUUCCUACGUAGUAUAUGUUAUCAUUGUCCUAUACUAUUGUUUAUGAUUUUUGUUGUAGUAAUGACCCUAAAUUCACUAACUAGAUUUGAGCUUUAUGAUCCGAGACCAUUAAUAGUGUACUGGAGCUUGGGCCCUCAGACAAAUAAUCUAAAAUUUAAGUAAUUCAAUUGUAGGUUUUCGUUUUCUGAUAAUGUUGCCACACUAAUAGAAACACAAUGAGGUAAUUGUAAAGACUUAAUGGUUAGGAGGAGAGAUUCCAUAUUNNNNNNNNNNNNNNNNNNNNNNNNNNNNNNNNNNNNNNNNNNNNNNNNNNNGCUCUUGAACUUGUGGUAGUGAUCUAGAGUAGACACGAAUAGGAAUAAGUAGUCUGCACAACUAACAACAACAUAACGAUAAAUAACUAGGUAACCACGAUAAGACAAUCCCACAUAUUAAGAGAAGCAUGCCAUGUACACAAUUUAUUUAGGCGAGUGUGAUCUCCCCAUCACUCAACAAUUGAAAUAUGCUUAAAACUAUACAUAUUACAAUGAACUGGCCAAGUUUGAAAUGUCAUAUGUAUACAUGUGAUGUAAAUGAGAACUUGUUGAGUUAGAUAAAUGUAUGGGGGAUGCCAUAAUCUAGUUACUAGUGUUAAAAUAUAAAUUACUAGUGUUAAAAUGUAAAUAGUUAUUCUUUUUUUCAAGCUUUUUUGGUUUUUGGACAACAAAUGUUUGAGAUGCUGUGAAAUAAAAAAAAACAGGCCUUGUGAUAUAGGGCUUCUGAAGCCUGUUGUAGGCUCAAAAACAACUAUCAGAAUCGAAUUUAUCCUAUUUAAUAUCUCUCCAUUGUUCAAAAACAAAAAAAAAAAUCUCCAUAAAAAUAAAGUCAAAAGUAUUUAUGUUGCCGCGUUCACGUGGCGAGCACGUGGCAGCCAAAAUCCAAAACAGAACAAAAACUCAUACUUCCUGCGACGAUCAAACCAACAAAUAAAAUAAUUCAAUUCAAUUCAAUUCCAUAAAAAAAAAUGGUUUUCUUCGUCUUCCUCUGACUGAAAACUUGCUCAGAUCGUUCAUCUUCCAAGCGGAAGCGUCUCCUUCCAUCACCGUAGACGCCUUCCGUGACGGUCUCUACUCGUUCUUUCCCUGAAUGGUAUGGUUAAGCUUACCGAGUAUCAUCACCUUGCAUGAGCUCUGUUCUGUCUCCUCUCAGUUUUGUUUCAAAAGUUUUGAAAUUUCUAUCUGAUUUGGUGAAUUCAAUCACUGAGUGUUUCUGGGUUUUGCUUUGUUUACUCGUUACUGAAUCUUUUCUUGUAGUUUUGAAAUUGCUGAAUCUUAUUGCCUUUUGACCGAUACAGUUGUAAUCUCAGAGCAGGAAACUGAAGACAUGCAGUCAAAAUCUGAAAGUGGGAAUCAGAUCGUUUCAGAGGCUCAUCAUCAUACAUCCAUCAACAGUUUAAACCCUUGGCUACGUGCUGCUGCUGCCUGUAAUGCAAACUCUUUCGUGGAAGAAGCUGGAGAUAAGUCAUCAAAUGGGUCCAAGUCACCAUCUAACCGAGAUGAAAAUGGUAACAAGGAGUCACAAGUCACAACUUCUCCCCAACAGUCAGGUGCAGUUGACUUGUCUUCCCUCGGUGCUUAUUACAAAAUUUGUUUUCUUUUAGCUAGCUUUGUUACUGUGUCUCGAUAUGCAGCUGGAGAUUACAGUGAAAAAAGUCAAGAACUUGUGCAUACUGGCAGUACACCACCUCCUCACCCUCAACUUGUUAGCCACACUGUUGUAAUUUUCCCAACACAUAUCUAUUAUCUAACUGAUAAUUUUCAAUAUGUUACUUACGAUAUUCUUUAUUUGGUUAUUAAUAAUCAUGCAGGGAUGGGCAUCCUCAAAUCCAUACCAGGAUUCAUAUUAUGCUGGAAUGAUGGGAGCCUAUCCCUUGGUAUAUUACUUUAUUUUUUUCCAAUGUUCGUAGGUGCUUUGAAGUCUAGCAUGUUUAAGAUUGCGUUAAAAGUGUUCAUGGUGUGAGGAUUGUACAAGUUAUUCUUUCCAUGCGAUUUACUGAUAAGUUAUCACAUUCCCUAUCAGACUUAUGUUCCAUACGGUGGGAUGCCUCAUUCAAGAAUGCAACUGCCUCCUGAGGUGGCACAAGAACCAGUUUACGUGAAUGCUAAACAGUACCAGGCGAUUAUGAGGCGAAGGCAGGCACGCGCCAAGGCGGAGCUAGAGAAGAAGCUAAUCAAAUCCAGAAAGGUGAUAAAAGCUAAUUAGUUUCAUGGCAGCUCCGAUAUAAUUGUGAACACAUCACCACUGCUCAUUGCAUCAUUUUUCUGUGUGUUUCUCCACAGCCUUAUCUACAUGAAUCUCGGCAUCAGCAUGCUAUGAGGAGGCCUAGGGGUACUGGAGGACGGUUUGCAAAGAAGACGAACACCAAAGCUUCACAGCAAAAAGAUGGAGAAAAGACUACCGAGUCCCCAACUUCAUCUAAUUCUGAUCAACCUGAAGGUUGUAGUGAUGAGUAUAGAACACAUCAGUCCGAGGAGAUGCAGAGCUCAGCUUAUAAGAGAAGGGAAGAAGCAGACUGUUCAGGGCAGCAGUGGAACAACAUUUCCUCAAACCAUCCUUCUCAACCUCUUUUAGCUAUCAAGUAACCUCUCUGGCAGGCAAAUCAUUCUUGGCUCUAUCUUUGUUGGCUUAUGUGUUAGCAGCCAUUAAAGAGUUUUCUCAGUCUUCUUUCUUGUUUUGUACAAAUACUAUUGUGCUUUUGUUAGAAUGCUUCUUAGUCAACACCCUUUGGGUUUAGUAAGAGACUUAAAGUUUUGAAUCCAAAAAUAUGUGAUUAAUAACUAAAUUCCAGUGUGCUAAAAUGGAAAAAAAAAGGAGUAAUGUAGUACUACAAAACCUUUAAAGACUUUCUUGUAAGGGCUUUACCUAGUCUUGGUCACAUAGGCUGACUUAUUGCUACAAUGAACAUUUCUAUACUUUUUUAUGUUUUUAUAUCAGAGUUGGUCAAGUCUUCAGCUUCCUCCUCGCCUUGAGUUUCGUCUAGGUCAACUUCUUCAGUAUGGUCUGAACUUGCUGCAUCUGAGGAGUUGUUAGCCGCCUCUGUGAUGUUCACAGGUGGCUGAUUCUCCAUUAAACCAGAGAGUGCUAGCUUUGGUGACCACUCAAGGACAUCAUCAAUGAUGUUGGACAUCCUUCUUUGAUACCUGUAUGCACAAAAAGUCAUCACAAGUCAACCAGAGAACUCAUAUAUAACUUAGAGAAAACAAUCUUCUCUUGAGGAGAGGGAAUCACUUCAAUUAUUGUUAUCUUGGUUUAAGUUAAUAUACCUGGCACGAGCAGCCUCAUCAGGAGCGUGGCGCCUGAGCAGCAUGACAACAACAACAGCUACAACCGUGUAGAAAAGCCGAGACGUCCACUUGGGAGGUUCUUCCUCGUCUUUCUUUGGCCAGAAACGGAAUAGUUCCUUCAAUGUGGCUUCCUCUGCAAGAAUGUUGGGGAAGAACCAGACACGCUUUCCAAAAAGAAUCCACAUAGCACCAAAAGCAACUGCUCUCACUGCAACAUUCAUGGUAAUGAAGAAAGCCUAAUUUCAGUAUAAACCAAUUUAAAACUAUAUAUCACAUCAGCAGUCAACAAGUCUAGCAGUGCUAUGAGUGGCAAUUAACUAAACAGUGUCAUCAACGAGAUUUAGAACCAAUAACAGAGUCAUCAGAGUGAAAGAGCACACUCAAAAACAAAAGAAAAGCAAAAGCAGAUUAUACAUGUAGAGCUUACCGAAAAGCAAAGAGAGAAUCAUCAAAAGAAUGCCAGCACACGAGUAGAGAACAAUGAGUUUGCAACGGUGUGGGUACACAGGAAACAAACAGAUAGCGAGAGUCAAUACAGGCCAGAAGAAGGACAAAAGUGUUUGCCAGAGUGGAUGCCGUUUCUCAAACGUCCAUGCAAAAAACGCAUCAGUCUCAGAGAAAGCUUGAUCAUCCUGCAUCAGAAACAACAAAAAGAAAUCAAACGCUGAUACAUUUGAGCUACUGAAUGCAUAUCUUAGCUAAGAUGAGACAACAUAUUCACUAGCAAUUGUCUCUAGAAGCCAUCUCUCGAGUCAAACACAGGCACUUUUUUAUAGGAUCAUACUCUUAGCAUAUGAACCAACUUACACGGAAAAUCUCAAGAUGAGCAGGCCAAGUAGAGAGCUUUUUCUUCCCUGGACGAAGGGUUUUAGUAACACGAUCACAUCUCACCAAAAGGUUCUUCCCCAACAACACAUUAGCGAUAUCUUCAGCGUCGAGGUCACUAUCUUCUUCAAGAACCUCUUUACACUCAGGGUGAUUCUUCACGAAGCCCACGAAAUCUUUCCCUCUGAAGUACUCAACUCGCGCUUGCUCCAUAACAGCCCAUCUUGAUUCCAACCCCUUGUUGUCUCUAACUUUCUCAGCAAACAACUGAAACAAAUCCUUCGUCACACCUUUCUUCUAACAAAAAACAAAAACAAAACAGUGUUUGACAUUCAGACAAGGAACAUAUACAUGUGUCUGCACAUUAAUAUAGUGACGAACAAGAGACCUUAAUUUUCAUAUAAUCGUAGGUUCAUCGAAGCAGAUCAAAAGCAAAGGUUACGUAAGCAUAGAACAAGUUUUUAUUUGGAAUUUUGAUUUAGCAAAGCAAUGAGAGAAGAGAGCGAACCUUACGUGGAGCAUCGGAUGAUCGUUUAACCCUCUUCUUCUCGGUUCCGGCCGACUUCUUCAUCUCUCUCUCUCUCUCUUCUUUCGAGACAAGACGGAGAGUGUUUUUUUUUUUUCGUUUUUUUUCUUCUUUUACAGAUCCAAAGUGUUUUUUUUUUUUUUUUUUAAAAAAAAAACUGAUUUUUUUUCUUUUACAGAUCCAAAGUGUUUUUUUUUUUGUUUAUGACAAAAAAAACUGAUUUUCUGUAACCCGGUCGAAGUGUUGAAAUCAGGCCGCAUAACCGGUUGAGUUAUACACAGAUUAGCACGGUUCCAUAAGAUUAUAGACUAUAAGAGCAUCCACAAUGGUGGUACUCAUUGUGGAGUUUUUAGGAUUAGAAUAAUAGUUUUUUUUUUUUUAAUAGUUAAGGAUUCUUGUGAGAAAUGUGUGUACAAUGGUGAUCCCUAAGUUGGAAUCCUUAGGUUAUUUUUUUUUUUUUUUUGGUUUUUUUUUUUUUUAAUAGUUAAGGAUUCUUGUGAGAAAUGUGUGUACAAUGGUGAUCCCUAAGUUGGAAUCCUUAGUUUAUUAUUAUUAUUUUUUUUGGUUUAGUGAAAUAUAAAUUUUAUAUAUUAGAUGAUUAAAUACAAUAACUUAACAUAAAAUACAAUAAAUAAACAUAAAAUACAAUAAUUAAACAUAAAAUACAUUAAUUAAACAUAAAAAUACAAUAAGUAAAGAAAAAAAAAUAAUUUUACAUAAAGAUAGAAUAAUUCCUAAUCUUCAUCACCAAAUUUAUUCCAAAUAUUUUGAAUUAAAUCAUUUUUCAAUUGUUCAUGCAUUUGCCUAUCACGAAGAUCAUUCCGACUGGGAAAGAUAUUAUUCAGAUUUGUUGGCCUCUCCGUUUCCACCUCUGAACAUCUGGGGACGUCUCCUUCUUCAAAUUCAGAUAUAUCAAUACGAGAGUAUCCAUCCCGUUCAUCUUCGACUAUCAUAUUGUGGAGUAUGAUACAUGCUCUCAUAAUCUUCCCUAUCUUUUCCUUUUCCAAUGUUUUUACCGGGUUUCUCACAAUCGCAAAUCGAGCUUGCAAUACUCCAAAAGCCCGCUCCACAUCUUUUCAGGUUGCUUCUUGGACUUUAGCAAAUAACUGUUGUUGAGGACUUUGAGGGAGGGUGAUAGAUUGGAUAAAUGUUGACCAUUUUGGAUAUAUACCGUCUGUCAGAUAGUACGCCAACUUAUACAUGUGUCCGUUGACCACAUACUUUACCCUGGGAGCUCGACCUUGUAAAAUGUCAUCAAAAACAGGAGACCGAUCGAGGACAUUGAUAUCAUUUAAGGUACCUGGAGGACCAAAAAAAGCGUGCCAUAUCCAAAGAUCUUGUGAAGCUACAGCCUCUAAGACAAUUGUCGGUUUUCCUGAUCCACGUGUGUACUGACCUUUCCAAGCGGUUGGGCAAUUUUUCCACUCCCAAUGCAUACAGUCAAUGCUCCCGACCAUCCCAGGAAACCCUCGUGCCUCUCCAAUAUCGAGUAGUCGUUGAAGAUCCUCCGGUGUGGGUCGUCGUAGAUACUCAAUUCCGAAUAAUUGUAUUAUUCCGUCAGUGAAAUUAUGUAAACAUGAAAGUGCAGUGGUCUCACCAAGUCGGAGAUAUUCGUCAACGGUGUCAGCCGCAGUACCAUAAGCAAGCAGACGAAUAGCUGCAGUACAUUUUUGAAGUGCAGUAAGACCCCACCUCCCGGUCGCAUCUCUUCUUUGCUGAAAAAAUGGAAAGCGCUCUGAUAGACCAUGAACAAGACGCAAGAAUAAUCUCUUAUUCAUGCGGAAACGGCGUCUGAAUAAUUGAGACGAGAAUGUCGCAUCUUCGCUGAAAUAGUCAUUCCAUAAGCGGUCUUGUCCUGUUUCGCGGUUUCGUUCUACAUAAGCACGUCUCCUUUGCGGUCUGCUUUGGGCCUCCACUAUGUCGUUGUAUGUUUCUUCCAAGUAUUCGUCGCAAAUUUCGUCUAAUCUUUCAUCGACUUCAUCGGAUGAACUCGAUGAUGACAUAUCUAGAUAUCCUGGUUCGGAAAAUAAUAAAAUUAUGUACAACCUUUAAAAAGACUUGCCACUAAUUUUUUUUUAAAAUUUUUGUAAAAUUCUUGUAAUCUCAAAGUGGUUGGUCCAAGAAAUUCUUGUAAAAUUCUAAAAUUAUCAACUAUUAGGGGAGUACUCAAAUUCUAAAAUUCUAAAAUUAUCAUUUAACAAAUUUUUUAAAUUUUUUAAACACUCAAAUAUAUUUUAUAUAGACUAUGAUCGGUAAUAAUUAUGCAAAAUGAAGUGAUCCGUUUUCAUGUUUUUCUUGUUAGAUUGCGAUUCAUGUUAAAUGAUGUGAUCCGUUUCUUUAAAACAAUUACUACAUGAUUGUUUCAUCAAAUGAAGUGAUCCGUUUCUUUAAAACAAUUACUACAUGAUUGUUUCAUCAAAUGAAGCUAUCCGAAUAUAAAUGAGUCUUAAUGCAGAAGCAAGUUACAUUACAUCAACUUAAGCAAGUCAAAUAUAUUACAAGAAGUCGUUAAGAGAUAGAGUUACCUAAUUAAAACAGAAGCUAGUGAAUACAACAACUUGGUAGCAACAAGAUUACACCUUCUUGUCAAGAGUAGUAGCAAAUGGAAAUAAAAGGAAGGAAGGAAGAAGUGAUGGAAACAAAGCAAACGAGACACAAAUUUAUAGAAGUGAAGGAAGAAGUGAUGGAAACAAAGCAAACCCGUGACUUGGUUUCACAACUCCAAAUUCACCCGUGACUUGGUUCACAUGUCCUACUGUUGAACCUGAAACAAAAAGACAAGACUUAGUAAAGCAACACAACACGACAUGUAUCUACGCAACAAGUACCAUUGUAAUAAAAGACUUUGCAAAGCAACACAAGCCGACAUGUAUCUACUACGCAAACAAACAAGAAUAACAUCAUACCAUAUCAGACAUAAGUUUGAGUUUGAGAGAUGUUUCCAACUCAGUUAAUGGCUCUUUUUUGGCUAAUAAACGAUGGAGUAAUUUCUGGUUAGACAUAUUUUGUUUCAUCUCCAUGAUGACUUGUAGAUGUGACAACUCCUCUUCUUUACCACUCUUCUUCUUCUUUGUAGCUGCUUUCGCAGCCUUGACCCCGAUCGGUCUCCCCUCUUGUUGUCCCACUUCCUCGUCUGUAUCAACCUCCAAGACUAGCUUCCGCUUUUCCUUCCCACCGUCUUUAUCGACAAUAGUGGAGCACCAUUUCUGGUCAUGCCUCAACUCCCUCCAGGCGUGUUCCAGACCGAACUUGUGGCCUUGAUCAUUGAAGAAGUAGUCUAGUGCAGCUUUCAUGAGGUCAUCAUCAUUUUGACCACUUCUCUGCUCCCUCAUAGCGUGGUCAUAGCAACCAACGAACUUGGAGACUUGAUCGUUAAUCCUACCCCACCUCUUCUUGGCCGGAAUAAUCUCUCUCGGUAUUGUCCCGACGAGUUGAGGGCUUGCAUUGUAGUACUCGAUAAUCCUCUGCCAGAACUUACCAGCUCUCUGCUCAUUGCCCACCACUGGAUCUUUACUGGUGUUGAGCCAGGCACCAAUAAGUAUUUUAUCCUCUUGCGGUGUCCAUUUCCUCCAGCUGUUGAUAGCAGAGUCGACAACAGGCUCACCAGACCCGACAACAGGCUCACCAGACUCGACAACAGGCUCGGUAGCUUGGCUACCGAGCCAAACUCGUUCGGGUGAAUCAAGGUCAAUAGAACAUUGACUAUACAUGUAGGGUUAACAUAACCACCGGUGUUAUUCAUUGUAAGAAAAAGGAAUCAGCAAUCAAAUCUACGCCUUAUACAUUGACUACACAUGCCUUAUAUAAGCGAGCUACAAGUAAGAAUUUAAAGCCAAUUAAAUCUAAGUAGUUAGAGCAGAUAGCACCAAUCAAAUCUCACUUUUAGCAAUAAGUUCUCUACAACCAAACAAGUACCAUUGUAAUAACGUUUUAGUCUAAGUAGUUAGAGCAGAUAGCAUUUAUCACCAAUCAAAUCUCACUUAUAAAUGUUUCUCUACUAGAAACAUUUUACCAAUAAGUUCUCUACAACCAAACAAGUACCAUUGUAAUAACGUUUAAUAACCAAUCAAAUCUGAGGAUUUAGGAAGGUUAAAAGCAUUUAACACAAAGAGUUUCACUUUAAAGACAGCAGCGUUGUCAGUUAUUUUUCUAAGAGAGUACGAUGUUGUACAGUGUCUAACCUUAAAGACAGUGUCGAGGUCAGAUACUCUUCUUGUAAUCCUUCAAAGCUCUUCCUGGAAAACAUCCAAUAAAACAGGUUAAUUUUUAAAAAAAAAUAACAAGAAAAACAUUCAAAAAACACAACGAAUCGAUAUGAAACAUAAACGGUGAUGAUAAGAAGCAAAUCCAAAAAGUCCAAUAAAAUCGAGAGACAGAAAGAGAGACACCUAGACUGGUCAGCAAAGAUGGUAGACAAGAGGAUAUAGAAGAUGAGUAUCAAGAGCAAACCGAGAAGAAAACUACAAAUCUAUAUAAAUUCCCAAUAACUAACCUUUAAUCGUGUCGUUAACAACAAACAAGCGAAUUCAAAAAGAAGAAAAUUUUAAACCCAGAAGAAAACCCUAAUUUCGAUUGAAAUCCCAAAUCUGAUUUGAAACCCUAAAGCUAUUAAAACCAAACAAUUGAACCCUAUCUAGUGAUGAAAUCGACAUGCAUCAACCAGAGAAGGAAAAAAAAUAAACUACAAGCUUGGAUUCACCUUGAAGAAAGUCGAACGCGAAUCGCCUCUGUUAUCGCCUCUCUCUCGACUCUGCUUUUUUUUUUCCUUGAAACGAUAAAAUGACGCGGCUCGCGUUAUUUCCACCCCCUAACCAAACCAACCCUAAACCGGAACCAAUCAGCUGUUGCCAGCGCAUGAAGGACUUGCUCCUUCGUUCUCUUAACGAAGAAUUAAUCCUUCGCUCGUCCGGUUUUUUUAAUGUUUGUUUAAUCCAAAACCUUAAGGAUUUAUCUUAAGGAAUGCUCUAAGGAGCAGCGUUGUACGUGCUCUAAAACUAUAAACCAUUUAAAUAUAUAAAAAAAAAUUCGAAAAUGCAAGAUUGAUUUUUACUGACAUUUAUAGUUUAAUAUAAGGGAUUUAGGAAUGAUGUUAUAAAAAAGGAUUUAGGAAUACAAAAUACCUUUAAUGAAUGAGAUAUUCUAUUGGAAUAUUCCUUUUAAUAUCUCAGAUAUAUAUAAAAUAAUGAAAUCAAAAUAAUAAAAAAUCGUUUAGUCAAAAGAAAAAUCUAAAUCAAUUAGAUAGCGAUAUAUGCUAUUAUAGUUUUCGUAUUUUAAAGUUUUGUUAAAAAGAAAGUAUCUUACUAUCUUUUUUCAUUUUUAAAGAUUUUUAAUAUUUAAAUACUCUGUGAAAUGCUAUUGAAAAUAGUGCUCUAAUAAAUUUUAAAUAAGAAAAAGAGAUGCAACCAAGUUAAGCCUUUUAUAAGCCUUCUUCAGUUCUUCUAUUACUAAGGCAAAGAUGGUUGAUCUAAUCGUUAUCCAAGGUUUUGUGGAAGUGAGUUUCUUGUUUGAUCACGCCUUGUGGGAAAGGAAGGAAGAUGAUGUCUCCUACAUCUUUUACCAGCAUGUCGUUGACCUUUGUAGUGAAAAGGAUGCAGAAAUGUGUUAUUUCUUGGCAGUUCAAACAUGGGGGUUUUGUUGUGACCUCGUUGGAUAUUGCGCCAAAAAGUUAGCUAGUCUGUGAUACAACAUUAAUGUUUUUCUCCUGAAUAAAGCUAACAGAUGAUUACUGCAGGUCAGCAGGUGUACCUGGUGUUCUUGCUGUCGUUCAGGAUACUGCUCUUAGGCAUUUGAUAACAGUUCAUAAUCGUUACAACUUACAAGUGCCUUUAUCUAUAAUUACACUCAUGUUGUAACUUUGGCUCUCUUUCCUUUGGAAAGACGACGUAUUUCCACACCAUAACUAUCAUAUAGUAACAAAUGUACACAAUCUUUCAACUUCAUCGUAAUUGCACACCUUAUAACUAUCACAACCAAUUUCCACACACGAUAAUAGUUUGAAACCCGUUUCCACCUAAACUUUCAAGGACGAACUGAUACCAACAAAUAGCGGUUUAAAGUUGGUUAGUGUUACCUAAACCUGAACUUAACCAAUGAUUGACUUAACUAAACCAUAAAUGACCCGAUUAGAUAAAAUAAACCGGAUUAAAUGAACCUAAUUCUUUGUCUCUCUCUCUCUCUCUCUCUCUCUCUCUCUCUCUCUCUCUCUCUCUCUCUCUCUCUCUCUCUCCCUCUCCCUUUCUUUGUGUCGUUAUUGUAUUGUCUCUCUGUGGUUUUGAUUUUCUGUCUCUCUGUUUUGUAGAAUCGACAAUGGAGUCAUGGACUGAUGUGAAUGUUGAGUGGAAUGAUGUACCAGAGUUCGACCUCUUGCUCGAGCGCUAGAGACUCCACUCGAAUUUCCAGAUUCAUUACUCAUACUUCUGAAUCUUUGCUCUGAAUCUCUGUUCUGAAAUUUUCAAUUUUAGGGUUCUAAGAGAUAAAAUCGAUUUUGGGGUUUUUAAAACGAGUUUGGGUUGGGUUUAAAUUGAACCUUAGUCGGAUCUUCGUUUGGGUCGGAUUAUACCAAUAUCAACCGAUACAAACUGGUUUACUAUCAGUUAGUAUCAUAAACCAUUAAAACCAAGCCAAAUUUUGGUUUGUGUGGAAACGGGUUUCGAACUAUUAUCGUGUGUGGAAAUUGGUUGUGAUAGUUAUAAAAUGUGCAAUUACGACGAGGUUCAAAGAUUGUGUACAUUUGAUACUAUAUGAUAGUUUUGGUGUGGAAAUACGUCGUCUUCCCCUUUCCUUUUUUUUCAGAAGGCGAUUAUAGUACACAAGAUUGUAUAGAAAGUUCAAGAGUCUCCUCCUGUUAAGACGAAAAAACUGUUCAUAAACUUGAGAACCGUAUGUAUGCUUUCGGUUACAUAGCACUAUAGCAGCAUCUAUUAAGUCACCCAUACUCAACGGUUGAAGGAAAACUCAUGCUUCUCUCAAGUCUCAAUUCAUUACUCACAUCUUAAUUUACAGAUAAGUUAAACAUUUACUGAUGUUAAUUCAUUACAUGUAUCUUGGUACAUUUUACAUUUAUCAACUACUGCUUUGGUUGCAUUAUUGUCGAAACCCAUCACUAACUGUUGUUGAUCAUCACUUGCUUAACCGGAUCAAGCCACCUAAAUUAAACACUCACCCCAAUUGUCAGGAACCCAACCCGAUUUGAAAACUCCGUAUCAACCCGAUUCAAGAAGUAUAUUGAAUUUUAUCAUAUGAAAUUAAAACGCAUCUGAAGGAACUGACCGAAUACUUAUAUAUAGGGCUGGGCAUAAAAUCCUUAACCCGAAAUCCUAACCGAAUCUGAACCUAAAACCCGAUCCGAAAUGUAAAAAAUACCUCAAUGAAUCUGGUAAGGUGCCAAAGUGUUAUUAACUGAACCGAACGGGUAAUCCGAAAAUCCAAAAAAUAAAAAAAAAAACUGAUCCGAAUGUCCAAAUUAAUAUAUAAUAUAAAUAUUUGAAACAUAAAUAUGUACUUUAAAUAUUUAAUGUCAUAUUUAUUUGGAUAUGAUAUCUAACAAUAAAUAUUUAAAAUUUAUAUAAAUACUUUAAAUACUCCAUUAUAUACAAAGAAAUAUAUAUUUCUUAUGUUUUACUUUUAAAUUUUAGAUUUUACUUUGGAUAUAUCCGAACCGAUCCGACCGAAGUGUUAUAUCCGAAUCUGAUCCGUACUUGUAAAUUUACUAGAAUGAAACCUAGGAAGUGUUACAAAAUAGAACCGAAAUUGAAAAAACUCGAUCCGAACCCGAACGGGUAUCCGAAAACCUACUGCUACUUGUAUACAUUCUCUAAUUGCGCUAAACGGUUUAGCCUAAACCAAACCAAGAAUCGAACCAAAACCGAACGCCCGCUCAUUUGGUGAUUUUCAAAAUCUAACUUAGGGUUUUCGGUUCAUGCGUAUAUAGAAAGUGUCAGCUGAGUCGAAUAGUUUAUUAAUCGCUUUCCUCGCUCCAAGAGAAUAUUCUUAAAAAAAAAAAAAAGAUUUAUCGAAACCCAAAACCCUGACGGUUACAGCAAUGGCGGCGGCGAAUAAACAAAUCCCUCUUUCCGAUGACCUAAACUACAAACAAUGGGCUCCGAUCGCGAAGAAGAAGCUAGUGGAGAACGGAGUAUGGGACGUCGUCACGAACGGAGUCCCCUUCGAUCCAACCAAGCUCCCAGAGCUAGCCGCGAGGAUCACUCCCAAGGAGCUCGCCGAGUGGAGAGACCGCGCGAUCAACGACAUGAAAGCGCUCAAGAUCCUCCAAUCCUCUCUCCCAGCUUCCACAUACCGCAACACCUUCUCCGUCGCCUCCGCCAAGGAUCUCUGGGAUCUCCUCAAAUCAGGUAACGAAGCACCGAAUCGCCCUAGGCUAACGAAGGAGUUCGAAGAUCUCGCAAUGUACGACGGAGAAUCGAUGGAUAGUUACUUGGAAAGAGUUUUGGAUAUCGUCGAACGGUUCCGCCGUUACGGGAAUCCCAAGUCCGACGACGAAGUCAUCACCAAGCUGCUGACCUCUCUGUCAUGGUUGUUCGAUGAUUCCACGACGAUGUUGGAGGAGAUCAUGAGUCUUCCCGAUAUGACUCUCAACGAUCUGAUAGCGCUUCUUGAGUUGUUUGGAGAUCAUCCAGGCGAAUACAUGACUCAACAGCUGAAGAAGCAUCACAAGAGUCUCGCGAAGGCCAAGUCUGAGCAGAUGUGGUGUGGCUUGUGCAAGAAGUACGAUCACAAUCAAGAAGACUGUUACCGCAGCGACACGAGCGGACAGUGCCAUGUUUGUGGAGCAAGAGGAGGGGAUUGUGCGAGAGGUUGUACAGUUAAGAAGAACGGGAAGCCUGAGCAUUUGAUGUUGGCUGUGACUACGGGUGAUUUUGCAUACGAUGAUGGGAUGUGGAUGGUGUACUCGACUGCUUCGGACCACAUGACUCCGUAUCUGAAGGUUUUCGCUACGCUUGAUAGAACGUACAAAGCUCGUGUUGGGAUGGCUAAUGGGAGUGUUGUUAUGGCGGAAGGGAAAGGAGAUGUGAAGAUUACGAUGAAGGGAGUGAGGAAGGUGAUCAAGAACGUGCUUUUCGUUCCGGGGAUCAACAGAAACGUGUUGAGUAUUAGUAAGCUGACGUCAGGGGGAGGUUCGGUGGAGAUUGGUGGAGGGGAGUGCACUAUUAAAGAUGAGACUGGGAAAGUGUUUGCUAAGAGUAGGUUUGAUGAGAGAGGCAUUGCUCUGCGUUUGAAGGUGAUUAGGUAAUGUUGUGGUCACCGCUUGAUAGGUUUUUGCUUGAAUAAAAUUGGUAGUAGUUUUAGUUUCAGUUUGGAUUUGUCUGGUGUUAUAACCUUAGGACGGUUUAGUUUUCAGAAACUCUAUUGUAAUUCUCUUCUUUUAAGUUUUCAUAAUAAUGAAAAGAAGACGAAAUCUAGUUGAAGAUUAUAAGAUUUUGAUCAAAUUUAUGAUUACAUACCAAAUUUGAGAAAAAUUUACCGAACAACAGAGAGAGAGAGAGAGAGAGGGACAUGAAAGGUGGGAUGGUUGGAUCAGUAGCGGCAGAUCUUGGCGGUAGGCAUUGUGACGCAGACCUGAGCGUAUUUCUUCUUAGCCGCCUCUGUCCCUCGCUUGGGCUCCUCCUCGUCCGCCAUGGCUGCUUUAGCCAAGGAACAAACGG
rnacentral:lncRNA from 1 species